UUCUCUCUCUUUUCUUGCGGCGGCUUCUUGGUUUCCACGGCCAUGACGAUAUAGUAUAAUCUCCAGUGCAAAUAACCUGUUGUUUUGCGUUCUUUUUCUUUCUCUGUCAUUCUGAUUCUUAGCGCGUUUGUGUGAAGGAGAAAUUGUAGAAUCGAAAAGGUUGCUAUUUAUAUAAUUAAUAUAGGGAUGAUGAUGAUUGGGGAAAAAGAACAGGAGUUGUAAGAGAAUUCCCUGUUAAUUACCGACUACUCGUAUUACAGUUAACAGUUCUGAAAAAGUAUCUCAAGUGCUACAUAUGGUGUUCUUUCCGGUUUUCCGUUGAAAUAUCUUGAUUCUUGUGCCUGCCGCAGCUCCAAUUUUACACAUGUUGCCAGUCUGACAAACGGCAGACUCUUUCGGUGCAGCUAAUUAGUUAACUCGUGUGGGCCUGAAUUAUGAAGAAGAAAGAAAGAUUUUUGCUCAAAUUAACCGAAUUCGGUCAAGUUAAUGGCUUUAAGCUGUUCUGUUGAUCGAACCACACAACACAUUGUGUGGAGAGGAAAAAAAUGUUUUUUCUUGUUGGAAUUAUUGGUGCAGUGUUGAGCAGACGAAAAUUGGUCAGGUGGAGGGGGAUGGGCUUGGAUGUACUUUUGGUUCUUCUGUCCCAGCACAGCACCGGUGCGAGUGCAGAAGAAGAUUUGCAGCAGAGCAGAGAAUCUUCUAUUCAUGAGAACAACAUGACAUAAGUUUUUUCUGNAUAAUAAAAUCCUAGCUGCACUUGGCUGUUUCAGUGUUGCACAUUUGGUGUUCUCGAGUUAACUGGCGUUCUUCAGUUAACUCAGGCGUCGGUUGGGAUUGUUGAGAUCCAAAGCGGAAGGAAGGGGAGGUCCGUUGCGUGUUUGACGAAGCCAUGGAUGCAUGGAUCCUGAGUAAGUGGGAAGGAAGCGGAAGGCUGAAAGUUCCGUUCGGUUGGCUUCACUCACAUCACAUGGGCUGUUACAUUUUGCAGUUACAGAAUGCAUGCAUGCUCCUCAGGAAUAGGUCUCGCCCUUGUUUUAGCAAAGCAUUAUUACUCUACGCGUGAAGAGGGANACGGCCAUGGCUGGCACCGUGUCUGCCAAUGCCAUGGCCAGGGGAAGAGAAGGAGAAGUAGGGGGGGGAGGGAGGUGGAGGGAUUCGUGCGGUGCGGAGACAGGCGCAUGUGCCGCCCGGGGGAUCGUCAAAGCGGGUGGGGAGGACGCGGUGAAGCGAAGAAAGGAAGCCAAGCAACCGGGGAAUCUCAACCCCGUCCCGGUUCCUGCUGCAAUCAUGAGCCGCCUACCUGCCAAGCCCGCAAUCAUGCUGGAUAAAUGGAUGCUAAAAACUUCAAUUAGUGAUGCAUGUUCCUCUUUGCUGCAAGAAACAAGUGCACAACGAUAUGAUCUAGGGAUGAAUUUGUCAGCAUGGAAGUCGGAGCGGCGAUCGGGGGUUGAUCCAGCACCCACUGGUCCUAACGGAUCAACCUACCAGGAUUAGAUUAGGUGAGCAGACCACAAGAAAAUGAGAGACUAGAAACGGCAGGUCAUCCACCGUAAAGUGCGUACUAAUACCAUACUGACCGGGCCUCCUAUUUAACGAACCACCAGCUGUCUGUAUGUAAUAGUAGGAGUACAUGUCCGCUUCAUCUGUUUUGGCUGCGCACUAAUCCCAAAUUAAGACAUGCGACGAAUGCCAGAGCGGCCAAGUCGUAUACUCUGCCUAAACUAAUUAAUCACGACCUAGGAUUCCCCUGGGAACGGCCAAUUGCGCAUUGACCUUUGCCCUGCCCGGACGCCCGCACGAAUGGCGCGUUUUAACCGCAGUAAAAACGCACCCCGGUACUACUACUACUAUGCGGCAAACGGAGCAAAAACAAAAAAGAAGUUAAGGCGUGUGCCUGUUCUUGCAGUCCCCUACAUUCUCUGACAAACAAGCACGGCGCGCAACGCAAUCUUGGUGGCACGACAAAUCUGCUGCCCGGUUUGCCAUAGCCUGAUCUGUGCAGAGUAAUUGGAUAUCUGAUCGCAUGGUACGAUACAGCGUCGUUUAAUUUAAGCUGUCUGCUCUGCUUUGAUUGUUUUGAUUAUUAUUUCUUUCGUUUCUAAAUGCUUCCUUCGUUCGAAAAUACUUAUCGAAAAAAUAUUAUAUUUUAGUUUUAGAUACAUCGAUCUUUAUCUAUUUUUGCAACAAUAAAUUCCGGACGGGGGAGCUUUUAUAAGUUUUUAUAGUGGUUGCACUACGAACUAUAUACAAGGAAAAAUGAAUGAAUAUACACUUUAAAAUAUAUCUAUAUACGUUCGUAUGUAGUUCGUACUUGUAUCUUUUAAAAGACUUAUAUAUAUGAAUAGAGGANGCGGGGUGGCUCUCCUCUCCGUUAUGGAUCGGAUCUGGCUGGUGUAACGCCCAAAAUGCGAUUCUAUUCUUAAUUUGGCAUGAGGGCCUCGUCAGGGAUAGAAGCGCAUCUCGUCGUUUUGCAAGAAUGAAUAUCGUUACAAGUACAUAUACUGAAAAGAUGAGAUAUAUGGAAUUGACUUACACUCGCCACAAGCUACAACAGAGUAUCCUCGGUACCUUACAUAAACAUCACGAAGAAGAGCAGAGUCCGACUACGGACGAAAAUAAACGAGAAAAGAACGACGUCCAUCCUUGCUAUCCCAGGUUGCCGGCCUGGAACCCGUCCUAGAUCGAUGAUGAAGAAGAAGAAACUCCAAAUGAACAAUCAACGCGCUCGCGUCAAGUAACCUUUACGUGUACCUGCAACUGGUGUUGUAGUAAUCUGUGAGCCACAGGGGACUCAGCAAUCUCAUUUCCAAAGGUAUCAAGACUAGCAAAGCUUAAUGGGUGAGGUAUGGUUAAGUGGUGAGGCUGCAGCAAGCGAAUAAGCAAUAUAUGAGGUGGCUAACUUACGAGUACAAGAAUAAAGAGGGGGGAUGAUCUACGUGUUGGGUAACAUAGCAUAAAUUCAAAAAAAAUCAUACGCAUAUUCAUAUCUUCCUAUGGAGAGACCAGCAAUGAGAGAGGGGUGAGUGCAUCUUCAUAUCUUUGAAGAUCGCUAAGCGGAAGCGUUACUAGAACGCGGUUGAUGGAGUCGUACUCGCGGCGAUUCAGAUUGCGGUGUGAUUUCGAUCUAGUGCCGAACUACGUCACCUCCGCGUUCAACACACGUGCAGCCCCGUGACGUCUCCCGCACCUUGAUCCAGCAAGGAGGAGGGAGAGGUUGGGGAAGAUCUCCAACAGCACGACGGAGUGGUGUCGAUGGAGAGACGAGGUCUCCCGGCAGGGCUUCGUCAAGCACUGGCAGAGAGGAGGAGAAAGAAGAGCAGGGCUGCGUCGAGGGAGAGGGAAAAUUGUGUGCAAAACAGCCCCAACCCCCCGGGGGGCUAUAUAUAGGAGGAGGGGAGGGGGUGCCAUCCCUAGGGUUCCCACCCUAGGUGGUGCGGCAGCCCCCCCCCACAUGGGAGGUGCGGCGGCCAGGGCAGGGGGGAGUGGUGGCGCACCCCUAGGUGGGCCUUAGGCCCACCAGCGCCUACGGUUUCCCCCUCUCCACCUCCUGUGCCUUGGGCUGAGUGUGGGGGGCUCACCGGCCCACCUAGGGGCUGGUUCCCUCCCACACUUGGCCCAUCUAGCUUCCCGGGGUCGUGGCCCCCUUCCAGUGGACCUCCGGGGCCACUCCCGGUGCUCCCGGUGCUCCCGGUACGUUACCGGCGACGCCUGAAACACUUCCGGUCCGAAACCAUCCGUCCAAUAAAUCAAUCUUUACCUCCGGACCAUUCCGGAGCUCCACGUGAUGUCCGGGAUCUCAUCCGGGACUCCGAACAACUUUCGAUAACCUCGUAUAAUAAUUCCCUAUAACCCUAGCAUCAUCGAACCUUAAGUGUCUAGACCCUACGGGUUCGGGAGACAGGCAGACAUGACCGAGACACCUCUACGGCCAAUAACCAUCAGCGGGGUCUAGAUACCCAUGGUGGCUCCCACUUGCUCCACGAUGAUCUCAUCGGAUGAACCACGAUGUCAAGGAUUCAAUCAAUCCCGUAUACAAUUCCCUUUGUCUGUCGGUAUAGAACUUGCCCGAGAUUCGAUCGUCGGUAUACCUAUACCUUGUUCAAUCUCGUUACCGGUAAGUCUCUUUACUCGUUCCGUAGCACGUCAUCGUGUGAAUAACUCCUUAGUCACAUUGAGCUCAUGAUGAUGUUCUACCGAGUGGGCCCAGAGAUACCUCUCCGUCACGUGGAGUGACAAAUCCCGAUCUCGAUUCGUACCAACCCAACAGACACUUUUAGAGCUACCCGAAGUGCACCUUUAUAGUCACCCAGUUACGUUGUGACAUUUGAUACACCCAAAGAACUCCUACGGCAUCCGGAAGUUGCACAAUCUCACGGUCGAAGGAAAAGACACUUGACAUUAGAAAAGCUUUAGCAUACGAACAAUACGAUCUAGUGCUACGCUUAGGAUUGGGUCUUGUCCAUCACAUCAUUCUCCCAAAGAUUUGAUCCCGUUAUCAAUGACAUCUAAUGCCCAUGACCAGGAAACCAUGAUCAUCUAUUGACUAACGAGCUAGCCAACUAGAGGCUUGCUAGGGACACAUUGUGAUCUAUUUAUUCACACAUGUAUUACUGUUUCCUGUUAAUACAAUUAUAGCAUGAACAAUAGGCGAUUAUCAUGAACAAGGAAAUAUGAUAAUAACCAUUUUAUUAUUGCCUCUAGGGCAUAUUUCCAACAGUCUCCCACUUGCACUAGAGUCAAUAAUCUAGUUACAUUGUGAUGUAUCCAACACCCAUAGCAUUAUGGUGUUGAUCAUGUUUUGCUCGUGGAAGAGGUUUAGUCAACGGGUCUGCAACAUUCAGAUCCGUGUGUACUUAACAAAUCUCUAUUACUCCACUCUGGACAUGGUCCUGGAUGGAGUUGUAGCGGCGUUUGAUGUGCUUCGUCUUCCGGUGAAACCCGGGCUCCUUGGCUAUGGCAAUCACCCAGUGUUAUCACAGAAGAGCGUCAUUGGACCCGACGCGCUUGGAACCACUCCAAGGUCGGUGAUGAGCUCCUUCAUCUAAAUUCCUUCAUGAGCCGCUUCUAAAGCAGCUAUGUACUCCGCUUCACAUGUAGAUGCUGCCACGACUUCUUUCUUGCUGCUGCACCAGCUCACUGCCCCACCAUUCAAAACAUACACGUAUCCGGUCUGUGACUUAGAGUCAUCCGGAUCUGUGUCGAAGCCAGCGCCGACGUAACCCUUUACGACGAGCUCUUCGUCACCUCCAUAAACGAGAAACAUUUCCUUAGUCCUUUUCAGGUACUUAAGGAUAUUCUUGACCGUUGUCCAGUGUUCCAUACCUGGAUCACUUUAGUACCUCCCUACCAAACUUAUGGCAAGGAACGUUGUUUUGACGUCCAUUUGCCAAAUUUCGUAAUCAUAAAAGGCGGCAAUUGCUAACAUGAUUCGGACUGAUUUCAGCUUCGCUAUGGGAGAGAAAGUCUCUUUGUAGUCAAUUCCUUGAAUUUGUCGAAAACCCUUUGCGACAAGUCGAGCUUUAUAAACGGUUACAUUACCGUUUGCAUCAGUCUUCUUCUUGAAGAUCCAUUUAUUUUCUAUGGCUCGCCGGUCAUCGGGCAAGUCCACCAAAGUCCAUACUUUGUUCUCAUACAUGGAUCCUAUCUCGGAUUUCAUAGCUUCAAGCCAUUUGUUGGAAUCCGGGCCCGCCAUCGCUUCUUCAUACUUCGAAGGUUCCCUGUUGUCUAACAACAUGAUUUCCAUCACAGGGUUGCCGUACCACUCUGGUGCGGAGCGUGCCCUUGUGGACCUUCGCGGUUCAGUAGUAACUUGAUUCAAAGCUUCAUGAUCAUUAUCAUUAACUUCCUCUUCAGUUGGUGCAGGCGCCACAGGAACAACUUCCCGCGCUGCGCUACUUUCCUGUUCGAGAGGGGGUGUAAUUACCUCAUCAAGUUCUACCUUCCUCCCACUUACUUCUUUCGAGAGAAACUCUUUCUCUAGAAAGGAUCCAUUCUUGGCAACAAAGGUUUUACCUUCAGAUCUAAGAUAGAAGGUAUACCCAAUAGUUUCCUUAGGGUUUCCUAUGAAUACGCAUUUCUCCGCUUUGGGUUCGAGCUUCUCUGGUUGAAGUUUCUUCACAUAAGCAUCGCAGCCCCAAACUUUAAGAAACGACAACUUAGGUUUCUUGCCAAACCAUAGUUCAUACGGUGUCAUCUCAACGGACUUAGACGGUGCCCUAUUUAAAGUGAAUGGUGCAGUUUCUAUGCGUAUCCCCAAAAUGAUAGCGGUAAGUCGGUAAGAGACAUCAUAGAUCGUACCAUAUCUAAUAAAGUGCGAUUACGACGUUCAGACACUCCGUUGCAUUGCGGUGUACCAGGCGGCGUCAGUUGUGAAACGAUUCCACACUUCCUUAGGUGUGUGCCAAACUCGUGACUCAAAUAUUCUCCUCCACGAUCAGAUCGUAUACACUUAAUUUUUUUGUCACGUUGAUUCUCGACCUCACUCUAAAAUUCCAUGAACUUUUCAAAUGUCUCGGAUUUGUGCUUCAUCAAGUAGAUAUACCCAUACCUACUCAAAUCAUCGGUGAGAGUGAGAACAUAACGAUAGCCACCGCGAGCUUCAACGUUCAUUGGACCACACACAUCCGUAUGUAUUAUUUCCAAUAAGUCGGUUGCUCUCUCCAUUAUACCUGAGAAUGGAGUCUUAGUCAUCUUGCCCAUGAGGCACGGUUCGCAUGUGUCAAAUGAUUCAAAGUCAAGAGACUCUAAUAGUCCAUCAGUAUGGAGCUUCUUCAUGCGCUUAACACCGAUAUGACCAAGGCGGCAGUGCCACAAGUAUGUGGGACUAUCAUUAUCAACUUUCAUCUUUUGGUACUCACACUAUGAAUAUGCGUAACCUCACGAUCGAGAUUCAUCAAGAAUAAACCAUUCACCAGCGGAGCAUGACCAUAAAACAUAUCACUCAUAUAAAUAGAACAACCAUUAUUCUCUGACUUAAAUGAGUAGCCGUCUCGCAUUAAGCAAGACCCUGAUACAAUAUUCAUGCUCAAAGCUGGUACUAAAUAACAAUUAUUAAGGUUUAAAACUAAUCCCGACGGUAGAUGUAGAGGUAGCGUGCCGACGGCGAUCACAUCGACCUUGGAGCCAUUCCCGACGCGCAUCGUCACCUCGUCCUUGGCCAGUCUCCGCUUAUUCCGCAGUUCCUGCUUUGAGUUGCAAAUGUGAGCAACAACACCGGUAUCAAAUACCCAGGAGCUACUACGAGCGCUGGUAAGGUACACAUCAAUAACAUGUAUAUCACAUAUACCUUUAACGUUGUCGGCCUUCUUGUCCGCUAAGUAUUUGGGGCACUUCCGCUUCCAAUGACCCUUUCCCUUGCAAUAGAAGCACUGUCUCAGGCUUGGGUCCAUUCUUUUUCUUCUUCCCGGCAUCUGGAUUACCGAGCGCGGCAAUGGCUUUGCCGUCUUUCUUGAAGUUCUUCUUACCCUUGCCCUUCUUGAAACUAGUGGUCUUGUUGACCAUCAACACUUGAUGCUCUUUCUUGAUUUCUACUUCUGCACACUUGAGCAUCGAGUACAACUCGGGAAUGGUCUUCUCCAUCCCUUGCAUGUUGUAGUUCAGCACAAAAUCUUUGUAGCUUGGUGGGAGAGAUUGGAGGAUUCUGUCAAUUAUAGCAUCAUCCAGAAGUUCGACUCCAAGUGAAGUCAGACGACCGUGUAACCCAGACAUUUUGAGUAUGUGCUCACUGACAAAACUGUUCUCCUUCAUCUUACAACUAAAGAACUUGUCGGAGACUUCAUAUCUCUCGACACGGGCAUGAUCUUGAAAAACUAGCUUCAGCUCUUGGAACAUCUCAUAUGCACCGUGUUGCUCAAAACGCCUUUGGAGCCCUGUUUCUAAACUGUAUAAUAUGCCACACCUAACCAGAGAGUAGUCAUCACUCCGCGUUUGCCAGACAUUCAGAAUGUCCUGGGCUGCUGCGGGAGCGGGAGGGUCACCUAGCGGUGCAUCAAGGACAUAAGCCUUUUUAGCUGCUUCAAGGAUGAGCUCAAGUUGCGAACCCAGUCCGCAUAGUUGCUACCAUCAUCUUUCAGCUUGUUUUUCUCUAGGAAUGCGUUGAAAUUGAGGUUAACGUUGGCCAUCUACAAUAUUUAUAAAGACAACCUUUUAGACUAAGUUCAUGACAAUUAAUUUCAUUUAAUCAAAUUAAGUAUGAACUCCCACUUAAAUUGACAUCCCUCUAGUCAUCUAAGUGAUACAUGAUCCAUGUUGACUAACCCGUGUCCGAUCUGUUGGGGAACGUCGCAUGGGAAACAAAAAAUUUCCUACGCGCACGAAGACCUAUCAUGGUGAUGUCCAUCUACGAGAGGGGAUGAGUGAUCUACGUACCCUUGUAGAUCGUACAGCAGAAGCGUUAGAGAACGCGGUUGAUGUAGUGGAACGUCCUCACGUCCCUCGAUCCGCCCCACGAACAAUCCCGCGACCAGUCCCACGAUCUAGUACCGAACGGACGGCACCUCCGCGUUCAGCACACGUACAGCUCGACGAUGAUCUCGGCCUUCUUGAUCCAGCAAGAGAGACGGAGAGGUAGAAGAGUUCUCCGGCAGCGUGACGGCGCUCCGGAGGUUGGUGAUGACCUUGUCUCAGCAGGGCUCCGCCCGAGCUUCGCAGAAACGCGAUCUAGAGGAAAAACCGUGGAGGUAUGUGGUCGGGCUACCGUGGAAAAGUCGUCUCAAAUCAGCCCUAAAACCUCUGUAUAUAUAGGUGGGAGGGAGGGGGCCUUGCCUUGGGGUCCAAGGACUCUCAAGGGGGUCGGCCGAGCCAAGGGGGAGGACUCUCCCCCCCAAACCGAGUUGGACUAGGUUUGGUGGGAGGGAGUCCCCCUCCCUUCCCACCUCCUCCUUUUUUUUCCUUUUUCCUUUGAUUUCUUAUCCUUGGCGCAUAGGGCCCUUUUGGGCUGUCCCACCAGCCCACUAAGGGCUGGUGCGCCACCCUUAUGGCCUAUGGGCUUCCCCGGGGUGGGUUGCCCCCCCCGGUGAACUCCCGGAACCCAUUCGUCAUUCCCGGUACAUUCCCGGUAACUCCGAAAACCUUCCGGUAAUCAAAUGAGGUCAUCCUAUAUAUCAGUCUUCGUUUCCGGACCAUUCCGGAAACCCUCGUGACGUCCGUGAUCUCAUCCGGGACUCCGAACAACAUUCGGUAACCAACCAUAUAACUCAAAUACGCAUAAAACAACGUCGAACUUUAAGUGUGCAGACCCUGCGGGUUCGAGAACUAUGUAGACAUGACCCGAGAGACUCCUCGGUCAAUAUCCAAUAGCGGGACCUGGAUGCCCAUAUUGGAUCCUACAUAUUCUACGAAGAUCUUAUCGUUUGAACCUCAGUGCCAAGGAUUCAUAUAAUCCCGUAUGUCAUUCCCUUUGUCCUUCGGUAUGUUACUUGCCCGAGAUUCGAUCGUCAGUAUCCGCAUACCUAUUUCAAUCUCGUUUACCGGCAAGUCUCUUUACUCGUUCCGUAAUACAAGAUCCCGCAACUUACACUAAGUUACAUUGCUUGCAAGGCUUGUGUGUGAUGUUGUAUUACCGAGUGGGCCCCGAGAUACCUCUCCGUCAUACGGAGUGACAAAUCCCAGUCUUGAUCCAUACUAACUCAACUAACACCUUCGGAGAUACCUGUAGAGCAUCUUUAUAGUCACCCAGUUACGUUGCGACGUUUGAUACACACAAAGCAUUCCUCCGGUGUCAGUGAGUUAUAUGAUCUCAUGGUCAUAGGAAUAAAUACUUGACACGCAGAAAACAGUAGCAACAAAAUGACACGAUCAACAUGCUACGUCUAUUAGUUUGGGUCUAGUCCAUCACGUGAUUCUCCCAAUGACGUGAUCCAGUUAUCAAGCAACAACACCUUGUUCAUAAUCAGAAGACACUGACUAUCAUUGAUCAACUGGCUAGCCAACUAGAGGCAUGCUAGGGACGGUGUUUUGUCUAUGUAUCCACACAUGUAAAUGAGUCUUCAUUCAAUACAAUUAUAGCAUGGAUAAUAAACUAUUAUCUUGAUACAGGAAUUAUAAUAAUAACUAUAUUUAUUAUUGCCUCUAGGGCAUAAUUCCAACAGUCUCCCACUUGCACUAGAGUCAAUAAUCUAGCCCUCACAUCACCAUGUGAAUUACAUUGUAAUAAAUCUAACACCCAUACAGUUCUGGUGUCGAUCAUGUUUUGGCCGUGGAAGAGGUUUAGUCAGUGGGUCUGCUACAUUCAGAUCCGUAUGCACUUUGCAUAUAUUUACGUCCUCUUCCUCGACGUAGUCGCGGAUGAGGUUGAAGCGUCGUUUGAUGUGUCUGGUCUUCUUGUGAAACCGUGGUUCCUUUGCUAAGGCAAUGGCACCAGUGUUGUCACAGAACAAGGUUAUUGGAUUCAGUGCGCUUGGCACCACUCCAAGAUCCGUCAUGAACUGCUUCAUCCAGACACCCUCCUUAGCCGCCUCCGAGGCAGCCAUGUACUCCGCUUCACAUGUAGAAUCUGCUACGACGCUUUGCUUGGAACUGCACCAGCUUACUGCACCCCCAUUAAGAAUAAAUACGUAUCCGGUUUGCGACUUAGAGUCGUCCGGAUCUGUGUCAAAGCUUGCAUCGACGUAACCUUUUACGGCGAGCUCUUCGUCACCUCCAUACACGAGAAACAUCUCCUUAGUCCUUUUCAGGUACUUCAGGAUAUUCUUGACCGCUGUCCAGUGAUCCACUCCUGGAUUACUCUGGAACCUACCUGCCAUACUUAUGGCAAGGCUAACAUCCGGUCUAGUGCACAACAUCGCAUACAUGAUAGACCCUAUGGCUGAAGCAUAGGGGACGGAGCGCAUAUGCUCUCUAUCUUCAUCAGUUGCUGGGCACUGAGUCUUACUCAAUCUCGUACCUUGUAAAACUGGCAAGAACCCUUUCUUGGACUGUUCCAUUUUGAACCUCUUCAAAACUUUAUCAAGGUAUGUGCUUUGUGAAAGUCCUAUCAGGCGUUUUGAUCUAUCCCUAUAGAUCUUAAUGCCUAGAAUGUAAGCAGCUUCUCCUAGGUCCUUCAUAGAGAAACUUUUAUUCAAGUAACCUUUUAUGCUCUCCAAAAGCUCUACGUUGUUUCCAAUCAGUAAUAUGUCAUCCACAUAUAAUAUCAGAAACGCCACAGAGCUCCCACUCACUUUCUUGAAAAUACAAGAUUCUCCAACCACUUGUAUAAACCCAAAUGCUUUGAUCACCUCAUCAAAGCGUUUGUUCCAACUCCGAGAUGCUUGCACCAGUCCAUAAAUGGAUCGCUGGAGCUUGCACACCUUGUCAGCAUUUUCAGGAUCGACAAAACCUUCGGGUUGCAUCAUAUACAACUCUUCCUUAAGGAAACCGUUAAGGAACGCCGUUUUGACAUCCAUCUGCCAGAUUUCAUAAUCGAAAAAUGCAGCUAUUGCUAACAUGAUUCUGACGGACUUAAGCAUCGCUACGGGUGAGAAAGUCUCAUCGUAGUCAACUCCUGGAACUUGUGAAAAACCCUUUGCCACAAGUCGAGCUUUAUAAACGGUCACAUUACCGUCAGCGUCCGUCUUUUUCUUAAAGAUCCAUUUGUUCUGAAUAGCCUUGCGGCCCUCAGGUAGUAUCUCCAAAGUCCACACUUUGUUCUCAUACAUGGAUCCUAUCUCGGAUUUCAUGGCUUCUAGCCAUUUGUUGGAAUCUGGGCCCACCAUUGCUUCUUCAUAAUUUGCAGGUUCAUUGUUGUCUAACAACAUGAUUGAUAAGACGGGAUUACCGUACCACUCUGGAGCAGCGCGUGAUCUCGUCGACCUGCGUGGUUCUACAGAAACUUGAACUGGAGUUUCAUGAUCAUCAUCAUUAACUUCCUCCUCAACCGGCGUCGCAACGACAGAGGUUUCCCCUUGCCCUGCGCCACCAUCCAGAGGGAUGAGAGGUUCGACAACCUCGUCAAGUUCUAUCUUCCUCCCACUCAAUUCUCUCGAGAGAAACUCCUUCUCGAGAAAAGCUCCGUUUUUAGCAACAAACACUUUGCCCUCGGAUUUGAGAUAGAAGGUGUACCCAACUGUCUCUUUUGGGUAACCUAUGAAGACGCACUUUUCCGCUUUGGGUUCCAGCUUUUCAGGCUGAAGCUUUUUGACAUAAGCAUUACAUCCCCAAACUUUAAGAAACGACAACUUUGGCCUUUUGCCAUACCACAGUUCGUAUGGUGUCGUCUCAACGGAUUUUGAUGGUGCCCUAUUUAAAGUGAAUGCAGCUGUUUCUAAUGCAUAACCCCAAAAUGAUAACGGCAAAUCAGUAAGAGACAUCAUAGAUCGCACCAUCUCUAACAAAGUACGAUUACGACGUUCGGACACACCAUUACGCUGUGGUGUUCCAGGCGGUGUUAACUGUGAAACAAUUCCACAUUGUCUUAAGUGAGCACCAAACUCGAAACUCAGAUAUUCACCCCCACGAUCAGACCGUAGGAACUUGAUCUUCUUGUUACGAUGAUUUUCCACUUCACUCUGAAAUUGUUUGAACUUUUCAAAUGUUUCAGACUUGUGCUUCAUCAAGUAGACAUAAGCAUAUCUACUUAAAUCGUCAGUGAAGGUGAGAAAAUAACGAUAUCCGCCGCGUGCCUCUACGCUCAUUGGACCACACACAUCGGUAUGUAUGAUUUCCAACAAGUCACUUGCACGCUCCAUUGUUCCGGAGAACGGAGUCUUAGUCAUCUUGCCCAUGAGGCAUGGUUCGCACGUGUCAAGUGAAUCAAAGUCAAGUGACUCCAAAAGUCCAUCAGCAUGGAGUUUCUUCAUGUGCUUUACACAAAUAUGACCCAAGCGGCAGUGCCACAAAAAUAUGGCGCUAUCAUUGUUUACUCUAACUCUUUUGGUCUCAAUGUUAUGUAUAUGCGUAUCGCUAUCAAGAUUCAAUAUGAACAAUCCUCUCACAUUCGGUGCAUGACCAUAAAAGAUGUUACUCAUAGAAAUAGAACAACCAUUAUUCUCAGACUUAAAAGAGUAACCGUCUCGCAAUAAACAAGAUCUAGAUAUAAUGUUCAUGCUCAACGCAGGCACUAAAUAACAAUGAUUUAAGUUCAUCACUAAUCCCGAUGGUAGCUGAAGUGACACUGUGCCGACGGCGAUUGCAUCAACCUUGGAACCAUUUCCCACGCGCAUCGUCACUUCGUCUUUCGCCAGCCUUCGUCUAUUCCGCAGUUCCUGUUUCGAGUUGCAAAUGUGAGCAACAGAACCGGUAUCGAAUACCCAGGCACUACUACGAGAGCCGGUUAAGUACACAUCAAUAACAUGUAUAUCAAAUAUACCUGAUUUUUCUUUGGCCGCCUUCUUAUCUGCCAGAUACUUGGGGCAAUUGCGCUUCCAGUGACCCAUACCCUUGCAAUAGAAGCACUCUGUUUCAGGCUUAGGUCCAGCCUUGGGUUUCUUCGGCGGAUUGGCAACAGGCUUGCCGCUCUUCUUCGAAUUGCCCUUCUUGCCUUUGCCGUUUCUCUUGAAACUAGUGGUCUUCAUCACCAUCAACACUUGAUGCUCUUUACGGAGUUCAGACUCUGCGACUUUCAGCAUCGCAAACAACUCGCCGGGAGACUUGUUCAUCCCUUGCAUGUUGUAGUUCAACACAAAGCCUUUAUAGCUUGGCGGCAGUGAUUGAAGGAUUCUGUCAGUGAUAGCUUCUUGCGGGAGUUCAAUCCCCAGUUCAGCUAGACGGUUUGAGUACCCAGACAUUUUGAGCACAUGUUCACUGAGAGACGAGUUUUCCUCCAUCUUGCAAGCAUAGAAUUUAUCGGAGGUCUCAUACCUCUCGAUCCGGGCGUUCUUCUGAAAGAUAAACUCCAACUCCUGGAACAUCUCAAAUGCUCCAUGACGCUCAAAGCGAUGUUGAAGUCCCGGUUCUAAGCCAUACAAGACUGCACAUUGAACUAUUGAGUAGUCCUCCUUACGUGCUAACCAAGCGUUCUUAACAUCCUGAUCAGCCGUAGCGGGUGGUUCAUUUCCUAGCGCAGCAUUAAGGACAUAAUCCUUCUUCCCAGCUUGUAAGAUUAGCUUAAGAUUACGAGCCCAGUCUACAAAGUUGCUUCCAUCAUCUUUCAACUUAGCUUUCUCUAGGAACGUAUUAAAAUUCAGGAUGACUGUCGCGUGAGCCAUGAUCUACAUCACAAAUAUAUUCAAAGUGGACUUAGACUAUGUUCAAGAUAAUUAGAGUUCAACUUAAUCAAAUUAUAUGCUAAACUCCCACUCAAAAAGUACAUCUCUCUAGUCAUUUGAGUGGUUCAUGAUCCACUUACACUAUCCCAAGUCCGAUCAUCACGUGAGUUGGGUAUAGAUUCAGUGGUAAGCAUCCCUAUGCUAAUCAUAUCAACUAUAUGAUUCACGAUCGACCUUUCGGUCUCAUGUGUUCCGAGGCCAUGUCUGCACAUGCUAGGCUCGUCAAGCUUAACCCGAGUGUUCCGCGUGCGCAACUGUUUUGCACCCGUUGUAUGUGAACGUUGAGUCUAUCACACCCGAUCAUCACGUGGUGUCUCGAAACGACGAACUGUAGCAACGGUGCACAAUCGGGGAGAACACAAUUUCAUCUUGAAAUUUUAGUGAGAGAUAACCUCAUAAUGCUACCGUCGUUCUAAGCAAAAUAAGGUGCAUAAAAGGAUUAACAUCACAUGCAAUUCAUAAGUGACAUGAUAUGGCCAUCAUCACGUGCUUCUUGAUCUCCAUCACCAAAGCACCGGCACGAUCUUCUUGUCACCGGCGCCACACCAUGAUCAUCCAUCAACGUGUUGCCAUCGGGGUUGUCGUGCUACUUAUGCUAUUACUACUAAAGCUACAUCCUAGCAAAAUAGUAAACGCAUCUGCAAGCACAAACGUUAGUAUAAAGACAACCCUAUGGCUCCUGCCGGUUGCCGUACCAUCGACAUGCAAGUCGAUAUUUCUAUUACAACAUGAUCAUCUCAUACAUCCAAUAUAUCACAUCACAUCGUUGGCCAUAUAACAUCACAAUCAUACCCUACAAAAACAAGUUAGACGUCCUCUAAUUUUGUUGUUGCAUGUUUUACGUGGUGACCAAGGGUAUCUAGUAGGAUCACAUCUUACUUACGCAAACACCACAACGGAGAUAUAUGAGUUGCUAUUUAACCUCAUCCAAGGACCUCCUCGGUCAAAUCCGAUUCAACUAAAGUUGGAGAAACCGUCACUUGCCAGUCAUCUUUGAGCAAAGGGGGUUACUCGUAACGAUGAAACCAGUCUCUCGUAAGCGUACGAGUAAUGUCGGUCCAAGCCGCUUCAAUCCAACAAUACCGCGGAAUCAAGAAAAAACUAAGGAGGGCAGCAAAGCGCACAUCACCGCCCACAAAACCUUUUGUGUUCUACUCGAGAAGACAUCUACGCAUGAACCUAGCUCAUGAUGCCACUGUUGGGGAACGUCGCAUGGGAAACAAAAAUUUUCCUACGCGCACGAAGACCUAUCAUGGUGAUGUCCAUCUACGAGAGGGGAUGAGUGAUCUACGUACCCUUGUAGAUCGUACAGCAGAAGCGUUAGAGAACGCGGUUGAUGUAGUGGAACGUCCUCACGUCCCUCGAUCCGCCCCACGAACAAUCCCGCGACCAGUCCCACGAUCUAGUACCGAACGGACGGCACCUCCGCGUUCAGCACACGUACAGCUCGACGAUGAUCUCGGCCUUCUUGAUCCAGCAAGAGAGACGGAGAGGUAGAAGAGUUCUCCGGCAGCGUGGCGGCGCUCCGGAGGUUGGUGAUGACCUUGUCUCAGCAGGGCUCCGCCCGAGCUCCGCAGAAACGCGAUCUAGAGGAAAAACCGUGGAGGUAUGUGGUCGGGCUGCCGUGGAAAAGUCGUCUCAAAUCAGCCCUAAAACCUCCGUAUAUAUAGGUGGGAGGGAGGGGACCUUGCCUUGGGGCUCAAGGAGCCCCAAGGGGGUCGGCCGAGUCCAAGGGGGGAGGACUCCCCCCCCCAAACCGAGUUGGACUUGGUUUGGUGGGAGGGAGUCCCCCUUCCUUCCCACCUCCUCCUCUUUUUUUUCUUUUCUCUUGAUUUUUUCUUCUUGGCGCAUAGAGACCUUUUGGGCUGUCCCACCAGCCCACUAAGGGCUGGUGUGCCACCCUCAAGGCCUAUGGGCUUCCCCGGGGUGGGUUGCCCCCCCGGUGAACUCCCGGAACCCAUUCGUCAUUCCCGGUACAUUCCCGGUAACUCCGAAAACCUUCCGGUAAUCAAAUGAGGUCAUCCUAUAUAUCAAUCUUCGUUUCCGGACUAUUCCGGAAACCCUCGUGACGUCCGUGAUCUCAUCCGGGACUCCGAACAACAUUCGGUAACCAACCAUAUAACUCAAAUACGCAUAAAACAACGUCGAACCUUAAGUGUGCAGACCCUGCGGGUUCGAGAACUAUGUAGACAUGACCCGAGAGACUCCUCGGUCAAUAUCCAAUAGCGGGACCUGGAUGCCCAUAUUGGAUCCUACAUAUUCUACGAAGAUCUUAUCGUUUGAACCUCAGUGCCAAGGAUUCAUAUAAUCCCGUAUGUCAUUCCCUUUGUCCUUCGGUAUGUUACUUGCCCGAGAUUCGAUCGUCAGUAUCCGCAUACCUAUUUCAAUCUCGUUUACCGGCAAGUCUCUUUACUCGUUCCGUAAUACAAGAUCCCGCAACUUACACUAAGUUACAUUGCUUGCAAGGCUUGUGUGUGAUGUUGUAUUACCGAGUGGGCCCCGAGAUACCUCUCCGUCACACGGAGUGACAAAUCCCAGUCUUGAUCCAUACUAACUCAACUAACACCUUCGGAGAUACCUGUAGAGCAUCUUUAUAGUCACCCAGUUACGUUGCGACGUUUGAUACACACAAAGCAUUCCUCCGGUGUCAGUGAGUUAUAUGAUCUCAUGGUCAUAGGAAUAAAUACUUGACACGCAGAAAACAGUAGCAACAAAAUGACACGAUCAACAUGCUACGUCUAUUAGUUUGGGUCUAGUCCAUCACGUGAUUCUCCUAAUGACGUGAUCCAGUUAUCAAGCAACAACACCUUGUUCAUAAUCAGAAGACACUGACUAUCAUUGAUCAACUGGCUAGCCAACUAGAGGCAUGCUAGGGACGGUGUUUUGUCUAUGUAUCCACACAUGUAAAUGAGUCUUCAUUCAAUACAAUUAUAGCAUGGAUAAUAAACUAUUAUCUUGAUACAGGAAUUAUAAUAAUAACUAUAUUUAUUAUUGCCUCUAGGGCAUAAUUCCAACAGUCUCCCACUUGCACUAGAGUCAAUAAUCUAGCCCUCACAUCACCAUGUGAAUUACAUUGUAAUAAAUCUAACACCCAUACAGUUCUGGUGUUGAUCAUGUUUUGGCCGUGGAAGAGGUUUAGUCAGCGGGUCUGCUACAUUCAGAUCCGUGUGCACUUUGCAUAUAUUCACGUCCUCUCCCUCGACGUAGUCGCGGAUGAGGUUGAAGCGUCGUUUGAUGUGUCUGGUCUUCUUGUGAAACCGUGGUUCCUUUGCUAAGGCAAUGGCACCAGUGUUGUCACAGAACAAGGUUAUUGGAUUCAGUGCGCUUGGCACCACUCCAAGAUCCGUCAUGAACUGCUUCAUCCAGACACCCUCCUUAGCCGCCUCCGAGGCAGCCAUGUACUCCGCUUCACAUGUAGAAUCUGCUACGACGCUUUGCUUGGAACUGCACCAGCUUACUGCACCCCCAUUAAGAAUAAAUACGUAUCCGGUUUGCGACUUAGAGUCGUCCGGAUCUGUGUCAAAGCUUGCAUCGACGUAACCUUUUACGGCGAGCUCUUCGUCACCUCCAUACACGAGAAACAUCUCCUUAGUCCUUUUCAGGUACUUCAGGAUAUUCUUGACCGCUGUCCAGUGAUCCACUCCUGGAUUACUCUGGAACCUACCUGCCAUACUUAUGGCCAGGCUAACAUCCGGUCUAGUGCACAACAUCGCAUACAUGAUAGACCCUAUGGCUGAAGCAUAGGGGACGGAGCGCAUAUGCUCUCUAUCUUCAUCAGUUGCUGGGCACUGAGUCUUACUCAAUCUCGUACCUUGUAAAACUGGCAAGAACCCUUUCUUGGACUGUUCCAUUUUGAACCUCUUCAAAACUUUAUCAAGGUAUGUGCUUUGUGAAAGUCCUAUCAGGCGUUUUGAUCUAUCCCUAUAGAUCUUAAUGCCUAGAAUGUAAGCAGCUUCUCCUAGGUCCUUCAUAGAGAAACUUUUAUUCAAGUAACCUUUUAUGCUCUCCAAAAGCUCUACGUUGUUUCCAAUCAGUAAUAUGUCAUCCACAUAUAAUAUCAGAAACGCCACAGAGCUCCCACUCACUUUCUUGAAAAUACAAGAUUCUCCAACCACUUGUAUAAACCCAAAUGCUUUGAUCACCUCAUCAAAGCGUUUGUUCCAACUCCGAGAUGCUUGCACCAGUCCAUAAAUGGAUCGCUGGAGCUUGCACACCUUGUCAGCAUUUUCAGGAUCGACAAAACCUUCGGGUUGCAUCAUAUACAACUCUUCCUUAAGGAAACCGUUAAGGAACGCCGUUUUGACAUCCAUCUGCCAGAUUUCAUAAUCGAAAAAUGCAGCUAUUGCUAACAUGAUUCUGACGGACUUAAGCAUCGCUACGGGUGAGAAAGUCUCAUCGUAGUCAACUCCUGGAACUUGUGAAAAACCCUUUGCCACAAGUCGAGCUUUAUAAACGGUCACAUUACCGUCAGCGUCCGUCUUUUUCUUAAAGAUCCAUUUGUUCUGAAUAGCCUUGCGGCCCUCAGGUAGUAUCUCCAAAGUCCACACUUUGUUCUCAUACAUGGAUCCUAUCUCGGAUUUCAUGGCUUCUAGCCAUUUGUUGGAAUCUGGGCCCACCAUUGCUUCUUCAUAAUUUGCAGGUUCAUUGUUGUCUAACAACAUGAUUGAUAAGACGGGAUUACCGUACCACUCUGGAGCAGCGCGUGAUCUCGUCGACCUGCGUGGUUCUACAGAAACUUGAACUGGAGUUUCAUGAUCAUCAUCAUUAACUUCCUCCUCAACCGGCGUCGCAACGACAGAGGUUUCCCCUUGCCCUGCGCCACCAUCCAGAGGGAUGAGAGGUUCGACAACCUCGUCAAGUUCUAUCUUCCUCCCACUCAAUUCUCUCGAGAGAAACUCCUUCUCGAGAAAAGCUCCGUUUUUAGCAACAAACACUUUGCCCUCGGAUUUGAGAUAGAAGGUGUACCCAACUGUCUCUUUUGGGUAACCUAUGAAGACGCACUUUUCCGCUUUGGGUUCCAGCUUUUCAGGCUGAAGCUUUUUGACAUAAGCAUUACAUCCCCAAACUUUAAGAAACGACAACUUUGGCCUUUUGCCAUACCACAGUUCGUAUGGUGUCAUCUCAACGGAUUUUGAUGGUGCCCUAUUUAAAGUGAAUGCAGCUGUUUCUAAUGCAUAACCCCAAAAUGAUAACGGCAAAUCAGUAAGAGACAUCAUAGAUCGCACCAUCUCUAACAAAGUACGAUUACGACGUUCGGACACACCAUUACGCUGUGGUGUUCCAGGCGGUGUUAACUGUGAAACAAUUCCACAUUGUCUUAAGUGAGCACCAAACUCGAAACUCAGAUAUUCACCCCCACGAUCAGACCGUAGGAACUUGAUCUUCUUGUUACGAUGAUUUUCCACUUCACUCUGAAAUUGUUUGAACUUUUCAAAUGUUUCAGACUUGUGCUUCAUCAAGUAGACAUAAGCAUAUCUACUUAAAUCGUCAGUGAAGGUGAGAAAAUAACGAUAUCCGCCGCGUGCCUCCACGCUCAUUGGACCACACACAUCGGUAUGUAUGAUUUCCAACAAGUCACUUGCACGCUCCAUUGUUCCGGAGAACGGAGUCUUAGUCAUCUUGCCCAUGAGGCAUGGUUCGCACGUGUCAAGUGAAUCAAAGUCAAGUGACUCCAAAAGUCCAUCAGCAUGGAGUUUCUUCAUGUGCUUUACACAAAUAUGACCCAAGCGGCAGUGCCACAAAAAUAUGGCGCUAUCAUUGUUUACUCUAACUCUUUUGGUCUCAAUGUUAUGUAUAUGCGUAUCGCUAUCAAGAUUCAAUAUGAACAAUCCUCUCACAUUCGGUGCAUGACCAUAAAAGAUGUUACUCAUAGAAAUAGAACAACCAUUAUUCUCAGACUUAAAAGAGUAACCGUCUCGCAAUAAACAAGAUCCAGAUAUAAUGUUCAUGCUCAACGCAGGCACUAAAUAACAAUGAUUUAAGUUCAUCACUAAUCCCGAUGGUAGCUGAAGUGACACUGUGCCGACGGCGAUUGCAUCAACCUUGGAACCAUUUCCCACGCGCAUCGUCACUUCGUCUUUCGCCAGCCUUCGUCUAUUCCGCAGUUCCUGUUUCGAGUUGCAAAUGUGAGCAACAGAACCGGUAUCGAAUACCCAGGCACUACUACGAGAGCCGGUUAAGUACACAUCAAUAACAUGUAUAUCAAAUAUACCUGAUUUUUCUUUGGCCGCCUUCUUAUCUGCCAGAUACUUGGGGCAAUUGCGCUUCCAGUGACCCAUACCCUUGCAAUAGAAGCACUCUGUUUCAGGCUUAGGUCCAGCCUUGGGUUUCUUCGGCGGAUUGGCAACAGGCUUGCCGCUCUUCUUCGAAUUGCCCUUCUUGCCUUUGCCGUUUCUCUUGAAACUAGUGGUCUUGCUCACCAUCAACACUUGAUGCUCUUUACGGAGUUCAGACUCUGCGACUUUCAGCAUCGCAAACAACUCGCCGGGAGACUUGUUCAUCCCUUGCAUGUUGUAGUUCAACACAAAGCCUUUAUAGCUUGGCGGCAGUGAUUGAAGGAUUCUGUCAGUGAUAGCUUCUUGCGGGAGUUCAAUCCCCAGUUCAGCUAGACGGUUUGAGUACCCAGACAUUUUGAGCACAUGUUCACUGAGAGACGAGUUUUCCUCCAUCUUGCAAGCAUAGAAUUUAUCGGAGGUCUCAUACCUCUCGAUCCGGGCGUUCUUCUGAAAGAUAAACUCCAACUCCUGGAACAUCUCAAAUGCUCCAUGACGCUCAAAGCGACGUUGAAGUCCCGGUUCUAAGCCAUACAAGACUGCACAUUGAACUAUUGAGUAGUCCUCCUUACGUGCUAACCAAGCGUUCUUAACAUCCUGAUCAGCCGUAGCGGGUGGUUCAUUUCCUAGCGCAGCAUUAAGGACAUAAUCCUUCUUCCCAGCUUGUAAGAUUAGCUUAAGAUUACGAGCCCAGUCUACAAAGUUGCUUCCAUCAUCUUUCAACUUAGCUUUCUCUAGGAACGUAUUAAAAUUCAGGAUGACUGUCGCGUGAGCCAUGAUCUACAUCACAAAUAUAUUCAAAGUGGACUUAGACUAUGUUCAAGAUAAUUAGAGUUCAACUUAAUCAAAUUAUAUGCUAAACUCCCACUCAAAAAGUACAUCUCUCUAGUCAUUUGAGUGGUUCAUGAUCCACUUACACUAUCCCAAGUCCGAUCAUCACGUGAGUUGGGUAUAGAUUCAGUGGUAAGCAUCCCUAUGCUAAUCAUAUCAACUAUAUGAUUCACGAUCGACCUUUCGGUCUCAUGUGUUCCGAGGCCAUGUCUGCACAUGCUAGGCUCGUCAAGCUUAACCCGAGUGUUCCGCGUGCGCAACUGUUUUGCACCCGUUGUAUGUGAACGUUGAGUCUAUCACACCCGAUCAUCACGUGGUGUCUCGAAACGACGAACUGUAGCAACGGUGCACAAUCGGGGAGAACACAAUUUCAUCUUGAAAUUUUAGUGAGAGAUAACCUCAUAAUGCUACCGUCGUUCUAAGCAAAAUAAGGUGCAUAAAAGGAUUAACAUCACAUGCAAUUCAUAAGUGACAUGAUAUGGCCAUCAUCACGUGCUUCUUGAUCUCCAUCACCAAAGCACCGGCACGAUCUUCUUGUCACCGGCGCCACACCAUGAUCAUCCAUCAACGUGUUGCCAUCGGGGUUGUCGUGCUACUUAUGCUAUUACUACUAAAGCUACAUCCUAGCAAAAUAGUAAACGCAUCUGCAAGCACAAACGUUAGUAUAAAGACAACCCUAUGGCUCCUGCCGGUUGCCGUACCAUCGACAUGCAAGUCGAUAUUUCUAUUACAACAUGAUCAUCUCAUACAUCCAAUAUAUCACAUCACAUCGUUGGCCAUAUAACAUCACAAUCAUACCCUACAAAAACAAGUUAGACGUCCUCUAAUUUUGUUGUUGCAUGUUUUACGUGGUGACCAAGGGUAUCUAGUAGGAUCACAUCUUACUUACGCAAACACCACAACGGAGAUAUAUGAGUUGCUAUUUAACCUCAUCCAAGGACCUCCUCGGUCAAAUCCGAUUCAACUAAAGUUGGAGAAACCGUCACUUGCCAGUCAUCUUUGAGCAAAGGGGGUUACUCGUAACGAUGAAACCAGUCUCUCGUAAGCGUACGAGUAAUGUCGGUCCAAGCCGCUUCAAUCCAACAAUACCGCGGAAUCAAGAAAAAACUAAGGAGGGCAGCAAAGCGCACAUCACCGCCCACAAAACCUUUUGUGUUCUACUCGAGAAGACAUCUACGCAUGAACCUAGCUCAUGAUGCCACUGUUGGGGAACGUCGCAUGGGAAACAAAAAUUUUCCUACGCGCACGAAGACCUAUCAUGGUGAUGUCCAUCUACGAGAGGGGAUGAGUGAUCUACGUACCCUUGUAGAUCGUACAGCAGAAGCGUUAGAGAACGCGGUUGAUGUAGUGGAACGUCCUCACGUCCCUCGAUCCGCCCCACGAACAAUCCCGCGACCAGUCCCACGAUCUAGUACCGAACGGACGGCACCUCCGCGUUCAGCACACGUACAGCUCGACGAUGAUCUCGGCCUUCUUGAUCCAGCAAGAGAGACGGAGAGGUAGAAGAGUUCUCCGGCAGCGUGGCGGCGCUCCGGAGGUUGGUGAUGACCUUGUCUCAGCAGGGCUCCGCCCGAGCUCCGCAGAAACGCGAUCUAGAGGAAAAACCGUGGAGGUAUGUGGUCGGGCUGCCGUGGAAAAGUCGUCUCAAAUCACACCUAAAACCUCCGUAUAUAUAGGUGGGAGGGAGGGGGCCUUGCCUUGGGGUCCAAGGACCCUCAAGGGGGUCGGCCGAGCCAAGGGGGAGGACUCUCCCCCCCCCAAACCGAGUUGGACUAGGUUUGGUGGGAGGGAGUCCCCCUCCCUUCCCACCUCCUCCUUUUUUUUCUUUUUCCUUUGAUUUCUUAUCCUUGGCGCAUAGGGCCCUUUUGGGCUGUCCCACCAGCCCACUAAGGGCUGGUGCACCACCCUUAUGGCCUAUGGGCUUCCCCGGGGUGGGUUGCCCCCCCCGGUGAACUCCCGGAACCCAUUCGUCAUUCCCGGUACAUUCCCGGUAACUCCGAAAACCUUCCGGUAAUCAAAUGAGGUCAUCCUAUAUAUCAAUCUUCGUUUCCGGACCAUUCCGGAAACCCUCGUGACGUCCGUGAUCUCAUCCGGGACUCCGAACAACAUUCGGUAACCAACCAUAUAACUCAAAUACGCAUAAAACAACGUCGAACCUUAAGUGUGCAGACCCUGCGGGUUCGAGAACUAUGUAGACAUGACCCGAGAGACUCCUCGGUCAAUAUCCAAUAGCGGGACCUGGAUGCCCAUAUUGGAUCCUACAUAUUCUACGAAGAUCUUAUCGUUUGAACCUCAGUGCCAAGGAUUCAUAUAAUCCCGUAUGUCAUUCCCUUUGUCCUUCGGUAUGUUACUUGCCCGAGAUUCGAUCGUCAGUAUCCGCAUACCUAUUUCAAUCUCGUUUACCGGCAAGUCUCUUUACUCGUUCCGUAAUACAAGAUCCCGCAACUUACACUAAGUUACAUUGCUUGCAAGGCUUGUGUGUGAUGUUGUAUUACCGAGUGGGCCCCGAGAUACCUCUCCGUCACACGGAGUGACAAAUCCCAGUCUUGAUCCAUACUAACUCAACUAACACCUUCGGAGAUACCUGUAGAGCAUCUUUAUAGUCACCCAGUUACGUUGCGACGUUUGAUACACACAAAGCAUUCCUCCGGUGUCAGUGAGUUAUAUGAUCUCAUGGUCAUAGGAAUAAAUACUUGACACGCAGAAAACAGUAGCAACAAAAUGACACGAUCAACAUGCUACGUCUAUUAGUUUGGGUCUAGUCCAUCACGUGAUUCUCCCAAUGACGUGAUCCAGUUAUCAAGCAACAACACCUUGUUCAUAAUCAGAAGACACUGACUAUCAUUGAUCAACUGGCUAGCCAACUAGAGGCAUGCUAGGGACGGUGUUUUGUCUAUGUAUCCACACAUGUAAAUGAGUCUUCAUUCAAUACAAUUAUAGCAUGGAUAAUAAACUAUUAUCUUGAUACAGGAAUUAUAAUAAUAACUAUAUUUAUUAUUGCCUCUAGGGCAUAAUUCCAACACGAUCAUCACGUGAGACGGACUAGUCACCAUGGUGAGCAACUUCAUGCUGAUCGUAUUCAACCAUACGACUCAUGUUCGACCUUUUGGUCUCUUGUAUUCGAGGUCAUGUCUGUACAUGCUUAGCUCGUCGAGUCAACCUAGGUGUUUCGCGUGUGUAAAUCUGGCUUACACCCGUUGUAUGCGAACGUUAGAAUCUAUCACACCCGAUCAUCAUGUGGUGCUUCGAGACAACGAUCCUUCGCAACGGUGCACACUUAAGGGAAUACGUUCUCGAAAUUUUAAGAGGGAUCAUCUUAUUAUGCUACCGUCGUUCUAAGAAAUAAGAUGAAAAACAUGAUAAACAUCACAAUGCAAUCAUAUAGUGACAUGAUAUGGCCAUUAUCAUCUUUGCUCUUUCGAUCUCCAUCUUUAGGCAUCGCAUGAUCAUCAUUGUCACCGGCGUGACACCAUGAUCUCCAUCAUCGUGUCUCCGUGAAGUCGUCACGCCAACUACUACUAUCACUACUACUAUAGCUAACCGUUAGCAAUGUAGUAAAAGUAGUAAGCACAUGGCGUUGCAUCUCAUACAAUAAAUUAAGACAACUCCUAUGGCUCCUGCCGGUUGUCAUACUCAUCGACAUGCAAGUCAUGAAACCUAUUACAAUAACAUGAUUAUCUGAUACAUCAUACAUGCAACAUCACAACUUUGUCCAUAUCACAUCACAUGUCAAACCCUGCAAAAACAAGUUAGACGUCCUCUAAUUGUUGUUGCAAGUUUUACGUGGCUGAUUUGGGUUUCUAGCAAGAACGCUUUCUUACCUACGUGACAGCCACAACGAUAAUAUGCCAAAGCUAUUUACCCUUCAUAAGGACCCUUUCCAUCAAAUCCAAUCCGAGUAGAGUAGGAGAGACAGACACCCGCUAGCCACCUUUAUGCACGGUGUGGAUGUCUGCCGGUGGAACCAGUCUCACGUAAGCGUACGUGUAAUGUCGGUUUGGGCCGCUUCAUCCCACAAUAUAGCCGGAAAAGAAUAAGACUAGUAGCGGCAAGCAAUUGACAAAUCAUCGCCCACAACCUUUUGUGUUCUACUCGUGCAUAGAAUCUACGCAUAGAAAACCUGGCUCGGAUGCCACUGUUGGGUAACAUAGCAUAAAUUCAAAAAAAUUCCUACGCAUAUUCAGAUCUUCCUAUGGAGAGACCAGCAACGAGAGAGGGGUGAGUGCAUAUUCAUACCUUUGAAGAUCGCUAAGCGGAAGCGUUACUAGAAUGCGGUUGAUGGAGUCGUACUCGCGGCGAUUCAGAUCGCGGUGUGAUUCCAAUCUAGUGCCGAACUACGGCACCUCCGCGUUCAACACACGUGCAACCCGGUGACGUCUCCCGCACCUUGAUCCAGCAAGGAGGAGGGAGAGGUUGGCGAAGAUCUCCAGCAACACGAUGGCGUGGUGUCGAUGGAGAGACGAGGUCUCCCGGCAGGGCUUCGCCAAGCACCGGCAGAGAGGGCGCCGAGGGAGAGGGAAAACUGUGUGCAAAACAGCCCCAAAACCCCCACUAUAUAUAGGAGGAGGGGAGGGGGGGUGCCACCCCUAGGGUUCCCACCCUAGGUGGUGCAGCAACCCCCCAGAUGGGAGGUGUGGUGGCCAGGGCAGGGGGGAGUGGUGGCGCACCCCUAGGUGGGCCUUAGGCCCACCAGCGCCUAGGGUUUCCCCCCUCUCCACCUCCUGCGCCUUGGGCUGAGUGUGGGGGGCGCACCAGCCCACCUAGGGGCUGGUUCCCUCCCGCACUAGGCCCAUCUAGCCUCCAGGGGUCGUGGCCCCCUUCCGGUGGACCCCCGGGGCCACUCCCGGUGGUCCCGGUACGUUAUCGGCGACGCCCAACACACUUCCGGUGUCCGAAACCAUCCGUCCUAUAUAUCAAUCAUUACCUCCGGACCAUUCCGAAGCUCCUCGUGACGUCUGGGAUCUCAUCCGGGACUCUGAACAACUUUCGAUAACCUCGUAUAACAAUUCCCUAUAACCCUAGCGUCAUCGAACCUUAAGUGUGUAGACCCUACGGGUUCGGGAGACAGGCAGACAUGACCGAGACACCUCUCGGGAAAAUAACCAUCAACAGGGUCUGGAUACCCAUGGUGGCUCUCACUUGCUCCACGAUGAUCUCAUCGGAUGAACCACGAUGUCAAGGAUUCAAUCAAUCCCGUAUACAAUUCCCUUUGUCUCUCGGUAUAGAACUUGCCCGAGAUUCGAUCGUCGGUAUACCUAUACCUUGUUCAAUCUCGUUACCGGUAAGUCUCUUUACUCGUUCCGUAACACGUCAUCGUGUGACUAACUCCUUAGUCACAUUGAGCUCAUGAUGAUGUUCUACCGAGUGGGCCGAGGAUACCUCUCCGUCACGUGGAGUGACAAAUCCUAAUCUCGAUUUGUACCAACCCAACAGACACUGUCAGAGCUACCCGAAGUGCACCUUUAUAGUCACCCAGUUACGUUGUGACGUUUGAUACACCCAAAGCACUCCUACGGCAUCCGGGAGUUGCACAAUCUCACGGUCGAAGGAAAAGACACUUGACAUUAGAAAAGCUUUAGCAUACGAACAAUACGAUCUAGUGCUACGCUUAGGAUUGGGUCUUGUCCAUCACAUCAUUCUCCCAACGAUCUGAUCCCGUUAUCAAUGACAUCUAAUGCCCAUGACCAGGAAACCAUGAUCAUCUAUUGACUAACGAGCUAGCCAACUAGAGGCUUGCUAGGGACACAAUGUGAUCUAUUUAUUCACACAUAUAUUACUGUUUCGUGUUAAUACAAUUAUAGCAUGAACAAUAGAUGAUUAACAUGAACAAGGAAAUAUGAUAAUAACCAUUUUAUUAUUGCCUCUAGGGCAUAUUUCCAACACUACGCAUAACGGACGUGGACUACUGAUGGUCAAAUGAAUGAUCCUGAACACCUACUUACGUCAAACAUAACCCCACCGUGUCCUCGAUCGGAGAAGGAGCUCACGAAAGAGAUGGUCACGGUUACGCACUUAGUUGGCAUAUUUUAAUUAAGUUAAUUUCAAGUUAUCUAGAACCAGUGUUAAACAAAGUUUCCAGGUUGCCACAUAACCACGGACACGACUUUCCGAAAGAUUUAACCCUGCAGGGGUGCUCCAACUAAUCCAUCACAAAUUACCACAAGCCGCAUAGAAAUCCUCGAUCACAGAAGUCGUGAUCUUGUCGAACUCCUUAGUGGAAAACCUCAACUCUGAGAUUACCCAAAGCAUCACCGGAAUCCCGAUGCACAAGAUAUCUCAUAAAAGGUAAAACUAAUCCAGCAAGGCCGCCCAACGUGCCGACGAUCCCGAUAGGAGCCGCGUAUCUCAUUCUCAGGACACGACGGAUGAGCUAGACGUCGGGUUCGCUAAACCAUGGGUGAUCAGGGGGCGCCCGACAUCGCUCAGGUGGGACCAACACUCAUGAGGAGCACUCACCCGGGGGUUGAUUUAAUUACUCCACGGGUGCCAGCGGGUCCCUAUGCAUUAUUAUUAGGUUAUUAGGCAAAUGUAAAACCAAAGUUGGGCCUUGCCAGACCAGGUUUAAACUAAGACGAAUUAUCAAUGGGGUCCCCAUAACAACCCUGAUCGUGUUAGGAGCGCUCAAUUAUGGAACAUAACACCGGUAGAGGAAACUAAGGGGGGCAAAGUGUGACAUCCCCGGAUUAAGCUACAGUAAUAAAUAUAGUUAGACUAUAGUAAUCACUCGCUAAUAGUAUCACGUCAUCAAGUUUAACAAAGUUAAACUCUCGCUUGAUAAAAAUCAAAGCCAUUUUUAUAUUAAAGAUAAAAUCUUGGUUGGGUCACAAAUAUUCACAAAGUAAUUGUUACCUAGCAAACAACAUCAUUGGAUAUAUUGAAGUGCCAUAAAGUAAUUAUAAUAGAGGCCAAAACAUUAUUUAAAUUGCCUAUUCUAUAUUAUGAGAAUUCAAACUAAUCCAAAUAAUUAACAAACUUUCUCGAGCAGUGUCUAUUAAUGCAUCGUAAAUAAUUCUGCAAAUUAUAUUUUUUUUCUUAAGUCAAAAUACUCUGGUUUUAAAACAAAUAAAAGACAAUGCAAAAAAAACAUGUGGGCCAACUCGGCCAAAUUGACCGAGCCAGCCCACCUAAUUGGGGAGGUAUAAAACCCCCCCAAACCCUAAGCCCAACCGCCCCCACUCCCCCUUUUCCUUCCCCUGCCGCCGCCGCUAGGGCACGCUCUCCUCGCCACCCACCCGCUCGCACGAGACCCCAUCCUCACCUCUCGGUAUUCCACCACCAACCCCCGUGACCGACGCAGCCCCACCCACCAAUCACUCCUCCCUUUUCUCUCGGUAGCCUCACCUCUCAGUCACCCCGCACGAGAGGCCUCCUCUCUCCCUCGUCCCAGCCGAACCCCACCACCAACCUCUCGGUCUACCCCCAGANNNNNNNNNNNNNNNNNNNNNNNNNNNNNNNNNNNNNNNNNNNNNNNNNNNNNNNNNNNNNNNNNNNNNNNNNNNNNNNNNNNNNNNNNNNNNNNNNNNNNNNNNNNNNNNNNNNNNNNNNNNNNNNNNNNNNNNNNNNNNNNNNNNNNNNNNNNNNNNNNNNNNNNNNNNNNNNNNNNNNNNNNNNNNNNNNNNNNNNNNNNNNNNNNNNNNNNNNNNNNGUCCAUGAGGGACCGUGCAGGGAGACCCCUCCUCCUCGUCGUGCCGGUUGGCCACCUCCGGGAGGCCUCUCCGGCAAUGACCGUCCUCACCGGAACCGUGUCACCGCCGUCACCACCGUCACUGCUUCGUUCUCUUCCUCGCCGUCACCUCCACCUCACGAGAACUCCGGCUUCACCGGGCCCUCUCGUCAACAUCGGUGAGCCCCUCCUCGGGCUCCUCCCACCAUCUUCUUCCUCGCACCGUCCCGGUUCCGUUCUGGCAGACGGCACUCCGAUCCGGUGCCGUUAGGUUCGUGUAGGAGUUCGUGGAGAUGUAGCUCUCUCUCUGUGAAGUUCUCUGUGUUAACAGAGAGGUGGGAGAUGUGAGAUGUGAGAAAAGGAAAUAAAAAUAAAUGUUGUAUUGCGAAUGUAUGUAUGUAUAAAAACGUCGUACGUAUUUUGUAUGUAUGAGAUGCACGAUGUAUGUAUUUGCGUAUAUAGGUGUAUGGAGAAUAUGUUAUUUGUUUGUAUAUGCAUGUUUGAGUAAAAAUGUGUAUUUGGCCUAAAGGCACUUACCGGUGGGGCCAACGCACCCCGCUGUCUAUGAGAGGGAGGACCCACACCCUCUCUUUAAGUUAGGUGAAAAUAUAAAUAUAAAUAUAAAAACAAUGUUUUUAUUAAAUAAUAAAUAGAUAUAUUAGUUAAUUAAUUAAUUGGAUAAUUAGAAUAAUUAGAGUAUGACACGUGGGUCCCCCACUAAAUUAAUCUGAUAAAUUAAUAUUUAAUCUUAAUUAAAACUUGCGCCUAUGACGUUCGGGACCCACUGGUCAGUUGACCAGUCAACUGCUGAUGUCAGCAUGACAUCAUGCUGAUGUCAUAAUAGCAUUUUAUUAAAUUAUUUAAAUCUGUUUUUUAAUUCCUAAUUAUUGAAUAAAACUUUAAAAAUUAAUAUUAAAUAAUCCGUAAGUCAGAUCAAAAUAUUUUCAACAUGAAAGUUGAUCAGCAGAAUGAGGCGAACCCGGAUACACGGUCCAUUCGUGUGUCACGCGUCUCUAGCAUAGCAAACAUGGAACAUUUCCAUCGUUUCCAGUCUGUCCGGUAGUAGCCCGAGACCCGGAAAAUAUCGUCAGGUAUUCUUCCGACCCGUCUAUGAGAGAUGUUGCUGCGUUAGCUCAUGUCUAGCCUGCAUCUUGCCAUGGCAUGCAUUGUGUUGCACCGUUGCUAUUAUUUAUUGUUUCUUCCCCCUCUUCUUACCGGUAGACCCCGAGACUGACGGUGUUGCUGGGUAUAUCUACGACCCUGCCGAUCAGUCCUUUGCCGCAGAGUAGCAAGGCAAGCAAACCCCCUUGAUCAUUCCUAUAUCGCCUAUGUCUUUCUUCCUACUGCUUGCAUUAGUAUUUUGCUACUGUUGUAGUUAGCUCACUGCUACUUUCAGUCAUGUACCUUUAAUAUGCUUAGUAUAGGUGGAGAAGUCAUCCCGUUUGACCCCGUAGUCCAGAUGCCCCGCUUGUUUUCAAUUCUCGAUCCCUGAUCGACGAGCCAGACCCGACACAGCACACACACACGCCCUAGUUGUACGAUGCUACAGAGAUACUAUCGGGUACCGAGGGUGACACCUCGCUAAGUACUCCUGAUGAUAUCUCUGUAGUAUAGCUAGUCGGUCGUGGUUAUCGAAGGUGAUUCCUCUUUCACCAUUCCCGACGACGCCUCUGUCAUGCAACCCCUCAAGUGUGGGACCCUCGAGGGUGACUCCUCUAAGCCCACCUUGACGGGUACAUCAUUCGGAAUCCAACGAGGAUGAUACCUCGGAUUCCCCCCCGAUGUUACAACCACACAGUCAUUCGACCUUGUUACUGGGAUCUUUGGUGAUUAGUUGUAAGACGGGUGGAUUCCCGUGAGACUGUGUUGUUGGCCUAAUUAAAAUGUUAAUGGAUUUGGGUAUUUGAUCUGGGUUGGUCGGAGACCUUUUUGCACUAACCGGCUACGCGGGAAGAAUUAUGGGUACUCGGUGUCGCGGUAUCAGCCGAAGCUUUUCAGAUGUCAGCAAUCAUAGUGGCACGCGCCCGAGUGGUCCCGAGAUGCAUUGCGCUUGUGAUUAAGGGAUGCUAGGACUGACAUCGGCCGCCCUCGCAUCGUGCAGGAGCGCGGAGGGGAACUGGGCCCAUGAACCCUUUGCGCUUAGGAUUUAGACCGGCGGGCUGACCUCUGUGAUUAGUCUUAGGUGGGGCUGCGACGUGUCGAUAUUCCGAGGCCGGGCAGGACCCAGAAAAGUAUGUCCGGCCAGAGUGUUAUCGAGUGUGACAGGACAUGUGGUGCACCCCUGCAGGGAUGAAAAUUAACUAUUCGGAUAGCCGUGUCCACGGUUACAGGAUGACUUGGAGUUGUGCCCUGAUCUUAUACAACUACAAUUGUUACUGAACUGGAAUUAGUUUGCCUCGGGAUUGCUUGCUCGCAGGGAGUCGAGGGAGGAUCUUUGGGCGUGACCUCACUUUAAUAUUGCUGCAACAAUAUGACUAUUAUUUGUGUUACCCCCUGUUCUACUCUCGUCUAUUGCUGCAAGACCCUGAAGAUGCUAGUCUUCGAUAGGACUAGGUCUUCUCUCUCUAUUCUCGCAUUGCUACAGUCAGUCCACAUAUAACCCCCCCUUUGAUAUUGAUGCAUACUUAGAAUAGUUCUGAUGUAAGACUUGCGAGUACUUUGGAUGAGUACUCACCGUUGCUUUGCUCCCCCCUUGUCCCCUUGAUCCGUUUGCUGCGACCAGAUGAUGGAGCCCAGGAGAUGGAGGUCCCCGCCAACGACGACUGCUACCCCGACGGUGCCUACUACUACGUGGAGGCCGUUGAUGAUUAGGAGUAGUUAGGAGGUUCCCGGGCAGGAGGCCUCGCCUCGUUCGAUCGUUGUAUCUUUUGUGCUAGCCUUCUCUAAGGCACCCCAUGUUUUAUGUCUGUACUCACAUAUUUGUUGCUUCCGCUGACUCGUGUGUUUAUCGAGGUUUCGUAUUCUAGCCCUCGAGGCCCCUGGCUUGUAAUAUGAAGCUGAUGUUAUUUUAUUUGUGUCUAGAGUUGUGUUGUGAUAUCUACCCGUGAGUCCUUGGGUUUGAUCGUACGCAUUUGCAUGUAUGAUUAGCGUAUGAUUAAACCGAGGGCGUCACACAAAGGUGGAACAAAACACCAGGCUAGAAAGGCCGAGCCUUCCACCUUUUACCAAGUAUAUAUGUGCAUUAAAUUAAAUAACAGUUAAUAGGGUGAUAUAACAAGGAACCCAUGUUAUCACAUGGAAACAACUGCAACUGCAACUAGCAACGCUAACACAUGGUUAAGCAAGCGGUAACAUAGCCAAUCAGUGGUUUGCUAGGUCGUGAACAGGUUGAAGGUUUCAUGGCAAUGUUGGGAGGCUGAUAUUUAACAUGUGGUAGGCAACAAGACAUAGCGACAGAAACGAACAACUAGCAUGGCAAUGAUAGUAAUGAUAUCUGGGGAAAUGGUCAUCUUGCCUGAGAUCCCGCUUGGAAGAAGAAUGACUCUGUGAAGCAGACGAACCGAUGUAGUCGAACGGGUCCUCACUUUUCGACACGCUUGCGGAACUCUACCGAGACGAAGCAAACCGGAAACAAGAAUCAACACACGAUAUUCACCACGACACAUGCACGACAAGAUGCAACCCACAUAUGAUGCAUGAUCGGUUGAAUAUAUGCAAGACAUGGCAUGUCAAUUCACAACAAUCAAACACUACACAUUAAGUGAAGUUCAAUAUGCAACGAGUUGCAUAUUGACGAAACUCCACAUAAGGAUUAUUUAGUUCUAUCCCGAUUAGGUACAUGGCAAUAUUAAAUAUGGUUAAACAUGACAAAAGGUGAAGCGUAAUUAAUCUACCUAUCUAGGCAUAUUAAAUGAGGUCGGAAACGACUUAUAGCAUCUCCGAAAUGACCCCAUGUGUUAAUUUAUAAUUAUGUCCAGAUCUGAACUAACACGUUUAAAUAUUUGUUAAACAACAAAAAUAAAUAGGUUCACGUGAUUCUACGUGUCGUAACAUUCAAUUUACAAAUAGAGAACAUCUCCAGCGGAGUUAGUUCAAAAGAUACGAACACCGCAAGAUAUGAUGGCAUGAAUGCAAUAUAUGUGCAAAUGGCAACCACAACAUUUCAAAGCAUUCAACCAGCGGUAUAAUAUGAAACUACACAAGAUUCUAAGCAAGUUUCAUGUAGGACAUGAUCAAAACGGAGCAACAGUUCAACAACUACGAGCUAAACAAGAAAUCACUACAAUGUGCCAAAAUCAGCCACAUAACAUUUUAUACGCGCUCGAACCACUAGCUACACAAAAUCCAAAAUGCUCAACCAAGGCAUGAGACAGUAGAGGGCAAGAUGCACUACAACAUACAACUAAUAACACCUAGCCUGGAAGCAUGGAUCACUAGGAAAAGAACUCACAAAAGGGCAUCUCACACACAGUUUCAGACUUAGUGAAAAUAUCAGUUUAUGACAGUGCAUUUUUCGAUCUGAAGGCAUAUUGACAGCAACAAAACUAUAUUCUACGGGACUCCAAAUGACAUGAAAAUUAAAGUCUACAACUAACUCCAUUGUACCAACCCCAAAAGAGCUACAUAUCACCAGAUAAACUCAUGGAAGACAGCAACAAAUUAUAAAAGAUUUCAGACUUAGAAAUAUUUCAGCAUCUCCAAGUCAGCACUAUUUUCUAGCAUGUUGAGAACAAGCAAACCACACUUAAACAUGGAUUUCUAUUGCAACCAAAAUUACCAGAGGCUAGCCUACACAUUCAAGGGUAUAUCUCUAGUUGACAACUCAUUCAUAUCAUGCACGGAUUAAAUCACACAAAAUAGACAAGAGGGCAACAUGGCAAAAUAUCACCCGUACUAACUUGCUCGAAAGCUAAAACAAAAUGCACAGUUAAAAUCUAUGGAUUUUCUACCCCGAAAACAUGUAUAAUAUGAGGGUUACAAAAUAAAAAUUACUGCCACAUGUAUAUGCGAAAAUAUGUCAUAAACAUGAUAUAGAAAACUAGCGACGGAAUCCUACAUGCAAAAAUACAAACAACUACUCUAAGAUACAUGGCAAAAAGUCCCUAAAAAUGUGAGCAUUUCAUCUACGGGGUUUGAGCAAUCCGGACACGCGCGAAAAUAAAUACGGGACAAAACCCUAUUAGGAAAACACGCAAUUCUAGGCAUAUGGCAAGUCAAACUAUUUCAAACAUGCAUGCAAGUUGCAAAUUAUGAAUGUACGCGAAAAACUACACAAGUUUCACAUAUAAAUCGCUUUGAUCCGAUACACGGUUUAAAAUCUACGGGUGUUUUAAAAUAUCUAUAUUUCCUGAAAAAGAAUUAAAUCCUAAAACCUAAAAAAAUCACUAACGAGCCGAAUCCGAAAAUGGCCUGAAUCUGGCAUGAGCGCAACUUAAUUAAAGUGCGCUGGGGCGGGGUGCAGGGGCGGCUCACCAGAGGGCCUUGGGCCGGUUGGAGAGGAGAGGCAGAUGGGCCGUGCGGGAGGCUGGGCCGAGCUGGGUCGGUUGGAGACGGAGCAGGCCGGUCGCGGUCGGGGCGACUGGGUCUCGGGCGAGGCGCUGGGAGGAGGCCCAGGACNNNNNNNNNNNNNNNNNNNNNNNNNNNNNNNNNNNNNNNNNNNNNNNNNNNNNNNNNNNNNNNNNNNNNNNNNNNNNNNNNNNNNNNNNNNNNNNNNNNNNNNNNNNNNNNNNNNNNNNNNNNNNNNNNNNNNNNNNNNNNNNNNNNNNNNNNNNNNNNNNNNNNNNNNNNNNNNNNNNNNNNNNNNNNNNNNNNNNNNNNNNNNNNNNNNNNNNNNNNNNNNNNNNNNNNNNNNNNNNNNNNNNNNNNNNNNNNNNNNNNNNNNNNNNNNNNNNNNNNNNNNNNNNNNNNNNNNNNNNNNNNNNNNNNNNNNNNNNNNNNNNNNNNNNNNNNNNNNNNNNNNNNNNNNNNNNNNNNNNNNNNNNNNNNNNNNNNNNNNNNNNNNNNNNNNNNNNNNNNNNNNNNNNNNNNNNNNNNNNNNNNNNNNNNNNNNNNNNNNNNNNNNNNNNNNNNNNNNNNNNNNNNNNNNNNNNNNNNNNNNNNNNNNNNNNNNNNNNNNNNNNNNNNNNNNNNNNNNNNNNNNNNNNNNNNNNNNNNNNNNNNNNNNNNNNNNNNNNNNNNNNNNNNNNNNNNNNNNNNNNNNNNNNNNNNNNNNNNNNNNNNNNNNNNNNNNNNNNNNNNNNNNNNNNNNNNNNNNNNNNNNNNNNNNNNNNNNNNNNNNNNNNNNNNNNNNNNNNNNNNNNNNNNNNNNNNNNNNNNNNNNNNNNNNNNNNNNNNNNNNNNNNNNNNNNNNNNNNNNNNNNNNNNNNNNNNNNNNNNNNNNNNNNNNNNNNNNNNNNNNNNNNNNNNNNNNNNNNNNNNNNNNNNNNNNNNNNNNNNNNNNNNNNNNNNNNNNNNNNNNNNNNNNNNNNNNNNNNNNNNNNNNNNNNNNNNNNNNNNNNNNNNNNNNNNNNNNNNNNNNNNNNNNNNNNNNNNNNNNNNNNNNNNNNNNNNNNNNNNNNNNNNNNNNNNNNNNNNNNNNNNNNNNNNNNNNNNNNNNNNNNNNNNNNNNNNNNNNNNNNNNNNNNNNNNNNNNNNNNNNNNNNNNNNNNNNNNNNNNNNNNNNNNNNNNNNNNNNNNNNNNNNNNNNNNNNNNNNNNNNNNNNNNNNNNNNNNNNNNNNNNNNNNNNNNNNNNNNNNNNNNNNNNNNNNNNNNNNNNNNNNNNNNNNNNNNNNGCUCGGGCGGGCCCGCGACGGCUAGGAGGGGAGAGAGGUGGGAGGUUGGCUGCACUAGGGUUAGGUGGGCGCGGAAAACGAGGGAGAGAGAGUGUGCUGCCUAAAAUGGCAUGGGGGUCUAUUUAUAACAAUGGGGGAUAGGUUUAGCAGUUUUUCGCCCCGGUUUCAACCGUGCGAUCGGAAUCGAACGAUCUCGAACGCGGGGACGGCUAAGUUGCUGUGUAGAGUGCCUACCCGGAGACGAGAGGGAAAACGGGCGACCCGGCAACGAGUUUUAAAACACUGAUAAAACGUCCGACGAUAGACCGAAGACGGUACCGCUACGGUCGACCGUUCGGGUACCAGACGGACUCCGAUUGCGACGAAAUUUGAUAGGCGACCUAGCUACAACUAAUUAAGACCGCACGUCAAGUUUCAACCCAAUCAGAUGAAUUUUUAUACACACUUUUAAAAACAGGAUUUAAACGAUGCCGUGGGCGCGUGCGUUUGUGGUCGGGCUCAAAACGGACAACGAUGAGAACCGACAACUAAUAACGGAUGCAACUUUAAAAACUGGCGGCAACGGAGUGCCGAUGCAAUGCAGAUGAUGCGAUGAUGAUACGACAAAUAAAAAUAAACACACGACGAAAACAGAAUAAAAGGGAAAUCUUGUGGAACGUCGGUCUCGGGCUGUCACAGCUGGUUCCGUCAGAUGUGGACUGGCUGGAUCCCGUGGGACGGGCUGGCUCCGUCGAGGUUUGUGGUGGCUCCUACGUGGUCAUGGCAUGAUGGCUUGGUGGGAGGUGUGCAUGCUAGCGGAGGUGCUGUGCGUGGGGUUAUGGUGUUGGAAGGUGCUUCGGACGAAAGCUUGUCGGGCAAACUGAGCAAAAACAGAAAAGAAGUUAAGGCGUGUGCCUGAUGGAGGAGCAGCAAAAACGUUGUGCAGUCCUUGGCCUGUGUUCUUGCAGUCCCCUACAUUCUGUGACAAGCAAGCACGGCGCGCAACGCAAUCUGGGUGGCACGACAAAUCUGCUGCUGGUUUGCCGUAGCCUGAUCUGUGCAGAGUAAUUGGAUAUCUGAUCGCAUGGUACAAUACAUCGUCGUUUAAUUUAAGCUGUCUGGUCUGCUUUGAUUGUUUUGAUUAUUAUUUCUUUCGUUUGUAAAUAUUCGCUUCGUUCGAAAAUAAUUGUCAAAGAAAUGGAUGUAUUAUAUUUUAAUUUUAGAUACAUCGAUCUUCAUCUAUUUUUGCGACAAUAAAUUCAGUACGAAGGGAGCUUUUAUAAGUAUUUUUUAAUGGUUACACUACAAACUAUAUACAAAGCAAAAUGAAUGAAUAUACACUUUAAAAUAUAUCUAUAUACAUUCGUAUGUAGUUCUUAGUGAUAUCUUUUGAAAGACUUAUAUUUAGGAAUAGAGGAACACACCGAACCCCCAGCUCCCGACCCCUCCCGCGUCGCCCCGCGUGCGACGGGGAGGGCGCCUGCGCCGCCACCUCUAGCCCCCCUUUUCCCGCUCCUCCUUCCUCGCCGCCGCCACAUNAGGAUCCCGUGGGACAGGCUGGCUCCGUCGAGGUUUGUGGUGGCUCCUACGUGGUCAUGGCGUGAUGGCUUGGUGGGAGGCGUGCGUGCUAAGGGAGGUGCUGUGCGUGGGGUUGUGGUGUUGGGAGGUGCUCCGGGCGAAAGCUUGCCGAGCAAGAGCUUGCCGGUCAACGGUGUCGGCGUCUGUGGAUGUUGUCUCACCUCCUUGGAGGCACCGUUGAGGAGUUCUCUCCCUACACACCCUCGGAUCCAGUUCUUCGGGUGAAAAACUUAGGCCCGGUUGGGUCGGACGACGACGUCGGCAUCGUCGCUUCCUCCUUGGGGGCGUCGUCUUGAAGAGCUUUGGAUCUCGUUUGCACUCUCCAGGGGCUAGACGCUCGCGACAUUGCGGUCAGCUGGGGCCCGUCCAGCAAUGUGGUUGAUAUGCGCGGCUUCUUGUGUGGCAACGAUGGCAACUUCAAGCGGAGUAGGAUUUGCUGUUGGGUUCUGGUAAUCGGUCUCAUCCGAUGUGUUUGAGGGGUCGCCGUGCCUCUCUUGUCUUCUGAAGUCGGAGCUGUUUGAGGAGGAACCUUGCGGCGACGAUGACGUGAAGACGGGUGGUCGGUUCUGGCGCUGGCUCGGCGCAGGUCCAUUGCUUUUUAUCCUACAAUGCUCGUUGGCUACGUCAAAGCUGCCUGUUCGUCGGCGCGUGUGGUGGACUGUUUGGUGUUGUCCGACGAAGGCCUCUACGCUCGUCUGCGGUGGAGGCUACAUCGAUGGUCGUCGAUGGUGAAGUCAGAGUCGCCCUCGCGGAGGCGUGAUGACGAUGACGCCGGAUUACAACCUCGACGGAGCUCUUCCCCUUGGCGGCAAUUGUGCGUUCUUGUGUAGGUUGCCAGGUCAUCGCGUGUGUCUUGUUAUGGACGUAUUGUGACGGUUUUAGCCUGGUUUUCCGAUUAUUAACCGAACAAUUUUCUUCUAUCUUUUUUAAUGAGAUCGAUACGCGUUUCAAAAAUAUAUUUAAGAAUAGAGGAAGUAUAUUUGAAGUCUGGUGUAAUUAUCCGCUACAGUCAGGAAAGUGCAUUACAUUGCUGAAUGCGGACUGCCAUGUGAACAUUUUGUCAGAAUUUUUCAGCGGCGAAUGCAUCAUAUAGUACUCCCUUUGUCCCAAAUUUUCUGUCUUAAAUUUAUAUAGAUAUGAAUGUAUCUAGUCACAUUUUAGUAUUUAGAUACAUCCGUUUCUAAACAAACCUAAGACAAGCGUUUUGAGAUGGAGGGAAUAUACAGUAGCCACCCGCACCUACAAAUUUCGGUAUCGUACUGAAUUUAUAGGAAGAUACAUCUUUACUAACUACUCCCUCCGUACCUAAAUAUAAGUCUUUUAAAAUAUUUCACUAGAUGUCUACAUACAAAAUAAAAUGAGUGAAUCUAUACUUUAAAAUAUGUCUAUAUAUAUCAGUAUGUAGUUCAUUAGUAAAAUCUGUAGAAAGACUUAUAUUUAGGAACGGAGAAAGACUUAUAGUUGUUGUAAUUAUCCGCUACUAUCAGGAAAGUGCAUUACAUUGCUGAAUGCGGACUGCCACGUGAACAUUUUGUCAGAAUUUUUCAAUGGCCAGUGCAUUAUAUAGUACUUCCUCCGUAUCAAAUAGGUGUCGUAAAAUUUAUACAAAAUUAGUAUCAAUUUUAUACUAAAUCAACGACACUUAUUUUAAAACGGAGGAAGUAUACAGUAGCCACCCGCAUCUAGAAAUUUCGGUGUCGUACUGAAUUUAUAGGAAGAUACAUCACUACUAACUAAUUAUUCUCCCUUUCGGGGACUGGCUCAGCCAAGUUUUGGAUCUGAGCCUAGCAACCCCAGCCUACAUGUUGUUUCCAUUUAGGCUCACUUUUGCAUGUGCAGCAUUAAUAAAAAGCAAAGCAAUUUGUACCACAAUAACCACCUCCCACCAGUAAAUCUUUUGGUUAAGAUGGCCGGCCAGUGCGAAUAGAUCCAAAUGUGGCCACUUUGCCCAACCACUUUCCUCCUUCCAACCAGCUUCCGCUCCAAGAUAGCCGAGCAGCCACCGACUGGAGUCUUGAACAAGGUGGUAGUAGUCUCUUUGCAUCUUGUACCAUUGAAAAAAAAAAAAUCAAUGGAAGACGAUCGUCGGAUGUUAUAACAUCUUCGUGUACAUGCAGCGCGAUUUAUCUUGGUGCCUGGUAUAGAAUCCUAAGCCAUUUUCAGUUAUGAUAUACUACUAGGACAAAUACUAGACGGGCCAACAGCGUUUUUAUGGCGGUAUAUCUCAAACAGGUACUGUCAAAAUCCACGGACCAAUUCAUUUAUCUGCACGGUCUCUAUUUAAUUAAGACUUGAAAAUGGGCUUAAGUGGCAAGUAGUGGUACUUGUUAAAUUUUUUUAUCAGGGUUUGUUUGUAUAUUCGUGCAAAGUGCCAAUCAGAGACGCAAAAGGAACUGGCAGCAGAUCCUGCGCACACAUGUUUUCUCUCUCUCUCUCAGGGUGUGGUGAACUGACAGAUGGAUCCACAUCACAUCACAUCUGGAGAGGUGGCGACCAAAGUGGCAGAUCUAGAAGGGAACAAAUGUGCAGCUCUCCCCUGCCAGUACAGACCUUGUGGAAAGUGGAGCGAGGCCAUGGCCAUCGGAUCCCUGUAGAAGGAGCGAAAACAAAAGUCACGCCGCUAAUUAACAGCACAAAGCUAAAAUGCAAAGUAACAGCAGAGAAGAAGACUAAUUACCAAGUUUUUGCCCCCAAAUUGGAGCACUUUCACCGUCUCUAUGCCGGCGCUACCUGUAAGCUGUACUUUGAGCAAAGACGUGGCUUUUGUGCUUUCCUCUCCGUCUUCCAGCUGAAGCGACACUCAUGAGCGAGCGGUGAUCCCCACUGCCUCCUCCUCCUCCUCGGCCAGACGCCAGCUAUCUUGGCACUCAAGCAAUGGCCAUGUUCUUGAUUGAUUUCUUUAGCCUUUUGACCGCCAAAGUCUAUGCCUUUUGGCGCACAAGAGCACAAGAGAAGGCACCAAAGGCGGCCAUGCAUCGGAUGCCAUGCCGUCGGUCACGCUCACGCCCGUCUGGGAUGAUCCAUCACCGACUCUUCCUCUGCUGCCUGCUGGUAGGAGCUGAGUUGAGCCAAGCCAAAAGGCCUGCGGCUGGAAAGGCUGUGUCAGCUGCAUGCCGCUACUGCUGCUGCUGCUUCUUCUCUCUUCUUCGCCCCCACCGCUCUGUGAUGCCGGUUGGUUAAGUUUUUUGUUUAUGGAUCGACCAAAGUUGGGGUCUCCAUCAUGAUGUGGAGCAAUCCGUAUGCUCUCCCAUCCCUCCCUGUUGGGAAAGAUACCUUCUGCUAUGCAUUGGGGAAAGUUAAAGGAAGCGUGUGGGGCUCGGCCCGGUGUGGCUAUAUGGCAGUUUUGGUGCACCCCUCUGUGUGGCGGGUAAUACAGUUUAGUGUAAAUAAAAGUCGUCAUGUGCAUCAUCACUACGGCGGGUAAUACAGUUUGAUACGCAAGUCGUUAAGACCAGCUCCAACAAGUUCCCCUAAAAACUCCUCCCUAAAAGUGGUUAUGCGUGGUGUUCAUUUAAUUUAGGAAAGAUUUGUAGGUGAGCAGAUCCCAGAAAAACUCCCUUGUAAGUGUUUUUGGCGGUGCCGUGACGGCGGUGGUGUGCUGACAAGUCAUUUUUAGGGGAAGGUUUAUGGGAAGUAUUUUUUUUCCUAGAUAGAGGGCAAGUUGCGAAAGUAUUCUUGUGUUUGUGAUCUCAGAUGAGCUUGUGACGAACAGUGAAACCCAAAAAAUAUUGAACACACAUUCAAAAAGUUCUACCACGGAAGUAAAAAUACCUAGUAAAAAGAUCCGGAAGAACAAGCCCUAGAGACAAAGAGCGGAUAGAGCUUGUUUAGAUCUCCGUACCCUAACUUGACGUGCUGGAUAGAAGCGGAGUCGAGGGAGAAGCAGAGUUGAAAUGAAUGGAGGACGUAGACGGGAGGGGUACUUAUAAGAGAAAUACCCAACUGCUUACGCGAGAUCUACGAUCCACAACGGCUAAUCUCUCCGCAUUCAACGGACAUGAUUGAGAUCGUGGAGAUCGUGGCACACAUGUUGAACGUUUACUGCGACAUUCUCGGAAAGAGAGUGGGAUUGCGAAAGGUUGGAAUGGGCUUUCGCCAAAAUAGAUAAAAUUUUCAAAGUGCAUUUCAUUCGUGACUAAGGACGCCAUAAAGAAAUGUGCUUCUGGUCAAUUAGCGUACUCAUGACAAACAACAAAGAGUUUGAUGAGAAAGAAUAGAGGGGAAACAGGGACCGAAACAGAGUCACUCGGUCAUAACUCGAAAUCAAAUGCAAAUAGCUCUAAGUGAAUUCUUCAUUGGAUCGAACAUGAAAUCCAUUAAAUGUCGUGCAGCAAAAGAAUGAAAAGACAUGAGCGAAUAAAACCACUUAAAACAAAACAAGUGACUCGAUAUGACAAGACACAUAAGUUGAAGAGAACUAGUGCAUGCAUGAAAAAAUAGGCCACAAGGCAUAGGAUAAGCAAGGAGUAUCCCUUAGACAACAUUCCUGCAUGAAAGAUUAGUUAGUUUUCAUCACCCACUUCCUCGUGGGAGGAUAUCUCAAUUGAUUCGGUCGAGUAGGAGAUGUUUUUCUUCGAUAACUUUGCAUAUGCACGUGUGAAGUGUGCGAGUAAUCAUAUGUAUACGCAUUGAAGUUAUUUGCACACACAUGGACAUAGUGAUUAGAGGUGGUACACAUGUACUCCCUCUGAUAGUCGUUUAGUUUGUUUCUCUUUGAGGGGUUAGUAGAACCAUGCUACUAAUGAUAUUUAUUUCCUCGAAAGGAAUUGACAUGCAAGGAUAGAUUUGCAGUGCAGGAAGAUUUUCAACACAAGAUUUCUCCUGUCAAAUUUUCUACUUGGGUGAACUUGUCCCACAGUUAGUGCCAAUAUAUCGAGCGAAUACCUUACCACUAUGUUGCUUGAAUAAUUUGUAAUGCGGGUCAAAUGACUCAUCAAUGUUAAAAGGAACGGACUUUCAUAGCCAAAUAAUGAGGCAGGUUCAAGAGUUUUACUUUUAUCAAGAACCCGAUUGGUUUGAGUAUAUUGUUCGAGGGUCCAGUAAGUUCCAUCUACAUUGAGUUUACUCUCAAACCAAAAACCUUACUUUGUGGGAUUCUUGUGCAACAUUGACUUGCUGAGCACAUCACAAAGGAUUUGAUGCCCUUUCAGGCUCUACGGCAUCCCAGUCCACAGUAAGAUUUCCAACCUGAGAGUUUCAUUACAGAAGGCAACAAACUCCUAGGGGUGGGGUUAGUUUCAACAUUCAUAGUAGAUGCAUUUUUCUUGGUUGCAGUAGUAGUAGAUGUUUCAGUAGUGGAAUCAACGUUUUUGCACUCUAGGCAUUUUAGAGAGGGUGUGACAAAGUUAUUAGGAAGGUUUUCAAUUUGCUCGUUGAAGAGAGAAGCUUUUUCUUUCGUGAGCUCAUCAUAAGAAUCUAUUAAUGAUUCGAGUUCUUGAUUCCUAUUCAAGAAAACAUCUGAAAAGUUCUCGAAAUCAACCGAAAGAGAAUCACAAUGAAUCGAUAGAUCAUCGGAUGUUGAAGACAGAGCAUCAUGCUCUUUCGUCAACACUUGAUUUUUUCUCCAUAUCCUCGACUAGGAAGCCUUCAGACCACUUGAGAGUUUUUUCAUGUCUUUCAAGAUCAUCUUGUUGAAAUUUAGAAAUUUAACAAGUUUACCAUAGACUGCAUUCUCUCAGGAGAAUGCAUCUAUCAAUCGAUUUAUGGCAUUUUGGUGAUACCCGAUCUCUUGAAGAUUUUGCCAUGAAAGAAAAUGCCUUGGUUUCGUGUUCACUUGACUCAUUGUCGGAGUGGCUUAACGAUUCAUAUGUUGCACAUUCAAUGUAGGCAUUGCCUCAACCUAGACUCUUGUAGAACUCAUUAUCUUCAUCAAAUUCAGACUCUGAUAUUUCAUCUUCGGAGUCUAUAGUCGUUCCAGCAUAGGCACCAACAACCUCACACAUUUUCUUCAUGUUGGAGGCAAUCACUUCAUUUGGAUUCAUGUACAUGACUGUUCUCAUUGGAGAUGACAUUGAAUGUUCAUUAUUAUUUGUGAGCUUAGUAUGAUAAUCUGAAUGUUUGAAUUGAGUGCAAUUGAAUGUUUUCUAGCUUUAUUAUACAUUUCCCAUGAUGGGUAGUUUUUUAUGAAGUGACCAAAGUGUUUGCAUUUGAUGCAUUGUAUCUCUAAAUGAUGCAUUAUUCUUGAAGAACUUGAGGACUCAUCUUGAGGUGGGUUAGAUAGGCAUAAAUUUUGUCUUCUAAGAUUGUUAAGAUGCUCAGUAAGCAUUCUAGAUCUCUAAUGAUGGUAUCUUGGUUUUUAUGAUCUUUUUCGUGAGAGAUACCAUAGUGUGAUACAAUUUUGCCUCCCUCUUCUAAGGAAGAAUCAUAUUUUCAUUUUUCUUUCUCAAGUCAUUCUUCAUGAAUGGCUAAUAGUUCCAUAAUUUUGACUGGUCAAAGUUCUUCAUAAUCAGGUAUUUCUUUGAUAUGGGCAAAUAUUGGGUCAAAGGAAGCAUCAAGAGAAUUGAGAAGUUUUUCCACAACAUAUUGGUCUCUGAUAUCCUUGACUCCUUGUUAAUGCAAGCACUCGACAAGAGUGCUUAGGUUAUGUGUGUGAUUCACCACACUUUCCCUUCGGAGACCUUUAGAAUGAGUGAACAUGGCCCGAAACAUAUCGGUUAGAGAAAUAUUUCUGGUAACAGAUUCAACAUGGGUGUUUUUAUGGUAUCCUAGAUUUUUUGCCCAUCUCGAUCCUUUUGAAUUGAAUAAAUACAUUUCUGGAGAUUUUAUCACAAAUGAUAUACUUCACUUGAGCAUCCAGCCGAAUGUUAGCUUCAUCUUCGGAUGUAGGUAUUUCUGUAUGAAGGAUGAUAUAUCUGUUCUCCACAAUCUUCCAUAGUCUGUUACUCAUAUAUUGAAAUUUAAUCCCAUAUCUACCUUACUACUAGAGGUAGUCAUUUCCUUCCAACGGCCAACUGACAUGUUUCCAACGAUUGGAUUUUGAGCACAACAGUAACAUUCCUUGUGGGGCAAGUGAUGCUAAAUCCUCGGUCCAAAACAUGUAUUUUGCAGCCUAGAAGAACAUCAUCUGUGGCUGACAAGUAAUCAUUCGGAGCACAAAGAUAUUUCCCUUUGUCUUNUUUGUCUUUCAUAGGUUUCGACUAAGCAUUACAACUGACCUAAACUUUGAGAACUUGUACCCUUCUUAAUAGUACGGUGGAUUUAUGACUAAAAGUAAGAAAAAAAGAAGAAGAACAAAGUAAAUGCUACGUCUUUGCUUCAUCAUCAACCCUCCCGACUACAGUCAUUCUUCUUCGGGCAUACCAAAUGGAAAUUUCUUCACGUCACCAAUAAUUUUAAGGGGUAAUUUUAUUCACGCAAUCUCGUCGGUGUCAUUUCUUCUAGAAAUGUAUCUCUUUCUUGUCUGCAACACAAAUAAUCUUCGUUGAAGUUCUUUGAACUUUGAGCCAUAAUAUAGCAUUCUUCUGGGAUCUACAUGGACUAUUUCUCACUGUGUGUACUAGCAAACCAAUCAAUCCAUGACUGUUUCUCGCAACUAUAUCCAAAACACAAGGGGUAAGACAUUGCACCAACAAUAAGAUGAAAUUCCUUACAUAUAUCCCGAGAUGUUUUUUUACCUUUGUAUCGUUAGUUUUCAUGUCGUUCUUGCUUCCCAUGGUUCCGGAUCUAGAUCACAUAUGGACCGUGGAAAACUUCUCAGUAAACAUCACAUCAUUUAACCACCUCCUAGUAAAUGCCCUUAUACUGAAGCUUACCAAGCGUGGUCUUCAUAUUAGGAGAUCGCUAACAACCCGAGAGCGUCUACAAAGAAGUUGUGUAGCGAGGAUGAGGAGGAUAAGGAAGAUGCUCUUCUACCUCUUCCAGAAGACAUGUAGGAUAUAGAGUUCAAUAAGUGAGUCUUCUCGUCUCGAUUGGAUAUAUAUGUGUUCAAAAUAAUAAUUCUUGUCUUUUGCAGGAAAGCAUGCCUUUAAGUGCACGCAAUGAUAUCUAAGUGCAUGCCUUUAGUUUGUAUUUGAUAUCCGUCGAAGCCUUUACGACCAACAAUAAAAUAGGGGCUAAAUUGAAUGCCCUAAACCAAAAGAUCAAUAUGCUCGAAGAGGAGAAAUGUAUUCUUUGUAGGAUCAUGGCAAGAAGGGUUUCACCACCAUCAACAAAGAAGGAGAGUUGAGUGCAUGGGUAUCAACACCACCCUUGGCUUGUUCCAAGCUUGUGGGAGGUGCCCCCAUAUAAUAUCAUCACCAUCUUUCACUAUUAUUAUCUAUCCACUACAAAAGUUCUAUUAAUCGGUGAUGGUUUCAAUCUGUCACAGGUCAGUGCAAAAUGACAGACUACUCAUUAAAGGUCACUGUUGUAAGGGUCAAUAUUAAGUGUUGUUCCUUUUCACUAAGAGUUUGCACAUCCAAAAAUAAAAAAAACGAAUGAAUACCUCCUCUUUCCUCUAUGAAGGGCUUAUGUCUUAUUUCAACUAUUAAAGUCUUAUGUUAGUUAUACUUGAGUCAAACUAAUUUCCUUUAUUCCAACCUCAAUAAUCUCUACUUUGUAAACAACAUGUGCUCGGGAUAGAUCGGGGUACAUAUAUCGAGUUAAAUAUAUAUGAUCAUGGUUUAUUAUUAUUGAUAAUUAUCCCCGAGGUCAACAAGUUGGGAGGCAAAACAUAAAGCCCAUGUGUUCCUUUUUGUCUCACUAAAGGAAUUUUCUCUAAAAAUAUGAUUGAUUGCCACCAAUUAUUAGAUGACUAUAUGGUGAUCGAGUAUGUGAAGUUUGCUAAAACAAAAGCUCUUACAUUGAUUCUUCUGCAAAAUAAGAUGAACUAUAGUUGCUUGAUGAAUAAUAACAUACCUCAUUACAUGAUUGUGAGAAGUCUUAUGAAUAAUGUUUUCUGGUCAAGGAAUGUUAAUGAUAACAAAUAUUAAGCUGCUACGCUUGUAUUAUUGUUUGAUCGACACAUCUCUCUACAAACUUGUGGUCAUGUUUAUAGAGUUAUGUAUUUGCUCGAGUAAAAGCGGAGUCUAAGCUUGGGGAUGUUGACACGUACAUUUUACAUCAUGGUUUUAUGUUGUUAUUUAUCUUAUUUUGAAGUUAUAUUUCAUAUUAUGAUGCAACUAUAAUGAAUUCUCUCUCUUAAAAUGUGAGAUACACCAAAGGAGAGGGAUUACACACAGUUAGAAUUCCGAGCUGAAAAUGUUGCAAGAGAGACAUUAAUUCACUGGAGCUCAAAAUGAAAAUAAAUUUUAUGGAGAUUUAUUUUGGAAUAUAUAAAAAAUACUCGAACAAAAAUAUGCCAAAGGGGCCCCACUAGCCAGCAAUGUUGGCAGGUGGCGCGACCACCCCCUCGGUCAGGCCACUUGGCCAUGUAGGGCGCUUGUGGCACUCCUCCCGAUGCCCUUUGGCUAUAAUACUUUCGAGACUUUCUACCACUAUCUUGAGCCGAAACCAAGGCAGGAGCACUUUUGUCUCUCAGACGAAGCAUUUCGGUCGGGGAAACUUCCCUCCGGGAGGGGGAAAUCGAACCCAUCGCCAUCAUCGAUACUCCUCUCAUCAUGGGAGGCUUCAUAUUCAUUAACAUCUUCAUCAGCACCAUCCCAUUUCCAAACCCUAUUUCAUCUCUUGUUCUCAAUCUUUGUACCAAACCUCAUAUUGGCACCUAGGUGUGCUAGUAGUGUUUAUUACAUCUUUUAGUUGGUGCUAGUUGGUUUACUUGAUGAAAUUAUUUAUGUUUAGAUUGUUGAUUGCGUAUUUGUACCUACUAAACAUGUUCAAUAUUAUGAGUUAUAAGUAGUUUCAUUUGUUCUUGGGGACAUGGGAGAAGUCUAUUAGUAAUCAUGUGAAGUUGAUCACCAUUUUGUUUUGAUGGUAUGUUGUGUUGUUCUUUCUCUAGUGGUGUUGUGUGAAUGUAGACUACAUGACACUUCACCAUCUUUGGUCCUAGAGGAAGGCAUCGUGGAAUUAGUUUGUAGACGAUGAUUGCACGAGCGACUAAAGCCUAAACCACAAUUUAUGAAUUGUUACGUGAGGGGCUGUUUUGGAUCUACAUGUUUAAUGGUACGGUAGAUAUAUAUUAAUUACUUAUAUUGUACUUGCAGAUGCUUGCAGGGAUGGUAUAAUCAUAAGUAGGUAUUUAUUUAAGUAAAAACAGAACCAUAUAUCAGGUCCACCCACAUUACAACGUAUGAAGGCAAUGAACAUAAGUCGAUUAAUUAUGGCGAAGAUGAGUAGAUGAUAUUCCUAUGUAUAGUCAAGAGCAUUUUAAUCACUAUAAGAAGUUACGUCGGCUUGUCCUUAGAAAUAUUAAGGAUUGCAACACUUGAUUCACCUUUCUACUUCUUUUACUUGUUACUCCCUUCAUCUAGAAAAUGUUGUUGUAGUGGACAUUUUGCAAAAAACGUCCAUAUAGUCCCGAGACAACCCAGGCUCCUUGAUACGUCUCCAAUGUAUAUAUAAUGUUUGAUUAUUUCAUGCUAUUAUUUUAUCAAUCUUGGAUACUUUAUAUAUAAUUUUGUAUCAUUUUUGGGACUAACCUAUUAAAUCAGUGCCCAAUGCAAGUUGUUGUUUUUUGCUCAUUUUCUUGCUUUUCCGAAAAUCAAAACCAAAUGGAGUCCAAACGUGACGGAACUCCCCCUAGUUGCGUCUGACCUAAUUCCAACUCUAUAAUUUCUCUAAUAUUUCAAAAAGCCUAGAGCGAGACCCGAAACAAUUUUUCCACUGCCGCAAGUCUCAGUUCUUCCGCGAUCCCAUCUAGAGGCCUUUUCCGGUACUCCGCUGGAGGGGGAAUCGAUCACGGAGGUCAUCCUCAUCAACCUUACUACCUCCAUGAUGAUGUGUGAGUACUCUACCACAGACCUACAGCUCCAUAAUGAUUAGCUAGAUGGAUUCUUGUCUCUCUUUGAUCUUUACACUACUGCAGGAUGGUCCAAAGACAACACAUCAACUAGAGACCCUUUGACGAAACUGUGUGUGAUGCAUGAAUAAAAACAGUCUGGUUGAAGCUCCAUCGCCAAAAACAUGAACUAUGUGCGGCAGACGCAUCAAAUAUUAUUCCAAAAAGACUUACGUGUGCGAUUUGUGCCAUACAGUUCUUUCAUACGAACUGUUUGCGAUUAGCUAAAAUAACACACACGGUUAGAGAGACAUAGAUGUGUGUGAUAGAGUGCACAUAGUUCACUACCAUAAACAGUCUAUGAUGAUAUUGCAGAACACAAGCGAUUCAACAUAACACUAUGUGUGUGAUAUAUGACAAACAGAUGAGUAAUUAAAAUCAUGUGCGAACACUAGAAAUAACACCGACGAUUGGUGCUACUGACGUGUGUGCAUUGUGGGAAAAUGCUUGCUGUAUACAAUUGUGAGUGAUUGAUAAAAUCAUCGCCUAUGGCUUUCAUAGUUUAGUCCGUGUGUACUAUGAUUUGCUCUAACUGCAUGGCGGACUGCUUGCAUGCGUCUCACUAAGCCUGCGCGACGGACUACUUGCACGCGUCCCGUCUAAUCAAACCUGCACCCACAACACCUCCUAGCCAACAAAAUAAGGGGGCGUUUGAUGGCACGUAAAUGGUUAGUGAAACACCUGUCUCUUAUACACAUCUNUUAUUAUUAUAAUUAUUAAUUGCGUUUGGGAACUUACCAUUUCUUCCUCCUUUGUCUUGUCUUGUCAUCGCGUUGCCACCCAAGGAAUCCAGUGCAUGCUUCACAUGCGUUUGUUUUGGCCACGUCCCCAUGUGCAACCAUGCAGGUUCCCGCGCAAGCUUCCCCAUCGGUUUCCCGCCACAAGAAAAUGAGCAUAAGAGCUGGCGCGCAACACACGCAGAUGCACACCUAAUGCUUCCUAGCCCAUCUACUGAGCAUGCUAACCUGACCAAGCGCCGCCUCUGCCAUCAACCUCCUCGAUAACGAAAAUGAUGUGGUACAGGUGCAACGGUCUGUCCAGGCCGAUGGCGUCCGCGACGACGCGUCGGACAAUGUUGUGAUGCACGUCAUCACCACGGUUGAGCAGACCCAUGGUGCAGGGCGCGACAUCACCGUCGACCAACACAACCACCUUACCGCCGAGAAGCUGCAACACGCCGCACAAGAAGAUCAUCGAUGGUGCUCCGUAGAGGAAAUCUUGCGAGUCUGUGCUAAGAGGGCAAGGUACGCCGCACAAGAAGAACGAUGGAGGGCCGCACAGCGAGAGGCAUGAUGCGCGAUAGAGCAAGAAUGGUUCCAUGACACGGCAUGUCGUUCCACUCGACAUGGCAUUGCAGGUGUGUCCAUGACACGUUAGUAGCCCGAUUUCUCGCCAGGAAUGGGCAGCGGCUGUCUGCGCCAUACUUGCACCAGAGCCCGGUCGCACCAUACUUGAAGCAGACGUCGGUCACACUGUUCGUAUUGUUCGUGGCCCUCAUGAUGCCAACAGAAUGGUUGGUAGGCUCGAGUGCCUCCUUGGCCCACGUGUCCAAUGAGGAGCAGUAAUCUCUCACGAAAUAGCCAGCUUGUAAUCUCCGACUAAAUAGUCAACUUGGAGCUCGAGAUCGCGCUUCAGCUGUACCGCGAGCAUGUCAACCGCAUGGAGGAACGCGUGAAUAAGUUCAUGAUGAGCCAAUAUAUUUUUUAGGUUAGGGUGGUAGUCAUGGACACAUUUUAUUUUGUUGAAUCAUUUUGAUGUUGUGGGAUCGAGAAAGGACGUCUAGAGGGGGGGAUAGACUACUUGACCAUAUACAAACUUAGCCUUUUCCCAAUUUUAAUAGUUGGCAAAUUUUAGCAGUUAUAGCAAGUCGAGCACACCCUACACAUGCAAGUCUAAGAGAAUAUCGGCGGAAAGUAAAGGCAUUCACAACUAAGUAGAGGGUAGGGAUAGGAAGAUCAUAUGCAAUGGGGAGAUGAGGAUUUUUCCCAUGGUUUCAUAGGUGGUGCCAUCGAAUGUCCAUGCUGAUGGAGACUUCAACCCAUGGAGGGUAAUGGCCGGGAGAGUCCACGGAGGGCUCCACCCACGAAGGGUCCAUGGAGAAGCAACCUUGUUUAUACUAUCAUGGCUUACGUUCACGAAGGACUAGCCUCACUCGGGGUAGAUCUUCACAAAGUAGGCAUUCUCCUUGCCCUUACAAACUUCUUGGUUCAACUCCACAUGAAGUCGGAGGAUCCCAAGCGACACCUAACCAAUCUAGGAGACAACACUCUCCAAAAGGUAAUAUAUGUGGUAUGAUGAUGAACUCCUUGCUCUUGUGCUUCAAAAGAUAAUCUCCUCAACACUCAAUCACCCUCUCAUAGAUUUGGCUUGGUAGAGGAGAUUGAUUGGGUGGAAAGCAACUUGGGGAUGCUAGAAAUCAAGAUUCAUAUGGUUGGUGUGGAAUAUCUUGAUAUCAACACAUGAGUAGGUGGUUCUGUCUUAGAAAAUGAAUGGGCAAGUGUUGGCUUCUUCUGACUGCUCUCACGUCGAAAGAGAGGGAGGUGGAGGGGUUAUAUAUAUGCAUCUCCAAAAAUCCAACCGUUACAACAUUAUUACCCAACUCGGUGAAACCAAAGUAAAAAUUCGGUUGCAUCGACUAGUGCAAAAUGUGGCAACUUUUGGCGUUUUGGUGAGACCGAUAUAUAAAUCUUGAUGAGCCUGAUUUUGGGUGGCCUAGGCAGUUACACAAACUCAGUGGUACCGAUUUGCAAAAAUCACAAAUUCCAUUUUUUAGCAAAUGGACACAAGUGAGUUUGCCACUUUUUUUGGUUGGACCGAAAUGAGACUUGGUGUCAUCGAGAAGUUAGGGUUGGCUAGGGAUUCUAUGUUGGGUAAAACUCGGUAGGGCCGAUUGGAAAAUAUUGGUGGCACUGAAUUUAGGCAUUGGGUUUUGGACAAAAAAUUUAUGUGGAAGAAUUUCAUGAGGGUUUUUGGUGGCUAACUCUAAGCACUUGAUCAACCAGAGCAUUAUAGAUAUCUCAUCCCCUUUUAAUAGUAUCGGCUUUCCUAUGGACUCAAAUGUGAUUUCUUAAAAAAUUCAAAAUAUAGAGUCUUGAGACUUAAAUCUUGGCCAAUACUAUUCUUCUCCUCCCUUGGGGCUUCUCCUCACCUUUCCAGCCAUUUCUCUGUGCGGACUUUAUCUGAAAUAAACAAGGUAAAAUUAUUAUUCCAAGAGACAAUGUAUGUUGCCAUGAAUUAUCAAAACCUCCAAACCUCCAUGGGAGCAUAUGUGCUUUCAACCUCCCCCUUUUUGGUAACUGAUGAAAAAAUACAAUCAAAGCUUCAAAUUAAGAGUCAAUAAUAUAUGAUAAUUUUGAGGCACAUAUGACUAGUACAAGCCCCCUAGAUGUUUGCAAUCCCCUUUAAGGAAUAGUCACUGUGGAAUGCAUUAGUGCACACAUAGUGGGGUGGACAUAAAACGUCAUAUGUACCUUGGCUAUAUGAAUCAAAUAUGUGAGAAUGAAGUGUCUCCAUGUUCAAGACUCCCUCUUGCAAACAAUAUGUGAAAGAAAUAAGAGAUCAUCUUGACCAAGGAUAUGAUGCAUAUACUUACCUUGAAGUUCUGGAGCAUUUCUAUUAGGGAAUUGUACUUGAGAAAAACAAAGUUUGAUAAAACAAGAAAAUUUCUUUCGUGAAGAUGCAUAGAAAUUCAAUUGUACCAAGAUAUGGAAGACAUAUAGGAAAUAUUAUUUCUUAUGAUUUAUAUGUGAUACGUCUCCAACGUAUCUAUAAUUUUUGAUUGUUCCAUGCUAUUAUGUUAUCAUUUUAGAACACUUUCUAGGCACUUAUCUACCAAUUUAUAUUAUUUUUGAGCACUAACCUAUUGACCCAGUGCCUAGUGCCAGUUGUUGUUUUCUACAUGUUUUUCCACUUUUCAGGUUCCUGAACCAAACGAAGCCCAACUAACUUGAAACUUUUUGUGAAAUUUUUUGGACCAAAACAAGACCGUGGAGCAUCAUAAGAAGGACGGGGGGUGGGGGUGGGGUGCACGAGGCCCCCACAAGCAUACAAGGCAUCGGCUGGGAGUGCCGUCAUGGCUUGUAGCCGCUUCGUGGCUCUCCGGACCCCGUUCACUGGCCUAUAAAUUCUUAUUUACCCUAAAACCUUCGGAGGAGGUCCCGAAACAUUUUUCACACAGUCGCAAGUCUUUGGUCCCACAGGAGGCCAUCUAGAGCUCCGUUCUGGCACUCUGCCAGAGGGGGGUCACUCACGGAGGGCUUCUUCAUCAACCUUGCCGCCCUUAAGAUGAUGUGUGAGUGGUUCACCACAAACCUACUGGUCCAUAAUGUUGGAAAUAUGCCCUAGAGGCAAUAAUAAAUUGGUUAUUAUUAUAUUUCCUAGUUCAUGAUAAUUGUCUAUUAUUCAUGCUAUAAUUGUAUUAACCAAAAACCGUAAUACAUGUGUGAAUAUAUAGAUCACAAUGUGUCCCUAGUAAGCCUCUAGUUGGCUAGCUCGUUGAUCAAUAGAUGAUCAUGGUUUCUUGAUCAUGGACAUUGGAUGUCAUUGAUAACGGGAUCACAUCAUUGGGGAAUGAUGUGAUGCAAAAGACCCAAUCAUAAGCAUAGCACUAGAUCGUGUUAUUCGUGUGCUAAAGCUUUUACAAUGUCAAGUAUCAUUUCCUUAGACCGUGAGAUUGUGAAACUCCCGGAUACCGUAGGAGUGCUUUGGGUGUACCAAACGUCACAACGUAACUGGGUGAUUAUAAAGGUGCACUACGGGUAUCUCCGAAAGUGUCUGUUGAGUUGUACGAAUCGAGACCGGGAUUUGUCACUCCGUGUGACGGAGAGGUAUCUCUGGGCCCACUAGUUAAUCCAUCAUCAUAUUGAGCUCAUUGUGACUAAGGGGUUAGCCACGGGAUGAUGUGUUACAGAACGAGUAGAGAGACUUGCCGGUAACGAGAUUGAACAAGGUAUAGGGAUACCAUGAUCGAAUCUCGGGCAAGUAUCAUACCGAUAGACAAAGGGAAUUGCAUGCGGGAUUGAUUGAAUCCUUGACAUCGUGGUUAAUCCGAUGAGGUCAUCGUGGAACAUGUGGGAACCAACAUGGAUAUCGAGACCCCGCUGUUGGUUAUUGGCCGGAGAGUUGUCUCGGUCAUGUCUGCAUGUCUUACGAACCCGUAGGGUCUACACACUUAAGGUUCGAUGACGCUAGGGUUAUAUGUGAAUAGUGUACGAGGUUACCUAAGGUUGUUCAGAGUCCCGGAUGAGAUCCCAGACGUCACGAGGAGCUCUAGAAUGGUCCGAAGGUAAAGAAUUAUAUAUAGGAAGUGAGGAUUUGGUCACCGGAAUUGUUUCGGGCGACACUGGUAAUGUACCGGGACCACCGGAAGGUGUCCGGGGGUCCACCGGGAGGGGCCACCAGCCCCAAAGGCUAGCAUGGGCCAAAAGGUGGAAGGGAACCAGCCCAGAGUGGACUGGUGCGCCUCCCACCUAGGACCAAGGUGCACCAAGAGAGGGAAGGGGNNNNNNNNNNNNNNNNNNNNNNNNNNNNNNNNNNNNNNNNNNNNNNNNNNNNNNNNNNNNNNNNNNNNNNNNNNNNNNNNNNNNNNNNNNNNNNNNNNNNNNNNNNNNNNNNNNNNNNNNNNNNNNNNNNNNNNNNNNNNNNNNNNNNNNNNNNNNNNNNNNNNNNNNNNNNNNNNNNNNNNNNNNNNNNNNNNNNNNNNNNCCUCUUCCUCCUCUUCCGCGGUGCUUGGCGAAGCCCUGUCGGAAUAUGUCGUAGCUCCACCGCCACCGCGCCGUCGCGCUGCUGGAGCUCUCUCUCAACCUCUCCCUCCUCCUUGCUAUAUCAAGGCGUGGGAGACGUCACCGGGCUGUACGUGUGUUGAACGCGGAGGUGCCGUGAUUCGGCACAUAGAUCGGAGCCGACGGUGAUCUGAAUCGCUGAGAGUACGACUCCAUCGACCGCGUUCAUAGUAACGCUUUCGCUUAGCGAUCUUCAAAGGUAUGAAGAUGCUCUACAUUCUCUAUCGUUGCUGGUUUCUCCAUAGAUAGAUCCUUGUAUGGCGUAGGAAAAUUUUGAAUUUACUAGGUUAUCCUACAGUGGCAUCCGAGCCAAGGUUCUAUGCGUAGAUUCUAUGCACGAGUAGAACACAAAAGUUGUGGGCGCUGAUUUUGUCAAUUGCUUGCCAUUACUAGUCUUAUAUUGAUUCAGCGGUAUCAUGGGAUGAAGCGGCCCAGACCGAAUUUACACGUACUCUUACGUGAGACUGGUUCCAUCGACAAACAUGCACUAGUUGCAUAAGGUGGCUAGCGGGUGUCUGUCUCUCCCACUUUAGUCGGAUCGGAUUCGAUGAAGAGGGUCCUUAUGAAGGGUAAAUAACAUUGGCAUAUCAACGUUGUGGCUGUUACGUAGGUAAGAAACGUUCUUGCUACAAACCCAAAUCAACCAUGUAAAACUUGCAACAACAAUUAGAGGACGUCGAACUUGUUUUUGUAGGGUAUGCUAUGUGAUGUGAUAUGGCCAAAAGGAUGUGAUGUUGCAUAUGUGAUGUAUGAGAUUGAUCAUGUUCUUGUAAUAGGAUUCACGACUUGCAUGUCGAUGAGUAUGACAACCGGCAGGAGCCAUAGGAGUUGUCUUAAUUUAUUGUAUGAGAUGCAACACCAUGUUGAUUACUUUACUUUAUCGCUAACGGUUAGCUAUAGUAGUAGAAGUAAUAGUUGGCGUGACGACUCCACGGAGACACAAUGAUGGAGAUCAUGAUGAUGGAGAUCAUGGUGUCAUGCCGGUGACGAUGAUGAUCAUGGUGCCCCAAAGAUGGAGAUCCAAGGAGCAAGAUGAUAAUGGCCAUAUCAUGUCACUAUAUGAUUCCAUGUGAUGUUUAUCAUGUUUUACAUCUUAUUGCUUAGAAUGACGGUAGCAAAGAUAAGACGAUCCCUCAUUAAAAUUUCGAGAUAUGUAUUCCCCUAAUGUGCACCGUUGUGAAAGAUCGUUGUCUCGAAGCACCACGUGAUGAUCGGGUGUGAUAGAUUCUAACGUUCGCAUACAACGGGUGUAAGCCAGUUUACACACGCAGAACACUUAGGUUGACUCGACGAGCCUAGCAUGUAUAGACAUGGCCUCGAAUACGGGAGACCGAAAGGUCGAACAUGAGUCGUAUGGUUGAUAUUAUCAACAUGGAGAUGCUCACCUUUGAUGAAUAGUCCGUCUCACGUGAUGAUCGGACACAGGCUAGUCGGCGUGGAUCAUGUAUCACUUGGAUGACUAGAGGGCUGUCGAUCUUAGUGGGAAGUUCAUUGAAUAAUUUGAUUAGAUGAACUUAAUUAUCAUGAACAUAGUCAAAAGGUCUUUGCAAAUUAUGCUUGUGCUAUAGCUCUACGUUUUUUGAUAUGUUCCUAGAGGAAACUUAGUUGAAAGAUAGAAGUAGCAAUUAUACGGACUCAGUCCGUUAACUGAGGAUUGUCCUCAUUGCUAAGCAGAAGGCUGAUGUCCUUAAUGCACCGCUCGGUGUGCUGAACCCCAAGCAUGAUCUGUGGAUGUUGCGAACAUCUUACAUACACGUUUUUGAUAACUACAUGAUAGUUUAGUGCAUAUUGCUUGAACGUCUUAGAAUUGAGGCGUUAAAGAUGUUUCGAACAUCGCGGGACAUACAUGAUGAUCCAAGAGAUGAAAUUGGGAUUUCAUGCUCGUGCCCUUGUUGAGAGGUAUGUGACCUCCGACAAGAUUCUUUGUAAGUGAAGGAGAAGAGCUCAAUCGUUGAGCAUGUGCUCAGAUUGUCUGAGUACUACAAUUGCUUGAAUCAAGUGGGAGUUGAUCUUCCAGAUGAGACAGUGAUAGUUCUCCAAAGUUACAAACACCAAGCUACUAGAGCUUCCUGAUGAACUAUAACAUAUCAAGGAUGGAUACGAUGAUCCUUGAGACAUUCGCGAUGUUUGACACCGCAAAACUAGAAAUCGAAAAGGAGCAUCAAUUGUUGAUGGUUUGUAAAACCGCUAGUUUCAAGAAGGGAAAGGGCAUGAAGGGAUACUUCAUUAAACGGCAAACCAGUUGCUGCUCUCGUGAAGAGACCCAAGGUUGAACCCAAACCCGAGACCAAGUGCUUCUGUAAUGAGGGGAACAAUCACUGAAGGGGAACUACCCUAGAUGCUUGGUAGAUGAGAAGGCUCGCAAAGUCGACAAAAGUAUAUUGGAUAUACAUGAUAUUGAUGUGUACUUUACUAGUACUCCUAGUAGCACCAGGGUAUUAGACAUCGGUUCAGUUGCUAAGUGUUAGAACUCAAAAUAAAAGCUAUAGAAUAAACAGAGACUAGCUAAAGGCCAGGUGACGAUGAGUGUUGGAAGUGUUUCCAAGGUUGAUGUGAUCAAACGUCGCACGCUCCCUCUACCAUGGGAUUAGAGUUAAACCUAAAUAAUUGUUAUUUGGUGUUUGCGUUGAGUAUAUACAUGAUUAGAUUAUGUUUAUUGCAACAUGGUUAUUCAUUUAAAAGAAUAAUAGUUAUUCUGCUUACUUGAAUAAUGCCUUCAAUGGUCUUGCACCUAGAAUGAAUGGUUUAUUGAGUCUCCUCUGAUAUAUAAUAUGAUUCUUAUGUGCAUGAUUAUGGUAGCUUCGUAAAUCUCUCCGGUCUAUUGAAAUAGUUUGGCCAACUAGAUUGAUAUUUCUUAAGUGAGAGAGGUGCGUUGUAGUAGGUUCAACCCGGCGAGUUUCUAUAUCCCAGUGACAGAAGGGCACAAGUUGUGUCUUUGUGUUGCUGCUACUAAGGGUAAAACAAUGAGGUUUAUUCAUAUUGGUUGAGUUUACUUUGUCUACAUCAUGUCAUCUUACUCCAAGCAUUAUUUUGUUUGUAAUGAACUUAAUACGUAGAGAGGCAAGCAUAGAAGCAUUCUUUAAGUGAAGUAAUAGUAAUAGCUGCAGGCAGGAGUCGGCCUAUUUGUUUAUCGAUGUGAUGCAUAUAUUUACAUGAUCAUUACCGUGAAAAAUGCAUAACUAUCCGUUCUUCUAUCAAUUUCCCGACAGUAAUUUGAUUAUCGACCAUGUGCUAUUUUUAUGACAGAUGCCAUCAGGGAAACUAUGAACCCCGGGUCUAUUCCGAACAUAUUUGAUGAGGACAUCGAUACCAGUGUUACACCUGCUAUACAUACUGGACCAGUUACUAGAGCUCGCGCGCGCCAAUUGAAUUACCUGGUACUUUUGUUUCUUGGAAAUCCUUCUAAUGUUCAAGAACAUAUGAUGUUGCCUAAAUUCGAUACUUUUGUUUUUCUUAUGAAUGAAGGACCUAUCAUGGACAAGGAGGAUGGCCAUUGGAGCAUGGAUCAAGCAUGGACGGGAAGGUGCGCACGCAGCAAAGAACAAGGGAGCUUUGAGUGGUGAUUUUCGGACUAUGAACCUGCCAUAGGGAAAACAUGAAGGCUUGGAUGAAAUAUACAAGAUGCCAGUUCAUAAAUUUCGUCCAUACGCUAUUCUAGGUCAUGUGUCACCUUAUUAUUGGGUCAGGCCCAUGUAAUUUCGAAAUACUACCACAUAGGCUGUUUUUAGAGUGUGUAUGUGUGGGGAAACCAAGUCUAGGGUCGUUUUCGGACCCCUCCUCCAAGGGGUCAGAGAAAUCCCUCUAUGUUCCCUCAUAUAUAAAACCCUUAGGGAACCAUUUAGACUUGGGUUUUGUUUAGAUUACAAGUUCUCCAUAGCUGCAACUUCAUGUUAUUUGUUUGUGUUCUACAACCAUACCAAGACAUCACAUAAUCCCACUUUCAUUAAUAAAGCUUUCCUCUUAUAUUCACAAUAUCCACAUUGCAAUUUCAGUUUCUUGCUUGUUCUUCGUUUUCGUUAAGGAAACAGACCCUCAUGGUCAGGUUGAUCAUGCUCCGGCGUGGUCAAUAACCUCUCGGAGUUGGUUUAUCGAUUUCUAAGGCGCGACAUCUUCACACGUUCAUAUUCAGAUCGUGAAAGUUUAAUCCACCAAAAACGAUAGCCACCAUCUCAACGAAAGACAUGGACAACUUCGCCUCUAUCAAGUGGUAUCAGAUUUCUAGGUUGCUCGAUGAGAUUUGACUAGUUUUUUGUAGUUUGGAUCGCAUCUGUUCUUCAUACCUAUAGUCCAUGAAAAAAGCCAAAAAAUCAGGGUUAGUUCAUACUAUCCAAGCCAAUCUGAGGCUUUUGCAAUUUUCUAUUCGGUAUUUUGAUUUGUUGAAUUUACAGUUGCAUCAUCGUGUCGAGUUGUUGGUCUUAAAGUCUAGUCUAUUAGAGUUUCGAGUUCUAUUCACAAGUUAUCAUGCCGCCGCCGCACUAUCUUCGAUUUUGCUACCACCCAUCAUUAUCAUCACUGCUGUCAUAUAGCAAUAACCCAUUAUUAUCAUCAUCAUUACCAUAUAUCACCACCCCAUAUCUGCCUCUAAGCCGAAUUCUCUAGUUAUUCGGUUUGAUCUCGAGAUCCUUUUGUUUUUGGUUUAGUGUUUCCUUACUGGGUAGGUUUCAAAAUAAAUCCACAAAUUUCCGCAUAGUUUCGCAAAGUUUUUCGGCCAAAAUUUUGGUGGGUCAAAUUUUUUUGCCUAUCCUAUUUUUGUUCUUUCGGAAGAGUUUUGAGACACUCGCCAUUAUAGUGAUUUUCUUAAAAAAAAGUGUCCUCUUCCUUUGAUUACGUGUAGCAUCGUGAUUUUGUUUGUGUUCUAGGCUCCCAUCUCUAGUACGGUCUAGCCUAGGACCAACACGGUAUGGUCGUUGAGCGUCCUUUCAACUUUGCAUCUUUUAACUGAUUAUUGCUGACCCUUUUUGCUACCAUAUUAUAAGCCUUCCCAGCUCCACAUACAUCUACAUCUUGUGUUUGACACCACCUGUCAAUCACUCUAUCCAAGCUUUGAGAGUUUUGACUACACCAGUUAUCGAUCACCACUUGCUGAUUUAUAAGAACUCGUAAGAAUUUGAGAUUUGCUUCAUGGAUUUGUGACACACCACCACCACCACCAUCUCCCCCACUUCCUCGUAACCUGUUGGUUCAUUUUCUUCAUUCUUCCUAUUGCUGUUAACCAUGCCAGGAUCACAAGCCGACGAGAUCAACCGGGAGAGCUUGACCAACCCGGAGCUCCAUGAUAAAUUUCAGCAAAUGAUGGGUGAUGAGGUACAAGACUUCGUGACCAGCCUUGGAGAGGCCAUGGAGAAGCUAGACUAUUUGGAGAAGACAUUCGACACCAAGAUGGACACCAAGUCCAAUGAAGUGCUUGUCGUGUACCACCACCAGCUGCAUCUUCCGUCCCUCUGCAACAAAAGCAAAAGGAACAACAACAAUGACACCAACGAAGGCUGAAUUUUGUGGGACGAGUACGACGUGUGCCUACCAGCCAAGGCCAUAAUUUUGGUGCUGUUGUUGUUGCUGCUACUACUGAGGUUUAUGUGGCUGAGCAGAAUGAGGAUUAUGAUGGUCAUUAGGAUGAUGAUGGAGAGGUUGCUUCAAAUCAGCACGAGGGACAACAACCACCACCACAAGCACCGGGUCGUCCACAUGGAUACAAUCGCAAUGGUAGGGCUGCACCACCUCCUCAGGUAUGGGAUCAUGACCAUCUCCCUAAGCUUAAAUUGAAUAUUCGUACAUUUAAUGGUAGAUAUGUUCGUGAUAUAUAUCAUACUUGGGAGUUAGAAACAGAGCAACAUUUUACAUGCUUACAAUUUCCUGAGGAUGGAUGUGUUGUUGCUCCUGUUUGUUCAUUCACUAGUUUUGGUUGUGUUUCAUGGUCUGGACAUUCUAGAAUACAUCAUGCUAAUAUUACAACUACUUGGGCUCCUUUGAAAACUAUUACGCGUACAUGUUAGGUUCCACCAUAUUAUCAACGUGAAUUACUUUAAAAAUUGCAGCGUUUAAGACAAGGAAAAAUUCUGUAGAAGAAUAUUACCAGGAAUUACAAACUGGCAUGAUUAGAUGUGGUAUUGUUGAGGACAAUGAAGCUAUGCUUGGACGUUUUAUGGGUGGAUUAAAUAGAGAUAUUCAGACUAUUUUAGAGUAUAAGUAGUAUAACACUAUAACUUGUUAUUCCAUCUUGCUUGCAAAGUUGAACGUGAAGUGCAGGAUCGACACACAUUGGAGAGAACUAAUUUUUCGGCAGGUCGCACUUCAUCAUGGAUGCCAUGAACCUCAGCCUCUUCCCCACGUCCUACUGCGGCACCACCUAUUUUAGUCACUAACUCCAGCCGAGAUAGCAGGAAACAAGCACCUGCCCCACCUUCUACCAAGAGCACACCUUCUUGGCCUGCAAAGAGUGCGUCUUCAUCCAUUGGCUGCAGAGGACGAACAAAUGAGGUUAUAUGUCGUCGCUUCCAGGGUGGAGGUCACUAUGCGAGAGACUUCCCAUCCAAACAUGUGAUGAUUGUUACUGAGGAUGGUGGAUAUGACUCCGCUAGUGAUUAUUCUGAGGAGACUUUGGCUCUUCCUAGUGACAAACAUGGUGUCGACGGUACUGAACAGGAAACACAAUACAUGGCUGUUGACUACGCCAACAAGUAUGAAAGUUUAGUUGUUCAACGUGUUUUAAUUGUGCAGGUAACACAUCUUGAGCAAAAUCAACGACACAAUUUGUUCCAUACAAAAGGAGUUGUGAAGGAAUGUUCUGUUCGCGUCAUCAUCGAUGGGGGGAGUUGCAACAACUUGUCUAACACGGAUAUGGUGGAGAAGCUGUCUCUCACCACCAUACCACAUCCUCAUCCUUAUUACAUCCAAUGGUUUAACAAGAGUGGCAAGGUUAAGGUAACACAUAUGUUCGUGUGCAUUUUAGCAUUGCUACAUAUUCUGAUUAUGUUGAUUGUGAUGUGGUACCCAUGCAAACAUGCUCUAUUUUACAUAGUAGACCAUGGCAAUUUGAUAAAAAAAUUGUACACCAUGGUAGGAUAAAUCAAUAUACUCUUGUUCAUAAGGAUCACAAUAUAACUUUGCUUCCUAUGCCUCGUGAACGUAUUAUGAAACAUGACGUUGCUAGAGUGUAACGACUAAGAUGCGGCCCUUUCCUUAUUUGGGGGCGAGGCCUCAAAAGGGUAAAGGGGCGCAUCUACGCGUUUCGCAAACGGGAUAAUCAUCACAAUACAUAAUUGAAGAUUAACAAGUAUGGCAUACACUUGCCAUCUGUUAAGAAUAUAUCAUAUAGCUUACACACACACAUUAUUCAGAGUAGCAGCAAGUCUAGCUUCGCACUUAAACAGAAAAACAGAUGAUCUAACACAUCCCGUAUGCUAGCCCACGAUCACAACCCUGGCCCCAGUCUUCCGGAUAGUUCACAUACAGACGGCCAAAGUCCUCAUCGAACUCCCAUUUCAGCUGGUUGUCAUCAGGAUCUCCCGCGUCGGGCGUACCUGUACCUGUUGGGGUUUGUAGUAAUCUUGAGCCACGGGGAGUCAACAAUCUAAUGACCUUGGUACUGAAUCUAGUCAAGUUAUCAGGUGAGGAAGGUUUAGUGUAUGGGUUUGCAGCAACCUAAGCAUAUAUGGUAGCUAACUUACGAUGAUCAGAGUAAUCAUAUGGUGGUCUACGCGAGCGAUCGAAGACUAGAUGAUCACUAAGUGAUCCUGAACACCUACUUACGUCAAACAUAACCCCACCGUGUUCCUGAUCGAAGAGUGGUCUUCGAAGGAGACAGUCAUGGUUAUGCACUCAGUUGAUAGUUUUAUUGGAGUUACUUUAAGUUGUCUAGAACCGGAUGUUAACAAAAUAUCCAUGUUUACCACAUAACCGCGGGCACGGCUUUCCGAAAGAUUAAACCCUGCAGGGGUGCUCCAACUAGUCCAUCACAAACUACCACGGGCCGCAAAGUAAUCCUCUAUCACGAAACUCGUGAUCUCGUAGGAUUCCUUAGAGGAAAACCUCAACUUUGAGGAGACCCAAAGUUUCACCGGGAUUCUUGUAUGCAAGAUAUAUCGCUAAGGUAAGAAAAAUCUGGCAGGACCUCCCGACGUGUCGACGACCCCGAUAAGAGUCGCGUAUCCCAGUCUCAGGACACGCCGGAUAAGCGAAGCAUACGGUGGCCUGAUAGAAAUCACCCGAGUUGCCCCGGAUUGGCCCCGCACGGUGCUCUAGUUUGGACCAACACUCAUGAGGAGCACUAACCCGGGUUGUUGAUUAAAUCCUUGGGGUAGAUAUUUCCUAUGCAAAUUAUUAUUAGGUGAUUAGCAGAUUAAAACAGGUGACAUAUAUUUCAAGUGGUAGGCAGCGAGCAUGUAUCAAAGGAAACGUGAUUCUAAGCAUAACAAAGCUAGAUACGGUAUCAAGGUCACGGUCAUCUUGCUUGUGAUGUCUUCAGCUUGGAACUGCUCUUGAUCUUCCUGCACGUACGCUCCAGAAUCCACGUACUCGCUCUCUGAUCCUGAUGCUACCCAAGAUAAGAUAACAGCCAAUGAACACCAACACAACAUAAUGCAACACACAAUAUGAUGCAUGUGUGAAGAAGGAAGCAUGCAUCACUAUUCUAGUCACUUUCAUAUGCAUUAGUUCAGUUAAUAGAAUUCUGGACAAAACCUCAUAUUAAGUUAUCUUGACAUGCAUGAAGAUGGCAUGAACAUGUGCAUCAUGAGAAAACGAUGCAAAAGCAUAUAAAGAACGCAGAGAACGGAGCUACGGAUCAACCGGAAACUACAAAACAAGAUAUGGAGACCUACGGUUCAAAUCAGCCACAAACUCACUCCAAUGGCACUCCCCUGGUGUUACCAGGUUGCCAAAUGAUCAAGCAACAAAAAAUAAGUGGGGUGGUGCAUGGGAACACACCACACCAUCAACAAUGCCCACACAAGCUUCAAAUCAACAAAAACAUGCAAUCUGUUUUCAACAGCAUCAUAGUAGUUUGUCUACAAUAUUUAAAGUAGCUACAACCAUCUAAAUGAGCCAAACAAGAUAUGAGGCAAAACCCAUCCAAAAGCUCUUCAACCCUGAACAAGAAGUUAAUACAGAGGAGUCACCCAUGAGCAGAUCUAUGGACAAAACUUGGACAAAAUACUACAGAUUGUGGGACUCGGUGAAAAUCACAGAUUUUCACCAACUGCUUAUGCUCUGAAGUAUUUUGGCAUCCUCCAAAAUGACAUCUACAGGAAGUGAAUAAGCAUGAAAUUUAACAUGGUGCUAUACAAGCACAAAAUCUCACAAACUUUAGUUUGUUGCAUCGGCUGAUUCCCAACACAGGAGCUAAUUCAUCCAAGACAACAGGGGAAGAAAAUAACAUCAGAUUCCCAGACUUUGUGAAAAUCAAAAGGUUUAACAAUCUGUCAGUUUUAGCCAAGUGUCAACUUUGACAAGGCACAAUAGGUGCAUAGAAAUUCCUAAGAACAAAACAAAGACCCCAUGCUGUAGAGGGGUUCACCCACUACCAGUACAUCAAGCAUUCAUCCUCAAAGGGUCAAGGCACCAUCUAAUAGAAAGUACUAAACAUGGCAUCAUGACAGAAAAUGACAGUUUUAUGAAGUUGCUCUAAAGUGAAAUCUGAUUGCACCAAUGGAUUUCUGGGAUGAUUCUACCCCAAAAUCAUAUAUAAUACAUGGGUACUUGCAUGUAACAUCAAGGCACAAAACUAGCUCAAAAAUACCACCUAGAAUCACAUGAGCUACAAUUGCCUAUUAGACACAUGUAAAAGUUGUCCUAUGCAUCACCUACACAUGCACUUGCACUAGGACAAGAUCAAACUAGCUAGGCAUAGCAUCACAUACAUAAAUAACCUCAAGUGUGAUGUGUUCAUCCACACACACACUCAUGUGCUCACACAUACACAUGCUUUUGAGCACACACACUUAUGAGCACAUCAACCUACUCCUACACACACACACGAGCACACACACAUAAAUGAAACACCCACUAUAUGUGGAGAUGCACACUCAUGUGUUUGUGCAUACUUGCACAAGUGUGUGUGUGUAACACAUACACACAUAAACACAUGCAAAUGCAUGGACCAAAUCUCCUAAGCAUCACUAAAAUACUAGACAACACCCUUGUAGGAUUUAAAAUCAAAAACAAAACAAAUCUGCAAAAGGAAAAUAAAAUAAAAAGGGGGAGAUGCUGGGAUCGAACCCAUGACCUCCCUGGUGCAAAAUCACACCCCUACCACUCUGCUACGCUUAUGGUUCUUAACAGAGAGGAGCGAGUUGCUAUUUUGAGCAUCCCCCUCUGCUCCUACUGCAGACCAAUGGCGACCGGAACAAGGGAGGCUCCCCGGCAAUGCUGCGACGAUGAAUCGGCUACAUGGCGCUUGCAGGGGGGGGGGGGGGGAGGGAACCCCAGGGGUUCCAUUCCUGCCUCGAACUCGCCGGGAGGUGAACCACGACGGCGGCACGAUGGACAUCCUAUCUACUGCACUAAAGCUGCUGUUGCUCUACGCGAAAGAGCAACGCCGGCGACGAUGUGGCGCGAGCAGCUACAGAUGGAAGGGGAAGGCAGAGGGGAGCGGGGCGCUGCUCACGUAGGGGUCAAAGAGGUAACCCAUCGCUGGAGAUGAAGCAGAGCGGCGAGCUGGACUGGAGGAGCUCGCCGGAGAGAAGAGGAAGGAGCCGGUCGUCGUGGACGUCGGGGAAGGAGGUAUCGACACCGGAUCUUCGCGAAAAUGGAAUGCGUAGACCCUCCGCUACCUCCGUGUCCGGUCGGGGAAGAAGGCGAGGCGGCGAUCCGCCGGCGAUGACCUCAACAGGAGCAACCCGUGGCAGUGGAGAGCUCGGGAACGCCUUCUGACGGUGCCAGGGAGAGAGAGGAAGGGGAAGUGGAUCUAGGGUUGCGAGGGGGCCGCCUGGCUGCUUAAAUGCCUCGGGAUGCGUGCUUGGAGCCGCCGGAUCAAAGAGGGAAACGAUCGGUGGUGGAGGUGGAGUCGUACACGGUGAGGACAGCGAGGAGGAAGAAGGAGAAGCGAGCGGGCUUGCGUGAGGGAAAGGAGGACAUGGGCCAGGGAAAGAGAGCCGGCCCACUUGCUAUCUAGCGCGUGCCGAAGAAAAUAAAACGAGGUUUUUUUAAAUAACCAACACCUAAACUUAAAUGCACACUCCCACAUAGGGGUUUGAAGUAAAUAAAAUAAAAAUACUUAGGGCAUAAGGGAAUUAUGUCCUAUUUAAAUAAAAUACGGAGCUGAUUUUUGGAUCAACUAAAUUAAAACCAAAAACAUGAUUUAAUUAGCUGUUUUGUAAAAAAGAAGCCCAUAUGACUUAAGUUUUAAAACCCCAAGACAAUACCCCUCAAUCACAAGAUAAACCACUAAAUGAUCAACAUUUUUAGAACAGGUUUAAACAAAGUUGAUUCAUAAGUUCAAAUAUUAAUAGAGAAGGGUUUUUUGAAACCUUGUUUGAAACCCCACUGUUUUUGAAAACACCACAACAUCAAUACAAGCACACUAGCAUUCAAAAUCACAUGAGACUCAUGAUGAUCAAGCAACAUCAACACAAUGGGAUUGCCAUGAAUGUAGUGAAUGCCAUGAUGCAAGAUGAAGACACAAAUUAAAGCCACAUGAAAUGAUAACUCUAUAACAUCCCAACAUUGUUUCCAAAAUAGGAAAGGUUUCCAAAAUGGCAAGGGUUACAUAUGGGGCAUUACACACUCUCCCACACUAGAAGAAGAUCUCGACCCGAGAUCUAGGACUGAAAGAACUCUGGAAAUUCGGGACGAAGGUGAUCCUCGUGCUCCCAAGUGGCCUCUUUAUCAGAAUGAUGUGAUCACUACACCUUGAGGAACUUGAUUGACUUAUUGCGGGUCUUGCGCGCAGUCGUCUCAAGAACUACAACUGGAUGCUCACGGUAGGAUAGGUCGGGUUGAAGGUCGAUAUCCUGAAGAUCAACUGUGCGCUCGGGAGUCUUGAAGCAUCUCCGGAACUAAGAGACAUGGAACACGUCAUGCACAUUGGCGAAGUUUGAAGGGAGAUUUAAUUGAUAUGCAAGGUCGCCUCUCUUGCCAACAAUUCUGAAAGGCCCAACAAAACGAGAAGCAAGCUUGCCUUUGAUGCCAAAACACUGAGUGCCCUUCAUAGGAGACACUUUAAGAUAGAUGAAGUCAUCGAGCUGAUAAGCCAUGUCAUGAUGCUUGCUAUUGUAGUGGCUCUUCUAACGGGACUGCGCUGCUUUGAGAUUAUCCCGAAUGACACGACACAUUUGUUUUGCUUCUUCAAUCAAGUCAUUCCCAAGAAUCUAACACUCGCGAGUCUCUGACCAGUUGAGCGGGGUAUGACACUUCCUGCCAUAGAGAAUCUCAAACGGAGCUUUGCCUGAACUUGCCCGAUAGCUGUUGUUAUAAGAAAACUCAGCAAAAGGUAGGCAGUCUUCCCACUUCAUGCCAAAGGAAAUGACACAUGCUCUUAGCAUAUCCUCGAGGACAUGAUUGACUCUCUCAACUUGCCCACUAGUCUGAGGAUGAAAGGCUAUGCUGAAUCGAAUCUUAGUACCCAUCGCAGACUGAAAUGAGUCCCAGAACUUGGAAGUAAAGAUGCUUCCACGAUCCAAAGAAAUCAGCAUUGGAACGCCGUGCAAUGAGACUGUCCUCGAAGUGUACAACUCUACAAGCUGAGCUGCCGAGAUAGACUGCUUGAUUGGAAGGAAAUGAGCGACUUUGCUCAACUUGUCGAUGACGACGAAGAUGGCAUCGUUACCCUUCUUGGACUUCUAAAACCCGGUGACAAAAUCCUUCUCAAUAUGGUCGAACUUCCACUCGGGAAUGGGCAAUGGAUGCAAAAGACCUGAUGGACGUUGAUGCUCUGCUUUCACCCUUCGACAUACAUCACAUUCAUUUACGAACUCAGCAAUUUCAAGCUUCAUGCGAGUCCACCAGAAGGUCUGUUUCAAAUCCUGAUACAUCUUGGAACUUUCUGGAUGUAUCGAGAGAAGAGAGUUAUGAGCAUAUUCCAUGAUAACCUUUCUGAGAUCUCCUUUCGGAACGGCAAGGCGAUCCUCAAAGAACAAAGUAUCACUAGCAUCAACACUGAAGCACUUAUAUUUGGGAACUCCCUUUGCCAAGCCAAUCUUAACGUUCCUCACCAUUGCAUCAAGAAGUUGAGCUUGUCGGACCUGGUCUUCCAAUGUAGGAUAAAUCUGAAGAUUAGCAAGAAAUCCUUGAGGUACUAACUAAAGGUUGAGCUUUCUGAAAGAUUCACAAAGAUCAGGCUGGAGAGGCUUCAGAAUGAGACUGUUGCAGUAAGCCUUCCUGCUCAAAGCAUCUGCCACAACAUUAGCUUUGCCUGCAGUGUACUCAAUGCUCGGAUUAAAAUCUUGGAGCAUCUCCACCCAACGAGUUUGCCCAAGAUUGAGGUUAGGCUGGGUGAAGAUGUACUUGAGACUCUUGUGAUCGGUGAACACUUCAACCUUUCUUUCCAACAAGAGGUGUCUCCAAGUCAUCAGAGCAUGUACCACUGCCGCCAAUUCAAGAUCAUGAGUGGGGUAAUUCUUCUCCCUUGGCUUCAACUACCUCGAGGUAUAAGCUACCACUUUCUUGUCUUGCAUCAACACUGCACCAAAACCUUGAAGAGAGGCGUCGCAGAACACUUGAUAAGGUUUGGAGUCAUCAGGAGGAACCAAGACUGGAGUAGAAGUGAGCUUCUCUUUGAGUGUGUCGAAAGCCAACUGACACUCUAGAGACCAGACAUACUUCACACCCUUCUGAAGAAGACUUGAGAGAGGCUUAGCAAUCUUGGAGAAAUUCUCAACGAAUCUUCUACAAUAGCUUGCAAGCCCAAGAAAGCUUCGAAGCCGCUUCAAAUUUUGCGGAGGUUCCCACUCAACAAUGGCCUGCACCUUCGACGGAUCAACUUUGAUGCCCUCGGCAGAGAUGAUGUGCCCAAGGUAGACAACUUCUUUCAACUAGAACUCACAUUUGGAAAACUUAGCAUAGAACUUAUGAUGUCUUAGCUUAUCAAUCACAAGCCUGAGAUGUUGUUCAUGCUCUUCCUCAGUUUCCGAAGAGACCAGAAUAUCAUCAAGAUACAACAAGACGGAUUCAUUCUUGAAUGGGGAGAAGAUAUAAUUCAUCAUCCGACAAAAGGUUGGUGGAGCAUUGGCCAGACCGAAAGACAACACCGUGUACUCAUAUGAGCCAAAGCUUGUUCUGAAAGCUGUCUUUGGAAUGUCCUCUUCGCGAAUGGGAAUCUGAUGAUAACUCAUCCUGAGAUCAAGCUUCGAGAAGAUCUUAGCCCCUUUCAAUUGCUCAAACAACUCAUUGAUGUUAGGAAGUGGAUACUUGUUUUUGAUCGUCUUCUUAUUCAAUGGACGGUAAUCGACACAAAGUCAUUCCGUACCAUCCUUCUUCUUGAUGAAAAGAACUCCAUAGCCCCAAGGAGAUGAGCUUGGUCUAAUCAGACCCAGACGCUCUUGCAAAUCAAGUUGUUUCUUCAGCUCCUUCAGCUCUUCUGGACCCAGUUUGUACGGCCGUUUACACACAGUCUCAGUACCCGGCUCAAAAUCAAUUACGAACUCAACUGCUCGGUGCGGAGGCAUUCCUGGCAGUUCUUCCGGAAAAACAUCUUCAUAUUCGCAGACCACUGGGACUUGCGAAAUUGGAGAGAUCUCACCCUUCUCAUUCAAGGAAAACAGACGGACCGUGUCAUCACGCGCUGCGAAGAUAAUCAUGUCCUCCGAAGAAUGAGUUAGCUUCACUUCUUUGGCUUCACAAUCAAUAGACACCUUGUUCAUAGCAUACCAAUCCAUUCCAAGGAUCAAAUCAAUAUCAAAGUUACCUAAGACAUACGGAGAUGCCAGAAAAACAUAAUCGCCCAUCUUGACAGAGACAUAAGGAACUACAGGAUUUGACCUCAUCUGCGCACUUGGAGAAACAACACCCAAAGGUUUAUCCAAAUUUGCAGAGGGGAAACCAUGCUUCAUGAAAAAUGACUUUGACAUAAAGCAAUGCGAAGCACCAGAAUCAAACAAUACUUUUGCACGAAAAUCAUUAACUGAGAGAUUACCCAUAAUCACGUCUCAGGAGUUGUCUGCUUUAGCCGCAUUCACCAUAUUGACUAUCAAAGACCUAGGGUUGAACUUCACUAUAGAAUUGCUUGGAGGCUUCCCUAGAGGAGGAGGCGGAACAUGCAACUGAGAGGUGCACUUGUUGGCAUAGUGACCUUUUUGCCCACACUUGUGACAAGUGAUGACCCUCAAGUGUAGGGGAUCACAACAGUUUUUGGGGGUAGAGUAUUCGACCCAAAUUUGUUUUUUCGCCAAAGGGGAAGCGAAAGAAUAUUCUCAAGUAUUAGCAGCUGAGUUUGUCUGAUUCAACCACAAUUGAAAGAUAAGUGUGUGCAAGCAAAGUAUCAGUAGCAAAGUAGUAUGGUAGCAACGGUGUUAGAAAAAUAGUCUUGCAACAAGUAACAACAGAGUAGCAAGGAACAACAGUAGUGACAGCAGUAGCGACAGAGUAAAAUCAGCAGCAGUAACAGCAGUAGUGACAGCAGUAGCAGCAGAGUGGCCCAAUCCCUUUCGUAGCAAGGGACAAGCCUAGACAAAGUAACGUAGCAAGGACCAGUAGUAAACGACUCGUAGGCAGUGGAUCGGUGAUGGAUGAGUGUGCCGGAUGUGAUUCAUUAUGUAACAACUGUAACACAGAGAGAUAAGUAACUAGCUCCCGUUCGUCAAUCUAAUGUAGGCAUGUAUUCCGUAUGUAGUCAUACGUGCUUAGGGAAAAGAACUUGCAUGGCAUCUAUUGUCCAUCCCUCCCGUGGCAGCGGGGUCCAAAUGGAAACUACGGGAUAUUAAGGUUCUCCUUUUAAUAAAGAACCGGACCAACACAUUAACACACGGUGAAUACAUGAACUCCUCAUACUAUGGUCAUCUCCGGGAGUGGUUUCGCCUAUUGUCACUCCGGGGUUGCCGGGUUGUAACACAUAGUAGGUGACUACAACUUGCAAGAUAGGAUCUAAAACACACAUAUAUUGGCGAACACAUAAUAGGUUCAGAUCUGAAAUCAUGGCACUCGGGCCCUAGUAACAAGCAUUAAGCAUAGCCAAGUAGUAGCAACAUCAAUCUAGAACAUAGUGGAUACUAGGGAUCAAUCCCCGUCAAAACUAACUCGAUUACAUGAUAGAUCUCAUCCAACUCAUCACCGUCUAGCAAGCAUACGAUGAGAUUACUCACGAACGAUGAAGAGCAUCAUGGAAUUGUCUAUGGAGGAAGGUUGAUGAUGACGAUGGCGACGAUUUCCCCUCUCCGGAGCCCCGAACAGACCCUAGAUCUGCCCUCCAGAUGAAGAACAGGAGGUGGCGGUGCCUCUGUAUCGUAAAACGCGAUGAAACCUUCUCUCUGAUUUUUUUCCAGGCGAGACGGAAGAUAUAGAGCUGAGUUUGGGGGCGGUGGUGCCAUGUGGGCCCCACAAUCCCUCACGGUGGGACCUAGGGAGUGGCCGCGGCCUGUGGGCUUGUGGCCCAGUGGCACGCCCCCUCCGGUGGAUCUUUGCGCAGGUAUUUUUCUUUUAUUCGAGAAAAAAUCUCCGUAAAUUUUCAGGACAUUCCGAGAACUUUUAUUUCUGCACAAAAACAAUACCAUGGCAAUUCUGGUGAAAAAAGCGUCGGUCCGGGUUAGUUCCAUUCAAAUCAUGCAAAUUAGAGUCCAAAACAAGGGAAAAAGAGUUCGGAAAAUUAGAUACGAAGGAGACGUAUCAACUCCCCCAAGCUUAAAGCCUUGCUUGUCCUCAAGCAACUCAGUUGACAAACUGAGAGAGACAAAAGAAAGACUUUGACGAACUCUGUUUGAUCUUGUUGUUGCAACUAUGUCUAACUCAUAACCAGAAUUUCAGCAACAUCACAAGCAAACCACAUAAGCAAAUGACAUCUAGGUCUCACGGUAAACUCAUAUCAAUGGCAUAAUCAGCUAGCGAGCAAAUAAUAACAAGUCUCAAACGUCAACACUUCAAUCAAAACAAUCAUGAAGCAGUACGAAAAGAUGGUAUCUCGCUAGCUCUUUCUGAGACCGCAAAACAUAAAUGCACAGCACCUUCAAAGACCAAGGGCUGAUUAAACAUUAUAUUUCAAGGCAAAGAAGAUCCAGUCACAAUCAUACUCAACACAGUUAAAAAGCAAAGCAUAAAAACGACAGAGGUGCUCUCUAAUUGUUGCUUUUAUAAGAGGAAGAUGACUCAACCGGAACAUAAAUAGACAUGCCCUUCGCAGAGGGAAGCAUUGAUUUGCAGAGGUGCCAGAGCUCAAGCUUUGAAAACAGAGAUAAUAAUUUUGGGUGGCAUGCUUUCAUUGUCAACGCAAUGACUAGGAGUUCUCAACAUAUUACAUGUUACACAUGCUAUAGGCGGUUCCCAAACAGAAAAGUAAAGUUUUGACUCCCCCACCACCAAUCAAUCACACUCCACGGCUAGCCGAAUCCUCGGGCACCGUCCAUACCAACACCAAUCCUGGGGGAGUUUUGUUUGCAAUUAUCUUUUUGAUUAGAGCAUGGAACUGGGAAUUCCAAUUACCAGCCCCUUUCUCGUGAAUGAUAGUGAAUAAACACAUAUCGAGGAUAACGAGCCUAGCAUGUAAGAUACUGAUAGCCGCCUGUGACCACAUGAGCGGUUCGGGCACGCAAAACAGAUUAUUUCUUGAAGGUUUAGAGUGUGGCACAUGCAAAUUUACUUGGAACGGCUGGUAGAUACCGCAUAUAGGUAGGUAUGGUGGACUCAUAUGGAACAACUUUGGGUUUAUGGAAGUGGAUGCACAAGCAGUAUUCCCGCUUAGUACAAGUGAAGGCUAGCAAAAGACUGUGAAGCGACCAACUAGAGAGCGACAACAGUCAUCAAAAUGCAUUGAGAAUAACUAACAUUGAGUGCAAGCAUGAGUAGGACAUAAAUCACCAUGGACAUGAAUAUCAUAGAGGUUAUGUUGAUUUUGUUUCAACUACAUGCGUGAACAUGCGCCAAGUCAAGCCACUUGAAUCAUUCAAAGGAGCAUACCAUCCUAUCAUACUACAUCAUAGUCAUCUCAACAUUCAUGUGGGCAUCCAAGACAAACCAUUAUAAGCUCCUAGCUAAGUAAGCAUGGCAUAAGCAACUAUGAUCUCUAAGUUGUCAUUGCAAACAUGUUUCUCUCACAACAAAGCUGAAUCACGCAUGAUGAGCUAGCCAUAUUUACAAAAACAAAAUAGACCGAGUUCAUACCAGCUUUUCCAGACUCAGUCACUUCAUCAUAUAUCGUCAUUAUUGCCUUUCACUUGCACGACCGAACGAUGUGAACAAUAAUAAGCGUGCUCGUGCAUUGGACUAAAGCUGGAAUCUGCAGGCAGACACAAAGGAGAAGACAAAGUAAUAUGGCUCUUUGAAACCUAAACAGGUAUGCAUGGAAGAGGCACUAAACAUUGUAACCAAUAUCUUCUAUCUUGACCCAAAGAAAAAUAAUUACACGGGAAAGCUCCCAACAAGGAAAAAGAAGAAAAAGAAAAUCUUUUUGGGUUUUCUCAAACUAGACACACACACGAAAAGAAAACGAGAAAAAGAAAAUAAACUAGCAUGGAUGAUACGGUGGAGAAGUGUGAACACCGGAUAACAAAGUGAAAGCAUAAGCAAGAAUGUAAAGUCGGUGAGAACAUGUACUCCCCCAAGCUUAGGCUUUUGGCCUAAGUUGGUCUACUCCCAAAGUAUGGUCCUGGCGAAACCCAAAAUCAUAAUGUGGGUUAUACGGGAGCGCUGCAGCCACUGCCUGAAUAGCUGCCUCACGGAGACGAGCAGCCUUAGCCUCCCUCUCAUACUCCUCUGCCUCUCCUCGGGUUAUGUAAUAUCUCUGUUUUACCUGAAAGUCAAAGAAGGCAGCAGUAGGAAGGGUCAUAUGGAAAACAGGCUGUCGGUUAAAUAUCAAACGGUAUAGGAGGGAUUCGUCAUCCCUCUCAAGGAACUGGUAGCGUGUCAAAGCGAUGCGGUCAAGGAAAGUUGUAUGGAGCGGGGGAUCUCCUUUGCGGAUGGGUACUCCAAGAAAAUUUGCUAUGCGAGUGGCAUAGAUCCCACCAAAGAAAUCCCCUUCAUUAGCAUUCUUAUUCAGCCUCCUUGCUAUAAUAUCUCCCAUGUUGAAACUUUUGUCACCCCUCACUGCGCUCUUAAGGAUACUAAGGUUGGGUGCACAGAGGUGACAAUGCUCAAUCUUGCCGUUAAUGCAUCUGCCUAUGAAGAGUGCAAAGUAAUGCAAGGCAGGAAAAUGAAUACUCCCCAUGGUAGCUUGCGUAAUGUCUCUAGUUUCUCCAACACUAACACCAGAGCAAAAAUCUCUAACCAAAGAUUUAGGAGGAUCAUUGAGACUACCCCAGAUAGGUAUUUUGCAAAUUCUAUUGAAAUCCUCUAAAUACAUGGUAUAUGAUUUAUCAUAGAGAUCAAACAGUACCGAUGUCUCACGUCCAGCUGAAAAUUUGAAUCUACGAACAAAAGAGGCAGUGAGAGCAACAUACUGUUCAUAUUUAUCGGAGAUGAAUUCCUCAAGUCCGACGUUGUGAACAAGUGCAUCAAACUCAUCUUUGAAACCUGCCUCAAUCAUAAAUUCACUAGAAGGCCAUUCACAUGGUUGUACCUGCGCAUCCCUUGGUUGGUAAGGAUCAGGCUCCCGAAUCGCAAGACGGGGACCUCUCUUGUUUGAGGAACCACCAUGAAGUUUCUCCUGAACAUCUUCCUUUUCUGAAAUUUUCAGUGAUUCUAAGGAAAGGUGAACAAGGCUCAACGAAACUCGUAGCAACUACUCCCACAAGUGCCUAGAGACCAUAUUACGCAUCAAAACUACUUGGGACCAGCUAAAAUCAACAUGCAAAGCUCAAGAACAUGGUCACCAAGGCAUCAAAAAUACGCAGAGUAUAAGGCACUAGAUCAAAAACUAGUUGGACCAAUGGAGGAGUCACUUACCAAGGAGUAAUUUCCCCAAAACAGUUCGGAGAAUGGUGAUUUGAGCAAAGAGAUCGAAAAUCCCAGCAAGAGGAGCAAGAACACGGGUUUGAGCUGCGAAACGAUUUUUUCUGGAGGUAGGAGAAGCAGAUAAGAGCAAGAAUGAGUGGAGGGGGUGUCUAUGGGCUCCACAAGCCUGGGUGGCGCGACCAAGGGGGUGCCCGCGCCCCUAGGGCUUGUGGCCCACUAGUGCAGCCCCCAGACAAGCUCUUCGUCCCAGUAUUUUUCAAAAAAUCCAGAAAAAUCAUACUUGAUUUUCAGGACGUUCGGAGAACUUUUAUUUUCGGGGUACUUUUCUACCGGAUGCUAAAACAGAAAACAGGAAAAACUAAACUAAAUCUAUCAUUUUUCUUCUAAGCAACCGAAGGUGAAAGCUCGGAACAAAGUUUGUGACUCUUCGAUUCAUCCAUCUCACGGUCAUCAAAAGAAAUCCGUCAGUGAGGUUGAUCAAGCCUCUUUGACAAACCUUUUUGAAUCGCAAAAGAGAACGGAGAAUUUUCGAAUAGUCACUAGGUCACCUCAAUGGGGAUGUGUAUCUCCCCAACAAGAAAAUCAUACUUCAUCUUGACAUGAGGAAUAGGGCAUUCAAAGCUCCCAAUAAGAAUCGAUGAUGUUUUUUCGAUAGCAUUGACUCAAUGUACUCGAUAUUGUUUCUUCGGAAAGUGCACCGUAUGCUCAUUACCGUUGACAUGGAAGGUGGCAUUGCCUUUGUUGCAAUCUAUAAUAGACCAUGCAGUGUUUAAAAAGGGUCUUCCAAGAAUGACCGCCAUGGCAUCAUCCUCGGGAAUAUCCAAGAUAACAAAGUCUAUUAAGUUAGUGACAUUAGCAACCACAACACGCACAUCCUCACAAAUGCCGAUAGGGAAAGCAGUUGACUUGUCGGCCAUUUGGAGAGAGAUUUCAUUGGGUGUCAACUUAUCUAGUUCAAGUCUACGAUAAAGAGAGAGAGAGAGAGGCAUAACACUAACACCGGCUCCAAGGUCGCAUAAAGCAGUUCUAACGUAGUUACCUUUAAUGUAGCAAGGUAUAGUGGGCACACCGGGAUCACCUAGUUUCUUAGGAGUUCCACCCUUGAAGGUAUAAUUAGCAAGCAUGGUGGAAAUCUCAACCUCAGGUAUCCUCCUCUUAUUAGUCACAAUAUCUUUCAUGUACUUAGCAUACAGAGACAUUUUGAGCAUAUCUGUCAAACACAUUUGCAGAAAGACAUGUCUGACCAUUUCAACGAAUCGCUCAAAAUCCUCAUCAUCCUUUUUCUUGGAUGGUUUGGGAGGAAAGGGCAUGGGUUUCUGAACCCAUGGUUCCCUUUCUUUACCAUGCUUCCUAGUAGUGAAGUCAUUCUUAUCGUAUCUUCUAUUCUUAGGCUGUGGGUUAUCAAGAUCAACAGGUUCAAUCUCCACAUCCUUUUCAUUGCUAGGUUGAGCAUCAUCAUGAACAUCACUAUUGAUAUCAUCAUUAGGCUCAUGUUCAUCACUAGAUUGUGUUUCAGCAUCAGAGACGGAGACAUUAUUUGGACUCUCAGGUGUAGCAGCAACAGGUUGCUAGCGUGCAGGUUCCUAUCAUCUUUCUUCUUCUUUCUAGGAUUGACUAGGUGCAUCAUUGCUAACUUUUGAGGAACUUCUUAAAUUCUCUUCGGAUGACCCUCAGGAUACAAAGGUUCCUGGGUCAUUCUACCGCCUCUAGUAACGACUGUGACAGAAUUGUCAUUCAACUCAUUGAGCAAGUCAUUCUGAGCUUUAAGUACUUGUUCUACCUGAGUAGUAACCAUACAGGCAUGUUUGCUUAGAAGCUUAAGAUCAUUGACAUUUCUGUCCACACAAGCACUUAAAUGACUAAGCAUACAAGCAUUAUGUUCCAAUUGUCUGCUAACAUAAUCAUUGAAACUCUUUUGUUUGGCAACGAAGUUAUCAAAUUCAGCCAUGCAUAAGGUAGCAGAUUUAUCAAAAGGAAUAUCACUCUCAUCAAACCUACGCAGAGAAUUUACUUCUACUACCUGUAUCGGGUUAUCAAGACCAUGGAUCUCUUCGAUAGGUGGUAGAUUUUUGACAUCUUUAGAUUUAAUGCCUUUCUCUCGCAUAGAUUUCUUGGCUUCUUGCAUACCUUCAGGACUGAGGAAUAGAAUACCUCUUUUCUUCGGAGUUCGCUUAGGAGGUGGUUCGUGAAUAGUCCAAGCAUUCUCAUUGCACAAGAUGUUAUUCAGUAGAAUCUGAACAUGUUGUAUAGUUCAUUCCCUAAAAACACUACCGGCACAACUAUCUAGGUGGUCUUUGGAAGCAUCGGCAAGUCCAUUAUAGAACAUUCAGUAGCUGGAUGAGCCUCCCCCAAGCUUGUGGGAGACUCUUUUCCUUAGCUUGAGCAAAGUUGUAUAUUUCCUGCAAGGCAGCUUGCUUCUUAUGGGCAGGGAAAUAUUUCUCAAAGAAGUAGUAGACCAUAUCCUGGGGGCUACGCACACAACUAAGAGCAAGAGAAUUGAACCAGGUCUUAGCAUCAUCCUUUAGCGAGAAAGGAAACAACUUGAGCAUGUAGUAGUGGCGGAUCUUUUCCUCACUAGUGAAUAGGGUGGCUAUAUCGUGCAGUUUGGUAAGAUGGGCUACAACCGUUUCAGACUCAUAACCGUGAAAAGGAUCAGAUUCGACCAGAGUGAUUAACUGAGGGUCGACAGAGAAUUCAUAAUCCUUAUCGGUCACAAAGAUAGGCGAAGUAGCAAACUUCUGGUCAUAUUUCAUCCUAGCGUUCAGAGAUUUUUCUUUCCACUUGCGUAGAAGUUUCUCAACAUCAUAGCUAUCCUUACACGCAAGAAAAUCCUCAGCUAUCUCUCCUUCCAUAACAUAGCGCGUAUCAGGCAUAACAGGCAAUUCAGGCAUAGUAGGUUCUACUUCAAUAGUAUCAGCAGUUUCAGAAGUAUCAUCAGGUCUAGCAGCAACUCUAGCAAUUUGUGCAUCAAGGAAUACACCUAGUGGCAAAGCAGUAUCAAGCAUAGCAUCAUCACGCAUAGUAUCAAGCAUAGCAUCAUCAGGCAUAGUAUCAAGCAUAGCAUCAUCAGGCAUAGUAUCAAGCACAGGCGACAUAUCAAGAUUUCUAGCAGGAGGUGAUGUCGCAAACUUACUCCGAACUCAAGGUGAAUCAAGUGUAGAGCUAGAUGGCAAUUCCUUACCUCUCCUCGUAGUGGAAGGCAAGAUUUUAGUUCUUGGAUCUUUCGGAUUCCUCAUAGUGACCAGCAGACAUCAAUCCCAAGUGACCCAGAGAAUAUAGUUGUGCUUCCCCGGCAACGGCGCCAGAAAAAUGUCUUGAUGAUCCUCAAGUGUAGGGGAUCGCAACAAUUUUCGAGGGUAGAGUAUUCGACCCAAAUUUGUUGAUUCACCAAAGGGGAAGCGAAAGAAUAUUCUCAAGUAUUAGCAGCUGAGUUUGUCAUAUUCAACCCCACCUGAAAGAUUAGUGUCUGCAAGAAAAGUAUCAGUAGAAAAGUAGUAUGAUAGCAACGGUGUCAGAAAAAUAGUCUUGCAACAAGUAACAGUAGAGUAGAAAGGAACAACAGUAGUGACAACAGUAGCGACAGAGUAACAGCAGCAGAAGUAACAGCAGUAGUGCCAGAAGUAGCAGCAGAGUGGCCCAAUCCCUUUGGUAGCAAGGGACAAGCCUAGACAAAGUAACAUAGCAAGGACCAGUAGUACUAGACUCGUAGGCAGUGGAUCGGUGAUGGAUGAGUGUGCCGGAUGUGAUUCAUCAUGUAACAGCUAUAACAUGGAGAGAUAAGUAACUAGCUCCCGUUCGUCAAUCUAAUGUAGGCAUGUAUUCCGUAUGUAGUCAUAAGUGCUUAGGGAAAAGAACUUGCAUGACAUCUAUUGUCCAUCCCUCCCGUGGCAGCGGGGUCCUAAUGGAAACUACGGGAUAUUAAGGUUCUCCUUUUAAUAAAGAACCGGACCAACGCAUUAACACGCGAUGAAUACAUGAACUCCUGAUACCAUGGUCAUCUCCGGGAGUGGUUCCGGCUAUUGUCACUCCGGGGUUGCCGGGUCAUAACACAUAGUAGGUGACUACAACUUGCAAGAUAGGAUCUAAAACACACAUAUAUUGGCGACAACAUAAUAGGUUCAGAUCUGAAAUCAUGGCACUCGGGCCCUAGUGACAAGCAUUAAGCAUAGACAAGUAGUAGCAACAUCAAUCUAGAACAUAGUGGACACUAGGGAUCAAACCCCGUCAAAACUAACUCGAUUACAUGAUAGAUCUCAUCCAACUCAUCACCGUCCAGCAAGCCUACGAUGAGAUUACUCACGAACGAUGAAGAGCAUCAUGGAAUUGUUGAUGGAGGAAGGUUGGUGAUGUCGAUGGCGACGAUUUCCCCUCCUCGGAGUCCCGACCGGACUCGAGAUCUGCCCUAAAGAUGAAGAACAGGAGGUGGUGGCGGCUCCGUAUCGUAAAACGCGAUGAAACCUUCUCUCUGAGUUUUUUCCGGGCGAGACGGAAGAUAUAGAGCUGAGUUUGGGGGCGGUGGUGCCAUGUGGGCCCCACAAGCCCUCACGCGACCUAGGGGGGUGGCCGCGGCCUAUGGGCUUGUGGCCCACUCGCACGCCCCCUCCGGUGGAUCUUGGUGCAGGUAUUUUUCUUUUAUUCCAGAAAAAAUCUCCGUAGAUUUUCAGGACAUUCCGAGAGUUUUCAUUUCUGCACAAAAACAACACCAUGACAAUUCUGUUGAAAACAGCGUCAGUCCAGGUUAGUUCCAUUCAAAUCAUACAAAUUAGAGUCCAAAACAAGGGCAAAAGAGUGCGGAAAAGUAGAUACGACGGAGAUGUAUCAACAAGUAACAUCUGCCGGCUGACGGAACUGCACCUCAGGAUCCCAUUGCUUCUGCUGUUGAAACCUGUGCUGGAAAGCUGGGUUGGGUGGGUGGGAAGAACCACGACCACCUAAUUGCUUGACCUGCUGAGUCUGCCGAGGAGGAGGAGGAGACACCCAGUAUUUCUGUUGCUUCAGAACCACCUGAGUUGAGGGCAACGAACUGGACUCUCUGACAUGCUUCCUUGAAUUCUCCACCCUGAGCAAAGCUGCCUCAUCCCUGAGAGCCAAGUUAUAGAACCUAUCAAACUCAUCGGGAUCGUGCAAGGCGAGGGCCAGCUGCAAGUCCUCUCUUAGACCACCUCUGAAAUGAUAGAUCUUUCUCUUCUGAUCUGGAAUGUCCUGCAAGGCAUAUCGAGCCAGCUCAUGGAACUCGACGUUGUACUUUUACACAGAGGAAUCAGCUUGCUUCAAGCGUCUCAACUUCUCACGCAUCUCCUCCACAAAGCUAGACGGGAUAUAGUGAGACCUGAAAUCUCUGCAGAACUCAUCCCAACUGAUAAAUCUGCCACCCCUGGAGUCCUUCAACUGCUGCCACCAAACUGUUGCCUGCCCCGUGAGCUGAAAUGUUGCAAACUUGACGAAGUCCUCUGGACGGACAUUGCUGCACUCAAAUUGUUUGUUCAUGUCCCGAAUCUAGUCCUCAACGUCAAACGACUGAUCACACGACGUGAAGGUCUUCGGCUGGUUUGCCAGGAAUUGACUCAGAGAUGCAAACUGAUUACCACCAUGGUUGAAAUUGCCCUGCUGCUGAUUCGUCCUCUCUUGCAACAGAUGGAUUAACAUCUGGGUGUUAGCAUUUUUUGCAGCCAUCACCGCUUGCCAAGCCCGUGCAGGAGGAGGCGGCGGAGGGGGUGGUGGCGGAACAUGAGUACCCUCGCGACCCGAAUUCUGACGAGUUGGUGGAGCCAUCCUAAAGACGGACAACACAUUAGACCAGAGAAUAACAUUGAAGGUAAAGCUGAAUCAAAAGGCAUGUAUAUAUGAACAAGAAUAUUAGCAAUUACACUCGAACAAAAUAGUAAGAAUGCUUCCUCAAAGUGACUUUUAACAAAAUCUUAUUAAGACCACUUGCAAACCAAGUAUGAGCUAGAACUUCUCGGAACAAACGUAUGACAAAGAUUCCAUCCGAUAUCUUCAUGGAUAUGAUCGCACGGGCUCGAAUUUACAGUAGCCAUCCUGUGCAAGGCAGUGCACACGACUUACGAAGCAUCCUCGAGUCAUAGCAAGCUACAAGGACUCUUUAAGACACAACGAGAACCGAUGUAAGACGACCAUAAACAAAUGUACCCACUGAAUGUCGAAUCCCAACCUCAAAUCAUGCAUCUGUAGGAAGAUUGUCCUAUAAGUCAGUACUUGAUAUCCCACCUAUGAAUUCCCAAAAUUUCUUGUCAUGCAAUCUGGUACACGGAUACAAGGAGUAAUAUGUCACACAACUCCUAUACUAACCAGUCCAGUGUAUCACAUCCGUCAACACAUAACCAGAAUCUCGAAGCUUCGUCUACUACAGACCCUCGUAAUCACAACGAUACAAAGUGUGGUGAUACAUCCAGAACUCUCUGCACCAGUACUGGGGAAGCCGGAGUCCUCUCGUCACAACUAGUAUUGAAGCAAUUAUGAACAUCCUCCGUCCUGAGUUACUAAGAAAUCUGAAUGAUGGUGAUGUGCACAAGAAUCCCCUGGAGCUCAACUCCCCGGAAAAAAUCAAGUCAGACAGGAGGCACCUGGACAGAACUCCAUCACAUCGAUAUCAUAUAGAUUUCAAAAUACCCGUGUGAUCCUAAUUUUUUUUAAGCGAGAAGACGAGUAGAAUUAAGAUUUCCUAAGUAGAGAACCUCACCAGAGCAUAGAAGAGGAGAAAAACAAACCUACUCUCCGAUAUAGCUAAGACUCAAAACCUUUUACUAGACUCGACUCGGCCAAGUUCGAUCACACAAAGGCUCCUAUGGUCGUAAGGCUCUGAUUACCAACUUGUAACGACUAAGAUGCGGCCGUUUCCUAUUUAGGGGGCGGUGCCCCAAAAGGGAAAGAGGCGCAUCUAAGCGUUUCGCAAGCGAGAUAAUCAUAGCACAUACAUAAAUUAAGAUUGACAAAUAGGGCAUUCAUUUGCCAUCUGACAUAGAAUAAUAUCAGAGUACAUCCACACAAUUAUUUAGACAAGAUAGUCCCGCUACGGGAUAAUCAUCACAAUAAAGAAUUAAAGAUUAACAAGUAGGGCAUACACUUGCCAUUUGUUAAGAAUAUAUCAUAUAGCUUACAGACACACAUUAUUCAGAGUAGCAGCAAGUCCAGCUACGGUCUUAGACAGAAAAACAGAUGAUCUAACACAUCCCGUAUGCUAGCCCACGAUCACGACCACGACCUCAGUCUUCCGGAUAGUUCACAUACACAUGGCCAGAGUCCUCAUCAAAUUCCCACUUCAGCUGGUUGUCAUCAGGAUCUCCCGCGUCGGGCGUAUCUGUACCUGUUGGGGUUUGUAGUAAUCUGUGAGCCAUGGGGACUCAACAAUCUAAUGACCUUGGUACUGAAUCUAGUCAAGUUAUUAGGUGAGGAAGGUUUAGUGUAUGGGUUUGCAGCAACCUAAGCAUAUAUGGUAGGCAACUUACGAUGAUCAGAGUAAUCAUAUGGUGGUCUACGUGAUCGUUCGAAGACUAGAUGAUCACUAAGUGAUCCUGAACACCUACUUACAUCAAACAUAAUCCCACCAUGUUCCCGAUCAAAGAGUGGUCUUCGAAGGAGACAGUCACGGUUAUGCCCUCAGUUGGCAGUUUUAUUGGAGUUACUUUAAGUUGUCUAGAACCGGAUGUUAACAAAAUAUCCAUGUUUGCCACAUAACCGCGGGCAUGACUUUACGAAAUAUUAAACCCUGCAGGGGUGCUCCAACUAGUCCAUCACAAACUACCACGGGUCGCAAAGUAAUCCUCUAUCACGAAACUCGUGAUCUCGUCGGAUUCCUUAGAGGAAAACCUCAACUUUGAGGAGACCCAAAGUUUCACCGGGAUUCCUAUACGCAAGAUAUAUCGCUAAGGUAAGACAAAUCUGGCAGGACCUCCCGACGUGUCGAUGACCCUGACAAGAGCCGCGUAUCUUAGUCUCAGGACACGCCGGAUAAGCGAAGCGUAUGGUGGCCUGAUAGAAAUCACCUAAGUUGCCCCGGAUUGGCCCUGCACGGUGCUCUAGUUUGGACCAACACUCAUGAGGAGCACUGGCCCGGGUUGUUGAUUAAAUCCUCGGGGUAGAUAUUCCCUAUGUAAAUUAUUAUUAGGUGAUUAGCAGAUUAAAACCAAUGUUGGGUCCUGCCGGACGAGCCUUAACACUACACGAUUUAUCAAGGGGGUCCCCAUAACAACCCCGAACGUGUUAGGAGCGAUCAGUUAUGGAAACAAACACCGGUAACCGAAACUAAGGCGACAACAACGGAACAAAUCACCCGGCAAAAGGCUAGGCCUUCCGUAAUUUACCAAGUAUAUAGUUGCAUUAAUUAAAUAGCAUUUUAAACAUAGUGAUAUCAAAAUACUCAUGUUAACACAUGAGACAGCUGGCACCUGCAACUAGAAAAGCUACUCAUUAGAAGUUGAGCAAGCCUACUUAGCCAAACAACAUUUGCUAGGAGAGGGAGGUGUUUGGGGUUCAUGGCAAAGACAGGUGGCAUAUAUUUCAAGUGGUAGGCAGUGAGCAUGUAUCGAAGGAAACGUGAUUCUAAGCAUAACAAAUCUAGAUACGGUAUCAAGGUCACGAUCAUCUUGCUUGUGAUGUCUUCAGCUUGGAACUGCUCUUGAUCUUCCUGCACGUACUCUCCAGAAUCCACGUACUCGCUCUCUGAUCCCGAUGCUACCCAAGAUAAGAUAACAACCAAUGAACACCAACACAACAUAAUGCAACAAGCAAGAUGAUGCAUGUGUGAAGAAGGAAGCAUGCAUCACUAUUCUAGUCACUUUCGUAUGCAUUAGUUGAGUUAAUUGAAUUCUGGACAGAACCUCAUAUUAAGUUAUCAUGACAUGCAUGAAUAUGGCAUGAGCAUGUGCAUCACGAGAAAACGAUGCAAAAGCAUAUAAAGAACAUAGAAAACAGAGCUACGGAUCAACCGGAAACUACAAAACAAGUAUGGAGACCUACGGUUCAAAUCAGCUACAAACUCACUCCAAUGGCACUCCCCUGGUGUUACCAGGUUGCCAAAUGAUCAAGCAACAAAAAAUAAGUGGGGUGGUGCAUGGGAACAUACCACACCAUCAACAAUGCCCACACAAGCUUCAAAUCAACAAAAACAUGCAAUCUCUUUUCAACAACAUCAUAGCAGUUUGUCUACAAUAUUUAAAGUAGCUACAAACAUCUAAAUGAGCCAAACAAGAUAUGAGGCAAAAGCCAACCAAAAGAUCUACAACCCUGAACAAGAAGUUAAUACAAAGGAGUUACCAAUGAGCAGAUCUAUGGACACAAACUUGGAAAAAAUAUUAAAGAUUCUGGGACUUAGUGAAAAUCACAGAUUUUCACCAGCUGCUUAUGCUGUGAAGCAUUUUGGCAGCCUCCACAAUGUUAUCUACAGGAAGUGAAUAAGCAUAAAAUUUAACAGUGUGCUAGACAAGCACGAAAUCUCACAAACUUUAGUUAGUUGCAUGGGCUGAUUCCCAACACAGGAGCUAAUUCAUCCAAGACAACAGGGGAAGAAAAUAACAUCAGAUUCCUGGGAUGAUUCUACCCCAAAAUAAUAUAUAAUACAUGGGUACUUGCAUGUAACAUCAAGGCACAAAACUAGCUCGAAAAUACCACCUAGAAUCACAUGAGCUACAAUUGCCUAUUAGACACAUGUAAAAGUUGUCCUAUGCAUCAGCUACACAUGCACUUGCACUAGGACAAGGUCAAACUAUCUAGGCAUAGCAUCACAUACAUAAAUAACCUCAAGUGUGAUGUGUUCAUCCACACACACACUCAUGUGCUCGCACAUACACAUGCAUUUGAGCACACACACUUAUGAGCACAUCAACCUACUCCUACACACACACACGCACAUGAGCACACACCCAUAAAUGAAACACCCACUAUAUGUGGAGAUGCACACUCAUGUGUUUGUGCAUACUUGCACAAGAGUGUGUGUGUGUAACACAUACACACAUACACACANNNNNNNNNNNNNNNNNNNNNNNNNNNNNNNNNNNNNNNNNNNNNNNNNNNNNNNNNNNNNNNNNNNNNNNNNNNNNNNNNNNNNNNNNNNNNNNNNNNNNNNNNNNNNNNNNNNNNNNNNNNNNNNNNNNNNNNNNNNNNNNNNNNNNNNNNNNNNNNNNNNNNNNNNNNNNNNNNNNNNNNNNNNNNNNNNNNNNNNNNNNNNNNNNNNNNNNNNNNNNNNNNNNNNNNNNNNNNNNNNNNNNNNNNNNNNNNNNNNNNNNNNNNNNNNNNNNNNNNNNNNNNNNNNNNNNNNNNNNNNNNNNNNNNNNNNNNNNNNNNNNNNNNNNNNNNNNNNNNNNNNNNNNNNNNNNNNNNNNNNNNNNNNNNNNNNNNNNNNNNNNNNNNNNNNNNNNNNNNNNNNNNNNNNNNAGAAAAUAAAAAAGGGGGAGGUGCUGGGAUCGAACCAAGGACCUCCCUGGUGCAAAAUCACACCCCUACCACUCCGCUACACUUACGGUUCAUAUGAGAGAGGGGAGAGUUGCUCUUUUGAGCAUCCCCCUCUACUCCUACUACAGACCAGCGGCGACCGGAACAGGGGAGGCUCCCAACAACGCAACGGCAACGAAUCGGCUACAUGGCGCUUGCCCGGGGGGGGGGGGGGGUUCCAUUCCCGCCUCGAACUCGCUCGGAGGUGAACCACGACGACGGCGCGAUGGACAACCUAUCUGCUGCACUAAAGAUGCUGUUGCUCUGCGCGAUAGAGCAACGCCGACGACGACGCGGCGCCAGCGGAUACAGAGGGAAGGGGAAGGCGGAGGGGAGCGGGGCAUUGCUCACCUAGGGGUCAGAGAGGUAACCCGUCACUGGAGAUGAAGCAAAGCGACGAGCCGGACUGGAGGAGCUUGUCGGAGAGAAGAGGAAGGAACCGGUCGUCGUGGACAUCAGGGAAGGAGGUAUCGACGUCAGAUCUUCGCGAAAAUGGAACGCCUAGACCCUCUGCUACCUCCUGGUCCUGUCGGGGAAGAAGGCGAGGCGGCGAUCCGCCGCCGACGACUUCACCAGAAGCAACCCAUGGCGGUGGAGAGCUCAGGAAUGCCUUCUGACGGCGCCAGGGAGAGAGAGGAGGGGGGAAGUGGAGUUAGGGUUACGAGGGGGGCGCAUGGCUGCUUAAAUGCCUCGGGAUGCGUGCUUGGUGCCACAGGAUCAAAGAGGGAAAGGAUCGGUGGUGGAGGUGGAGUCGUAUAGGGUGACGACAUCGAGGAGGAAGAAGGAGAGGCGAGCGGGCUUGCGCAGGGGAAAGGAGGAGAUGUGCGAGGGAAAGAGAGCUGGCCCACUUUCUAUCUAGCGCGUGCCGAAGAAAAUAAAACAAGGUUUUUUAAAUAACCAACACCCAAACUUAAAUGCACACUGCCACAUAGGGGUUUGAAGUAAAUAAAAUAAAAAUACUUAGGGCAUAAGGGAAUUAUGCCCUAUUUAAAUUAAAUACGAAACUGAUUUUUGGAGAAACUAAAUUAAAAUCAAAACAAGAUUUAAUGACCUGUUUUGUAAAAACGAAGCCCAUAUGACCUAAGUUUUAAAACCCCAAGACAAUACCCCUUAGUCACAAGGUAAAACACUAAAUGAUCAACAUUUUUAGAACACGUUUAAACAAAGUUGAUUCAUAAGUUCAAAUAUUAAUAGAGAAGGGUUUUUUGAAACCUUGUUUGAAACCCCACUAUUUUUGAAAACACCACAACAUCAACACAAGCACACUAGCAUUCAAAAUCACAUGAGACUCAUGAUGAUCAAGCAACAUCAACACAAUGAGAUUGCCAUGAAUGCAAUGAAUGCCAUGAUGCAAGAUGAAGACACAAAUUAAAUCCACAUGAAAUAAUAACUCUAUAACAUCACAACAUGGUUUCCAAAAUAGGAAAGGUUUCCAAAAUGGCAAGGGUUACAUCUGGGGCAUUACAUAGAGCUAGUAAAGCAAAACAGGAGCUAAAGAAGAGUGAAAAUCGGAUUGUGGUAAAGGAAUUUGAGCAACACAAUAACCCUAAUAAACCAUCACCUAGCAUUGCAUCUGAAAUAAAAUUAAAGAGUGUAUGUUUACUUGCUACUAAAUCUGAUAUUACCAAUCCCGAUUUUACAACAUCUGUUUGCCAUGCAUUUGUGUGGAAAGAGGUAUUAUUUUCAUUCAAGGAUGUGCCUCUCUCUUUGCCUCUUGCUGUCACUAACAUUUUGCAGGAGUUCGUUGACGUCUAUCCACAAGACGUACCACCGAGACUACCACCUAUUAGAUCAACUUAACUCCCGGUGCAUUUCUACCCAACCGUGAUCCAUACCGUACCAAUCCAAAGGAGACGAAGCAGAUUAUGCAUCAAGUACAGGAGCUACUCGACAAAGGUUAUAUACAUGAAUCCCUUAGACCUUGUAUUGUUCCUAUUAUUCUAGUGCCAAAAAAGGAUGAUACAUCACGAAUGUGUGUUGAUUGUAGAGGCAUCAAUAAUAUUACUAUUCGUUAUCGUCAUCCUAUUCCUAGGUUUGAUGAAUUAAGUGGCUUCACCAUUUUCUCCAAGUUGAUUUGCAUAGUGGAUACCAUCAAAUUCGUAUGAAACUGAGAGAUGAAUGAAAAAUAGCAUUUAAAACAAAGUUUGGAUUAUAUGAGUGGUUAGUCAUGCCUUUUGGGUUAACUAAUGCACCUAGCACUUUCAUGAUAUUAAUGAACGAGGUUUUACGUGCUUUCAUUGGACGAUUUGUGGCAGUCUAUUUUGAUGAUAUACUGAUUUAUAGUAGAUCUUUGGAGGAACAUUUGGAACAUUUGUGUUUUGUUUUUCUAGCUCUACGUCAUGCACGUUUGUUUGGUAACCUUGGGAAGUGCACCUUUUGCACCGACCGAGUAUCUUUUCUUGGCUAUGUUGUUACUGCACACGAAAUUGAAGUUGAUCAAGCCAAGAUUGAAGCUGUUGAGAGUUGGCCACAACCCAAAACAGUCACUCAAGUGAGGAGUUUCCUUGGCCUCGCACGUUUCUAUAGGUGUUUUGUGAGAGAUUUCAACACCAUUGCUGCACCUCUCAAUGAGCUUACAACGAAGGAUGUCCCUUUUGCUUGGGAUACUGCACAGGAAGAAGCCUUCACGAUAUUGAAAGAUAAGUUAACACAUGCUCCUUUACUCCAACUUCCUGAUUUUAAUAAGACUUUUGAGCUUGAAUGUGAUGCUAGUGGAAUUGGAUUAGGAGCUGUGUUAUUACAAGAUGGUAAACCUGUUGCAUACUUUUCUGAAAAAUUGAGUGGGCCUAGUCUGAAUUAUUGUACUUAUGAUAAGGAAUUAUAUGCUCUUGUUCGGACUUUGGAAACAUGGCAACAUUGUUUAUGGCCCAAAGAAUUUUUUAUACAUUCUGAUCAAGAAUCUUUGAAACAUACUAGAAGUCAAGAAAAACUGAACCGUCGACAUGCCAAAUGGGUUGAAUUCAUUGAAACUUCCCCUUAUGUCAUUAAACACCAGAAGGGCAAAGAAAAUGUUAGUGCUGACAUUGUCUCGUCGUUAUAGUAUGCUUUCACAACUUGACUUUAAAAUAUUUGGUUUGGAGACCAUCAAAGAUCAAUAUGUGCAUGAUUGUGAAUUUAAUAAUGUGUUGCAGAAUUGUAAAAAAGGGAGAACAUGGAACAAGUUUGUCAUUAAUGAUUGAUUUGUGUUCCGUGCUAACAAGCAAUGCACUCCAGCUAGCUCCGUCUGUCUUUUGUUGUUGCAGGAGGCGCAUGGAGGAGGAUUAAUGGGACACUUUGGCGUGAAUAAGACAGAGGACGUACUUGCUACACAUUUCUUUAGGCCAAAGAUGAGAUGGGAUGUUGAGCAUUUUGUUGCUCGCUGCACUACAUGCGAAAAAGCUAAGUCAUGACUCAAUCCUCAUGGUUUAUAUAUGCCAUUGCUUGUACCUAGUGUUCAUUCGGAGGAUAUAUCUAUGGACUUUGUUUUCGGUUUACCUCGAACAAAGAAGGGGAGCGAUAUCAUAUUCAUUGUCGUGGAUAGGUUUUUAGAAAUGGCACACUUCAUACCAUGUCAUAAAAGUGAUGAUGCUGCUAAUGUUGUUGAUUUGUUCUGUCGUGAAAUUAUUCGCUUGCAUGGUGUGCCAAGUACAAUUGUUUCAGAUCGUGAUGUUAAAUUUCUUAGCCACUUUUGGAAUUGUUUAUGGGCUAAGUUAGGGACUAAAUUACUUUUUAGUACUACAUGUCACCCCCGAACUGAUGGACAAACAGAAGUAGUCAAUAGAUUAUUGUCUACUAUGCUUAGGGCUGUUUUCAAGAAUAACUUGGAAAUGUGGGAGGAAUGCUUGCCUCAUAUUGAAUUUUCUUAUAAUCGUUCAUUGCAUUCUACUACUAAGAUGUGCCCUUUUAAAAUUGUGUAUGGUUUCAUACCUCGUGCACCUAUCGAUUUGUUGCCUCUUCCAUCUUCAGAGAAGGUUAAUUUUCAUGCUAAACAACAUGCUGAAUUGAUAUUAAAAAUGCAUGAGGUAACUAAGGAAAACAUUGAGCGUAUGAAUGCUAAAUACAAACUUGCUGGGGAUAAGGGUAUAAAACUUGUUGUCUUUGCACGUGGAGAUCUUGUUUCGUUGCAUUUGCGUAAGGAUAGAUUUCCUGAUUUGCACAAGUCAAAGCUAAUGCCAUGUGUUGAUGGUACUUUUAAGGUGUUAGAGAAAUUAAAUGAUAAUGCAUAUAAACUUCAGCUGCCUGCAGAGUUAUGGGUUAGUCCCGCUUUUAACAUUGCUGAUUUGAAGCCUUAUUUGGGUGAGGAAGAUGAGCUUGUGUCGAGGACGACUUAAAUUCGAGAAGGGGGGGGGGGAUGAUGAGGACAUUGAUACCAUUGUUACACCUGCUAUACAUACUGGACCAGUUACUAGAGCUCACGCACGCCAAUUGAAUUACCAGUUACUUUUGUUUCUUGGAACUACUUUUAAUGUUCAUGAGCAUAUGAUCGUGCCUAAAUUAGAUACUUUUGUUUUGCUUAUGAAUGAAGGACCUAGCAUGGACAAGGAGGAUCGCCAUUGAAGUGGGAUCAAGCAUGGAGGGGAAGGUGCAAACGCGGGAAAGAACAAGGGAGCUUCUAGUGGUGAUUUUCGUACUUUGAAGCCGCCAUAAGGAAAGCAUGAAGGUUUGGAUGAAAUAUACAAGAUGUGAGUUCAGAAAUUUCGUCCAUAGGCUAUUAUAUUUGUCACGUCACCUUAUUUUUGGGUCAUGCCCAUGUAAUUUCAAAAUACUAUCACAUAGGCUAUUUUUAGAGUCCGUAGGUGUGGGGAAACCGAGUUUACGGUCGAUUUCACACGGCUCCUCCAAGGGGUCACGAAAAUCCCUCUCUAUUCCCUCAUAUAUACAACCCUUAGGGCACCGUGCAGACUUGGGUUUUGUUUAGAUUACAAGUUCGCCAUAGCUGCAACUUCGCGUUCUUCUUUUGUGUUCUACGACCAGACCAAGACGUCAUAGAACCCCACUUUCAUCAAUAAAGCUUUCCUCUUAUAUUCGCAAUAUCCAAAUUGCAAUUUCAAUUCCUUGCUUGUUGUUUGUUUGCGUGCAGGAAACAAACCCUCGUGGUCAGGUUGAUCGUUCUCUGGCAUGGUCAAUAACCUCUCGGAGUUGGUUUAGCGAUUGCUAAGGCGCGACGUCUUCGCACGUUUGUAGUCAGAUCGUCAAAGUCUACUCCACCAAAAACGAUACACUACUGGAAAACAGUUUUUUGCCAUCUGCCUAGUCUUUGCCGUCUGCUAGCUGAUGGCAAAGAGUGUCUUUGCCGUCAGCUUCAACAAAAAAGACAGCACAGUACUGGCUGAUGGCAUACAGUCUUUUUGCCAUCUGUCACCUCUUUGCCGUCUGCUAGCGGACGACAAAUAGUCCAGAGGCAGACGGAAAAGAUGUAGAUAGGCCCACCUGACCGCGGGAUGGCUAGGUCAAGCAGGAGUCGGACCUUUGCCGUGUGCUAGCGGACGACAAAGAGUCCGGAGGCAGACCGCAAAGAGUCUAGACUCUUUGCCGUCCGCCGACAGACGGCAAAGCGCUAACUCUGUUAACGGCUCCUUCCCCCCCCACCCCGCCCCUCUCNNNNNNNNNNNNNNNNNNNNNNNNNNNNNNNNNNNNNNNNNNNNNNNNNNNNNNNNNNNNNNNNNNNNNNNNNNNNNNNNNNNNNNNNNNNNNNNNNNNNNNNNNNNNNNNNNNNNNNNNNNNNNNNNNNNNNNNNNNNNNNNNNNNNNNNNNNNNNNNNNNNNNNNNNNNNNNNNNNNNNNNNNNNNNNNNNNNNNNNNNNNNNNNNNNNNNNNNNNNNNNNNNNNNNNNNNNNNNNNNNNNNNNNNNNNNNNNNNNNNNNNNNNNNNNNNNNNNNNNNNNNNNNNNNNNNNNNNNNNNNNNNNNNNNNNNNNNNNNNNNNNNNNNNNNNNNNNNNNNNNNNNNNNNNNNNNNNNNNNNNNNNNNNNNNNNNNNNNNNNNNNNNNNNNNNNNNNNNNNNNNNNNNNNNNNNNNNNNNNNNNNNNNNNNNNNNNNNNNNNNNNNNNNNNNNNNNNNNNNNNNNNNNNNNNNNNNNNNNNNNNNNNNNNNNNNNNNNNNNNNNNNNNNNNNNNNNNNNNNNNNNNNNNNNNNNNNNNNNNNNNNNNNNNNNNNNNNNNNNNNNNNNNNNNNNNNNNNNNNGAGAAGACAAAAAGAAGAUCACAUGUUUGGUAUUUAGUUUUUUGGAAUUAAUUAGUAGUUUUAGUGGUAGAUUCUGUUAGUUAAUUAGUUGAUUUAGUGGUAGAUUAUGUUAGUUUAUUCGCCCAUCAUUAUUGCUUAGGUUUAAGACUAAUUCAAAGAAGAUCACAUGUUCUUUUGUUGAAAUGAAGUCUCUCAAAAUAAUGUAUCGUCUAUAUUUAUUGGUACCGGAGCAAAACAGGACAACUUAAAUUAUAUUGCCAUCCUCAAAUGUAGAAAAUAUCGAAAAGUUUUAUAUAAACUGAAAAGUAGUAUAGGUAACCUGAAAAGUCAUCUUCUUCUCCCUCUUUCUUCUCCUCUUUCAUAUUAUCCUUGCUUUAAUUAACCCAACAAUGACAUAAUUAGCCCAUUUAGCUCCAAAAUACCAUAAUAAGCUCAAAAUGGCAUAAGAACGUUGGUUAGCUCAUGAAUAUUAUAUACUUAGCUUGUUUUCCUCUAAAAUGACAUAAUUGGAAUAUUUGUGUUGAUCGGGUGGAUUUACAUGUGAUAGUUGUCUCGUCGCUGUGAGGUCUGCUGUGCGAAGACCUGCCCGUGCGUUGUACGAGCUCCGCCCCUGCAUUCGUGGGUCAGUACAAAUUUCAUCUCCUCCCCGCCCCUUCAUUUACUGUGGCUCGGUUUCCAGAUGAAACUUUCUAGAUUUAGGUAAUUCAAUUAAUUUAUCAGUAUGCGUGACCAGUAUGCGUCUCCCGUUCGAAAGGGCGACAUCUAUAAAUAUGCACGUGAGAUAGGUCCUAAUCCUUUCGAAUUGUCCAACAUUAUCCAUGGACAGCCCGAGUAUGUGUAGAUUGGGUUCGUUUUCCCGUAUGCUGUGCUCUGGAUCCGAUGCGGAAUUUCGUCAGUGCCUCCCUGUUGUUCUCCGGAUGCACAUCCUCUCUGUUUAUUGCGGAGACGUGUAUCAGGAGAACAGCGGGGAGGUGCUGCCGAAAUUUUGCGUUGGAUCCGGAGCAGAGCAUGGGAAAACGAACCCAAUCUACACAUACUCGGGUGGGAUUAGGACCUAUCUUUACCUAUUAGCGUGUAGGUUGCCUGGACGUAAUAAAAAUGGCGAACCUGAUUAACCAAUGAAUAUAAAUGCUAAAUUAUAUAUAAAUAGAUUUCUUCUGUCUUUAGUAGCUACGCAAGAUGAGUGAUCGUGCGUGGAUGUAUACCGGUCACCCUAGUCAGAAAGAGAUGACGAUAGAAUGGUUUUUAAAAACAAAGGAAUUUGUGAAAGCCGCAUUCGCAAAUGGCCAGGAAAGAAACUCUUGCCCCUGUCAUGGAUGCAACAACUAUAAAAAGACGACAGAGGCUGUAAUGAUUAAACACCUGCAGAGGAGGGGUUUUAAGCCUAAUUAUACGGUGUGGACAUUCCAUGGUGAGUCUAUACAACGCACAAGAGCUGAGGUGGUCCGUCGUCGCACGGACGAGCAUGGUACCGGGAUCGAAGACAUGGUGCAAGACUUUGAUGAUGCUCGGGAUUCGGAAGAUGAGAUGGAGGAAUCUGCAAAGGCCUUUUAUGAAAUGUUGGAGUCUUCAAAACGUCCUCUCCAUGAGCACACUGAGCUCUGUCAGCUCGAUGCAAUUGCACAAGUAAUGGCUCUGAAGUCUCAGUUCAACUUGGGAAAAGAAUGCUACGACGCGAUGAUGAAACUAUUUGGACGUUUCCUACCCAAAGGCCAUGUCAUGCCUGCAAACCUGUACCAGUCGGACAAAAUACUUCGUGUACUUAAGAUGCCCUAUGAGAAGAUAGAUGCAUGUGAGAAAGGAUGUGUCUUUUUUAGGAAGGAGUAGGCACACUUGGACUAUUGUCCAAAUUGCGAGUCUUGCAGGUAUCUUGUGGUAGACAACGGUAUGGGUGAGAAGAGGCAGACCAAAAUCGUAGUUAGUGUUCUUCGGUAUAUGCCAAUCGUACCAAGACUUCAACGCCUUUUCAUGGUCGAAGAGAUAGCCAGACAGAUGACAUGGCACAAAUUGGGCAAAAGAACCGAACUAGAUGCGGAUGGGAAUAAGAUGAUGGUACACACAUCGGAUGGGGAUGGCGUAGCCAAAUGGUUGGUGUGCCACACCAUCAAGGCAGCGCCAACUUACUUCAGUUUGGACGAAACUGGGUAUGUGAUUUGCUUCAUGAUUCAUGCAAUUCAUUCUCGAUGCUAAUAUUUUGUUCCUCUCUUUUAGGCGCAUCACAAUAAGACUGAGAUGCCACACUUGUACGACCUUUAUGGCAUGGCCCAUACUGCCUCGUACAAGAAGGCGAAGGCAUUCUCUGAGUCUGACCUGGAUGAUCCCAAUAACUUCACCAACAUAUCAUCCCACCAGAAGCUCGUGGCAUACAGGGACGCGGGGAAGGCUACAAAAGGGGAUGACUUUAACCCUAGCCAGGAACCUUUGGAUCCAGAGCUGGUGAUGAUAUCUGGUGGCGGGAGGUCCCAUGGCUCGAUAGCCAUUGGAGAUGGGAUAAUACGUUGUCCACUCACUCUUCUGGAGAUCAAGGCGCGCCAGUCGAGCAGCUGUCCUGAGAUAACGCGUCGUCCACGGCCAAUCGAACUUGCCAUCGAGGUUAGUUGUAUGGACUAAGAACACUUUCAUCCAUUUCAUUAUGUGUGUCACCAUAGAUCAUUACUGUGGUAACGAGGAAUGGUGUUUCAAGCUGCUCUUCAGAAAGAGAGAGCGGCAAACCAGGCUGCUCUUGAGAAAGAGAGAUUGGCAAGCCAGGCUGCUCUUCAGGCUGCUCUUGACGAGAGGGACCAGACCACGGCACGAUUGCUUGAGGAGGAGAGGGCCCGGAAUGAGGCGGGUCAACGGGCCGUGUACGAGCUUUUUGUGGUAUUUUUUUUCACAUUAGCCAAAUCAUGUGUGUAAUGUCUGUUUCAAUACUAACUAAUACGACCCACUCUUCAGGGUCUGUGCGAGAAGAGCGGUCAAGUCCCUCCGCCGAUGCCCGUCUUCUCUUCGAUUGGCACAGUGAGUUUCAUUAUAAACUAGUAUUAAUAAUUGAGUGUCAUCAUGCUAACUGAGACAUUGCAAAAUAUCUUUUUUGCAGAAUAACUCCCGAGCGGCAUCGCACGACCCUUCUCCAGGGCAACCGUCUCGAAACGAAGCCGGCGCAAGCAACCGUGGUGUUUCUCCUCCUUGAUGACCACUACGGUAAGUUUCUCCUCCAAAGUUAGCUUGUUUUCCUCUAAAAUGAGAUAAUUAGCCCAUUUAGCUCCAAGAAGACAUAAUUAGGUAAUUUAGCUCCAACAAGAGGAGAAGAAAUAGGAAAAAUGAAAAGANNNNNNNNNNNNNNNNNNNNNNNNNNNNNNNNNNNNNNNNNNNNNNNNNNNNNNNNNNNNNNNNNNNNNNNNNNNNNNNNNNNNNNNNNNNNNNNNNNNNNNNNNNNNNNNNNNNNNNNNNNNNNNNNNNNNNNNNNNNNNNNNNNNNNNNNNNNNNNNNNNNNNNNNNNNNNNNNNNNNNNNNNNNNNNNNNNNNNNNNNNNNNNNNNNNNNNNNNNNNNNNNNNNNNNNNNNNNNNNNNNNNNNNNNNNNNNNNNNNNNNNNNNNNNNNNNNNNNNNNNNNNNNNNNNNNNNNNNNNNNNNNNNNNNNNNNNNNNNNNNNNNNNNNNNNNNNNNNNNNNNNNNNNNNNNNNNNNNNNNNNNNNNNNNNNNNNNNNNNNNNNNNNNNNNNNNNNNNNNNNNNNNNNNNNNNNNNNNNNNNNNNNNNNNNNNNNNNNNNNNNNNNNNNNNNNNNNNNNNNNNNNNNNNNNNNNNNNNNNNNNNNNNNNNNNNNNNNNNNNNNNNNNNNNNNNNNNNNNNNNNNNNNNNNNNNNNNNNNNNNNNNNNNNNNNNNNNNNNNNNNNNNNNNNNNNNNNNNNNNNNNNNNNNNNNNNNNNNNNNNNNNNNNNNNNNNNNNNNNNNNNNNNNNNNNNNNNNNNNNNNNNNNNNNNNNNNNNNNNNNNNNNNNNNNNNNNNNNNNNNNNNNNNNNNNNNNNNNNNNNNNNNNNNNNNNNNNNNNNNNNNNNNNNNNNNNNNNNNNNNNNNNNNNNNNNNNNNNNNNNNNNNNNNNNNNNNNNNNNNNNNNNNNNNNNNNNNNNNNNNNNNNNNNNNNNNNNNNNNNNNNNNNNNNNNNNNNNNNNNNNNNNNNNNNNNNNNNNNNNNNNNNNNNNNNNNNNNNNNNNNNNNNNNNNNNNNNNNNNNNNNNNNNNNNNNNNNNNNNNNNNNNNNNNNNNNNNNNNNNNNNNNNNNNNNNNNNNNNNNNNNNNNNNNNNNNNNNNNNNNNNNNNNNNNNNNNNNNNNNNNNNNNNNNNNNNNNNNNNNNNNNNNNNNNNNNNNNNNNNNNNNNNNNNNNNNNNNNNNNNNNNNNNNNNNNNNNNNNNNNNNNNNNNNNNNNNNNNNNNNNNNNNNNNNNNNNNNNNNNNNNNNNNNNNNNNNNNNNNNNNNNNNNNNNNNNNNNNNNNNNNNNNNNNNNNNNNNNNNNNNNNNNNNNNNNNNNNNNNNNNNNNNNNNNNNNNNNNNNNNNNNNNNNNNNNNNNNNNNNNNNNNNNNNNNNNNNNNNNNNNNNNNNNNNNNNNNNNNNNNNNNNNNNNNNNNNNNNNNNNNNNNNNNNNNNNNNNNNNNNNNNNNNNNNNNNNNNNNNNNNNNNNNNNNNNNNNNNNNNNNNNNNNNNNNNNNNNNNNNNNNNNNNNNNNNNNNNNNNNNNNNNNNNNNNNNNNNNNNNNNNNNNNNNNNNNNNNNNNNNNNNNNNNNNNNNNNNNNNNNNNNNNNNNNNNNNNNNNNNNNNNNNNNNNNNNNNNNNNNNNNNNNNNNNNNNNNNNNNNNNNNNNNNNNNNNNNNNNNNNNNNNNNNNNNNNNNNNNNNNNNNNNNNNNNNNNNNNNNNNNNNNNNNNNNNNNNNNNNNNNNNNNNNNNNNNNNNNNNNNNNNNNNNNNNNNNNNNNNNNNNNNNNNNNNNNNNNNNNNNNNNNNNNNNNUAUGUAUAUAUGGAUGAAACUUUGUAUGUGUUGGUUCUUUUGAUAUAUGGGAUGUACGUUGAUGAACAAAUGGCAUUGAUGAGCUUUAUAUGUAUAUCAUAUAUGUGUUGUGACCUAUUUAUAAUAUAUGUGCUAUGAAUUAUAUGUAUAUGUGCUGUGAAAUAGAAAAAAUAAACAAAAAUGUGACAAUAUAGGCUCUUUGCCGUCUGCCAGCUGAUGGCAAAGGCCUUUGCCGUCAGCUGACCGACGGCGAAGGUGCCACGUGGCGCCCAGCUGUGCAACCUGGGCAGUAGCAGCUGGCCAUAUAGUCUCUUUGCCGUCAGCCUCCAGGGGGCAGACGACAAAGAAGAGAGAACAGAGGAGGGGGGAGGAGGAGGCAGACGACAAAGAGUGGAGAGAGGGGGGAGGGGAGGAGCCGACAGACGGCAAAGAAGGACGGGGAGGCAGANNNNNNNGAGGGGAGGGGAGGAGAAGGCUGGCGGCAAAGGCUCCGACAAAGGCAGACGGCAAAGAUAGACGGGGAGGCAGAUGGCAAAGGCUCCGUUAACCCCUAACGGAGGCAACGCGUGUCGGCUGCCGUCUCAAGCGCUUUGUCGACUGCUCCUAAGGCAAGCUGACGGCAAAGAGCUUUGCCGUCCGCCUUGCGCGGGCAGACGGCAAAGAAGGUCCUAUGCCGUCGUAGGCUGACGUAGAAAUUUUGCCGGCCGUGACAAUCUUUGCCGUAUGUGGUGUUGUCUUUGCCGUCCGGUAUAUUGUCUUUGCCGUCUGUGAUGGCAGACGGCAAAGAAGCUGAUUCCUGUAGUGAUAGCCACCAUCUCAUCGAAAGACACACACAAUUUCGUCUCUAUCAAUAUUGCUAAAACGUCUAAUACUUUGCUCUAUUUAUUUUCUUUUAUUUUGUUUUGCAUUUUACAAUUAUCUACACNUAUCUACACACCUCAUUCGCUUGCAAAUAAUGAGACCAAGGGGAUUGACAACCCUCUUGCCUGCGUGGGGUGCAAGCUGUUUCUUGUUUUGUAUGCAGUCGUUGAAGACGAUUGUGGUUGAUAUUUCUAUUGGUACGAUAAACCUUGGUUUCAAAACCGAGGGAAAUAGUUACCCACUUUGUGAUGCGAUAACCCAUUCCUCUUCACGGAAAAACCAAUGCAGAUCACGAGUAUGAGGAUGGAUUCGUGUCACCGUUGAUGGGGAAUAUCAUCACCAACUAUCAAGUAAAUCCACACAAAAUUUCAUUCACCUAUUCCCGUUUUUAUUUGCUGGUAUAUUUAGUUUGUCUCAUAAAGAUACAAAAAAUAUUUACCUUUGCUUAUCUCUAGCUUGGAUCUUUGCUCUCUAGUUUACUUUCCUAGCUAUGCUAUAUUUAUCCUUAUCACACCAAAACAGAAAGUAAAAUACUAAUAUUAAGAUAAAUUGAUCCUCAUCCACUAGAUAAUCUUUUCGAAAGACCUGUUUAUGUUGAAUAAUUGCUAGUGAUAGUGCAUCAGAUUAUCUUUAUGAUAUCUUUCUUGAAAAUCAUGACUCUAAAAAUCGUGAAACUUAUAAAGUGAUUCAUGAUAGUUCCUUGAAUGAAACGCAUGAUUGCUAUAUUGUUGAAUAUGAAUAUGAUCUUACAUGUAAUGAUUAUGAUAUAGGAAAAUAUGGUUAUUGAAAUUUUCAUGUUACUCACUUACCUCUCUUGAUAUCCAAAUUGUCAACGCUUUAUUCUUCCUACUUGCUUAUGCGAUGCACUUUUUGUCUUGAUAAAUUGUUUUCUUAUAAAGUUCCUAUGCAUAGGAAGUAUGUUAGACUUAAAUGUUCUUGUCACAUGUUUUAUGAUGCUCUGUUUGUGAUUCAGUUGUCUUUUAUGUGAGCAUCAUUGAAAUUUCAAGCCUAUCUUAAUAGCUAUAAAGAAAGAGCAUGUUGGGAGACAACCGAAUAGUUACCAUUUUUAUUUAUGUUAGUGUGUGAUAACAUGACUAUUGGGUAUGUGAUAGUUAUGUUUUUUUAGUUAGUGUUUGGACCAAAUAAAGCCUUUGGGAUGAUUUGUAUGAUGAGUAGAAUUGGUACGGUGCAAAAACAUAAAUUUAAUGCCUAGUGCAGAAUUUCUCUGAUUUUACUGAAAUGUAUUUUUAAGCUUAAUUUUUUACACAAUAUUGAUAUAAAAAUUAUUCACGUCUUCCUAUUUUUUCAGAAUUGUUGGUGUUACAGAAGUAGGACAAUUAAAUCUUUACCUAAUACUAAAGUGGCUAUCGUAUCUAUCGGAAAACCCGCUGCCGCCGUUUUUGCAAAAAUCCUUUGGUCUUUAUAAGACUUAACCCGCAGUCCACCACAAGUAAAAAACGAUUCGGGAACACCAGCUGCACAUCCCUUGCUUAUCUCGUCCUCCCGACCGCGCCAGCAACGCUCCCGUUGCCAGCCAUAGAUCGGGCCGCUGCGGCCCGUCUCCAACCACGCCUUGCCCCGCCCAUCCUGUCUUCCCGACCGCGCCACCAACGCUCUCGUCGCUAGCCACAGACUGCUCUGCCGCCGCCCCUCUCCAACCAUGCCUCGCCGACGCUCUGAUUGGGGGAAGACGGCGAGGAGGAUUACGAGGUCCGGGAGGAGAGGUUGGAGGGAUGGACGCGGGAGUCGAGCCGCCGCGACCUCCUCCUCCUCUCUCUGUGCUCGGUGUCGAUCCGCGUACAUCUUCUUUUCUCGUCUCCCCGCACAUUCACCCCGCUCCAGAUGCAGGUCUUGCUCUCGAUGACAACGACGGUGCCAAAGGGCCCCACAUCCCAACCGGAAGGCAAAUCGCUAGACCCAGACCCCCUCCCUCUGUAGCUAGAGUGACUCCAACCCCUCCCAGUAGUAUGACGGAGGACGAGGCCCUGGAUUACUUCGCCGAGGAGGAGCCAACAGUUGAGGUGGAGGAAGAGGUCUCGGAGUAUGUGAAGCCGUCGGAGGAAGCCAAGGUGUACGUGUGCAACCUUCCCUACAACGUCAGCAGUGAUUGCCUCGCAUAGCUCUUAGGUCAGGCUGGCGUCAUUCAGGUUUCCAAGAUGAGCAACUCUUCCUCUUAGACCAUCUUGACUGCUGGAUGCUAGCAAAAGGUGACCCGCAUUGUAGAACUUGUUAGUCCGCAGCCGCUAUUGUUCAUGUGUACACACAUGCACAUUUGCGUGAUGAAGAGAAUGCCUCAAAUCAUCCAACCCUGAUUAUGUGUCGUGCUCUUGCAAGACUAAAACUGACACAUCCAGUUCUGUAUGGUAAUGAAGUUUGAUUUAAUGUGGUGGUUGUGUGGUGAAAGUCACAUCACGGAGUGUUUAUGCACAAAUGAAGUUGGCACAUUUAUUUUUGCAUAUAUCGAACAACCUUCAAAACUUCUGAAAGAAAAGAGCUGGAGAACCAUCCUAUAGGCUCUCCUUUACUCCCCACAUAUUAUUUUGCAUCCAAAACUUGUGAUAAACGUAGCAGGUUCCAAUGCAAUUUCACUUGCUAGAUGUUAUUAUUCAGGUUGUCAUCAUACUAUAUCAGCUUCAAAUUUUAUUUUUAUAUGAUCUCAAGAAGUCAAUAUCCGAGACUGGACACUCAAAUUACUGCAGGGGGAGGANNNNNNNNNNNNNNNNNNNNNNNNNNNNNNNNNNNNNNNNNNNNNNNNNNNNNNNNNNNNNNNNNNNNNNNNNNNNNNNNNNNNNNNNNNNNNNNNNNNNCUUCUUCACCAAUCACAUGCAAGUGAUUGGACAUAUGAAAAACAAUAUAUAAAAAAUAUCAAUGCAUGAACGAAAAAUUAGGGCCUUAAAACGUACAAGUCCGAUCAUUGACCGGACCCGUCCGUGACAUUUGAGAGAUCGUAUUUAUCAAAUUUGACUGUAGAUGCUCUAAGACCUGCUUAAAUGGUCUUCGGCGGCACUCACGUUGCCGUGAGAUAAUAGAAUCUCGGCAUGCGAGAGUCCCCACAAUGGGGUUUCAUCGAUCUGUGCGGAUGAUUUAGCAAAAGCAUACUGGCAGACUGGCAGUGAAGACACACCAUCAUGAUCCAAGGAAAGAAUCCAAAAAAUUGCGCUCCUAGAAUCUAAAUAAGUUUUCCUGAAUUAUCAACCUUAUGGCCCACCUAAUCCAGCGUUUUGUUAGAGUAUCAAAGUCUACUUGCCCAUAAACAUUGGAUCCUUGCAUGGCAAGACAAGUAUACCACCAAAGACCAAACAGUACUAAGUACUCUGCUAUUAUUUGCAUGGCGGCCCAAUCCCAUGGCCAUGAUUGUAACGUAUGCACGUGGCCCACGAAAGAUAUCCACGAGAAUGGGAUUGUCACACGCGCUUUUUAUUUUUAUUUUUUUAGCAUGGCACACACCACUUUUAUUUGUUAACUCCUUUGUGAUCAGCUCAUACACUACGUACACACUGAUCUCCCUUACUAUUAUAAUAACAUAUCCGGGAUGCUGAAUUGACAAGGCACGUUCACAAAGUGCAGAUCCAUAUCAAGUCACAUCAUGGUACAUGUGAGCUUGAUUGACAACGAACCAAGCGUAUGAUUGGAAGCAAACAAUACAAACAAGAAACAAGUGUGCAUAUCUCUACCACAUUAAAACUGCAUUUGCAUGCAUGGCGCGCUACAGAAUUAUCAAAGUAUCGAAUUCCCCCCAAGGAAAUUAUCAACAGAUAGAAGUAGAGCUGCUAAAAUGAGAGGGAAUACCACAACUUAAAGCCAUCCAGAAUUGGGGAGACAUAAUUAGCCGCAUAAUGAAGUUUACAUGCACGGUCACGCUUAGGCUUGAGCUAUAUUUCGAGGGCAGUAACGGGUUCAAGCAUGCACUAGCUAGCAGUGGUAACUGACGGGCUAAUGAAUAGUGUCAAAAACGGUGGGAAAUUCAUUUAGGAAAAAAAGAGAAGGUAGUAAUUCAGACACCAUUGCUGUGUAUUGAUGAACCAAUGAAUGCGAAAGGCUGUCCAAAGAAAAAGGGUGACCAAUCGAAUGUGGAUUAGGAAAUAAUAAUAGUAGCAAUAAACCCUUGGAAGCCAGCAGGGCCCAUGUGGGAUCAUCAGCCUUUUGUUGCUGCCAGCCACCCCACCAGCUUGGGCCUGCGGUGGAACUCUCUUUAGCUUUCCCUUCUCAUCCAAGCCAAUGGCACCCACUGUAGUUUCACCACAAUUGGAGGGCGCUUCCCUUCCUCGAUAGUCCAUACCCACCCCUCUCUCGUUUCCUUUGCAAAGAAAAGAAGAAGAAGAAAAAAAAUCAGCAUUAGUCAGCUGAAAACCACUUCUAAACCGAUGGAUCGUGCUGCUGUCCAUAUUUUUUUGUCAGUUUCAUUUCCCAAUUAUAAAUGGUAGCGUUGAAUUUCAGCAAGCCGUAUUUCCUCCGUCCAACCAAACCAACCAGCUCACAUGUCAAAAUCAUCCACAGCUCGGCAUCCAGAGCCAAAUAUAUACUCCCUCCGUUCCAAAAUAAGUGUCUCAACUUUGUACUAUCUCUAGUACAAAGUUGUACUAAACUUGAGACAGUUAUUUUGAAACGAAGGGAGUACAUGUCAAAAUCAUCAAGGGGCAAUACGUGCGGCGGUACGCAUCGUUGCCAGCGGCUUCGUUCGUGGCACAGCAUUAUUCCUACGUUUGCGUCCACGCAAACCCUAUGCCCCCAAUCAGUCCGAAUCUAUAGUUACCACAUUUCCGCCGCGACACAAUCGAAUCGACAACCCACCUAAGUUUGUAGCCCGCACAAAAACGUAUAGUAAAAAAAGAGUGAGAGGUACCACUCCAUCCAGUCCAGCUACACCUUAAGUAGCAUAAGUGGGAAGAAUAUAGUAGUAUUACAGACAGGGGGGCCUGCACGGGUGCAAUGUCAUUUCAAUUUCACCGAGGAAGAGGAAGAAAUGGCGCCAUUACGUCUCCAAAAUAAAUGGCCCGUUUAAGCCAUGCACCGUUUUCUGCAGCCAACUGCUGUCAUCUCCGGAGCUGUCGGUCGAUCAAGUGCGUCCUGUCCUAGCCGCACUCAUUUCCACCUCUGCUCCCGGAGGCCGGAGAGGGUUGGUAAUGGAAUCGGUCGUACCUUUGCCCUUGCGUUGCGCAUCGCAUGCAUGCAUGCAAUGCAUGGUCUGGAUCUCCUCCCCCGAAGUGUUUAUUCUCACUUGCUCACACCAUCAUUGCCUUCCCUACAUACAUACUCCAAGCCUUGCUUGCUCCCAAGUCCCAACCCCAGCCAGUAUGCAUGCCAACCUUUUCCUCUAGCUUCAAAUCAUUGGGUUCACCACAAUUGUGUUCUAGGGCAACGGUUCCAUUCGCGCCAAAAAUGCUAUGCACCAGGGUCUGCGAGUAGUUCGUGCCACGAAAUGUGGAGUAGAACCCUAUGUUGUGUCUAGUAGAACCCUAUCAGAGCAUCUCCAACAGUCCGUAUGUUCAAUCGUUUGUAUAAGUGUUCACAUUAACAACCAACAACACAAUAUACAAGCUCUUCAAUUUAGUGUAUGUUAAUCGUAUGUAAAAUAACUAAGCGGGUCCACUAAAUAUUGAAGAAAUAAUCAUGCUUGCCUCGAAGCUUGUGCGUGAACCGUUGCUUCAAAUUCAUACGAUUUUAUUAUCUCUCUUCUUUUAUUAUGCGUCAUGUCAUCAAAAUCAUUUAUGUACUAAUUUUACCAACGAUGAUCAUACGAUCAUUGGAGAUGCCCUCAGGGAUUGCAGUUGGGAUGUUUCCCUUCUGACCUAGGAGUCGAGAUGUAAAAAAAGAAAAUGUACAUGGUUAUAUGUGUCUCAUUUGUAUCAUAAACAAGUCACGUAUACACCGGCCUGGUAAAACUGAAAAGAUAGCAACACGUUGCACAAAGAAACACCGAUCACCAAGAAGUAGUAAUAAUAAUAAUAAUAAAUGUACAUGGUAAUAUGUGUCUCAUUUAUAUCAUAAACAAAGUCACAUACACAUAUUCUAUAUUCAUUUCAAAAUGUUUGUCUAAGAUUUAUCUAGAUAUGAAGUAUCUACCACUAACACGUGACUAGAAAUUUUAAGACGAAGGGAGUAUAUCAUAAACCUUCAAAUGGCUCAUCAAAGGUGUAGCCACUACCACUGAAUGAAUCAGGUUGGAGCAACACUCCUGACAUGCCAUUAAAUUUUAGAUCUGACACUGCAACUCGACUAAAACGUCGACGGAGAAAACCAUACCUGCCAUCCGCGAAUCAUAAACCCAUCACACGAUUCAUCGGCUUUCAGAUGUCGUCGAUGCAAACCAUAAUCUACAUCGGCUUCUAGACUACCUCCCAUGCUCCGCGGCGGCGCGGAGCAAACACCGAUAACCGAUGACCUUGGUGGGAGGGGAGCCGCACGAAGGAAGGCGAUGGCUACGUUUAGUCGCUCAAGCCCGAGAGAGAAAAAUGACUCUCGUGUUUGCACGAUAAGUUACGGAGCACAUUUGUUUGAUCGCGAUUUUAGCGAGAUGCUAAUUUUUUUCUAUUUUGCCUUUACAAUUUAAAAAAAAAAUCAGUUGCAUAUGUAAAAAAACAAUUCAAAAGUACUCAAAUGCCCCCUUUUAUUUGGAUAAAAAAUAAAUAAAAUAAAGGGUCCUAUAUCCAAGUGAGAGAUCCGGAACACGGAAAGACAACGUCAGAUCGGACGGUGGGUAAUUAAAACCGAUUUAGCUCAUAUUUCCUCCAGCUUUGGUAGAGUAGAGUAGGAAAAAGGCAAGCCAGCGCCCAAAAGGCCAAGGAUUUAAUUCAACUUACCCCACCCUAAAGCCGUUUAUCUCUUUCUCUCUCCGGGCGACUACAGUAUUUAACAGCCUUGGCGCGACCUCCUCUCCUUGAUCUCUCCUCCUCCCCAACCCUCUUCUCCCCUCCCGCACCCAACCAUCUCGGCCCCCACCCGCAAUUCACAGCGCCGGAGAUGACCUCUACACCCCCGGGCGACGUCCUGCCGGCGCUGCCGCCGAUCAGGACGAGGGCGGCGGCGGCCGAUCCUGCGCUUGACAACGCAUCGGCCUCGACGACGACGGUGCCGGAAUCCGAGCCCCUGCCGGCGCCCGCGGUGGCGGAGGAGGAGGACAUGGUGGUGGCGGAGUCCCGGACGCCGGCUGCGGUGGCGGACGAGGGCGAGGAGGAGGAGGAGCCCAGGACGCCGACCUCGGAGGAGAGCAAGCUCCGGCCGCCCACCGAUUGCCCCGGCGCGCCGAGGAAGCCCGUGGCUUUGGCCGGUACGAGGCCAUCGCCGAAGCGUCCGCUGCGCUACUUCGACGCCCCGCGCGACCUCUCCGCGGUGUUCAUGUCCCUGCCGCCCAAGAAGCGGAUCCGCGCUCCGCCGUGCCUGGUCGCCUUCCGCCCCAGGUGCGGGGCCGUGUGGGGCCAUGGAUCGGCACUGUAGCCUCGCGCGGCCGGCCGGCCGUAAUUUAUGGGCUCCACGCUGCAAUUGUUCAUUUACCGGCGAAUUCUUGGAGUUCUUGCGUUGGGUUCCUCUUCUUUCUUUCUUUCUUUCUUUCUCUCUCUUUUCUUGCGGCGGCUUCUUGGUUUCCACGGCCAUGACGAUAUAGUAUAAUCUCCAGUGCAAAUAACCUGUUGUUUUGCGUUCUUUUUCUUUCUCUGUCAUUCUGAUUCUUAGCGCGUUUGUGUGAAGGAGAAAUUGUAGAAUCGAAAAGGUUGCUAUUUAUAUAAUUAAUAUAGGGAUGAUGAUGAUUGGGGAAAAAGAACAGGAGUUGUAAGAGAAUUCCCUGUUAAUUACCGACUACUCGUAUUACAGUUAACAGUUCUGAAAAAGUAUCUCAAGUGCUACAUAUGGUGUUCUUUCCGGUUUUCCGUUGAAAUAUCUUGAUUCUUGUGCCUGCCGCAGCUCCAAUUUUACACAUGUUGCCAGUCUGACAAACGGCAGACUCUUUCGGUGCAGCUAAUUAGUUAACUCGUGUGGGCCUGAAUUAUGAAGAAGAAAGAAAGAUUUUUGCUCAAAUUAACCGAAUUCGGUCAAGUUAAUGGCUUUAAGCUGUUCUGUUGAUCGAACCACACAACACAUUGUGUGGAGAGGAAAAAAAUGUUUUUUCUUGUUGGAAUUAUUGGUGCAGUGUUGAGCAGACGAAAAUUGGUCAGGUGGAGGGGGAUGGGCUUGGAUGUACUUUUGGUUCUUCUGUCCCAGCACAGCACCGGUGCGAGUGCAGAAGAAGAUUUGCAGCAGAGCAGAGAAUCUUCUAUUCAUGAGAACAACAUGACAUAAGUUUUUUCUGCAAAAAAUAAUAAUAAUAAAAUCCUAGCUGCACUUGGCUGUUUCAGUGUUGCACAUUUGGUGUUCUCGAGUUAACUGGCGUUCUUCAGUUAACUCAGGCGUCGGUUGGGAUUGUUGAGAUCCAAAGCGGAAGGAAGGGGAGGUCCGUUGCGUGUUUGACGAAGCCAUGGAUGCAUGGAUCCUGAGUAAGUGGGAAGGAAGCGGAAGGCUGAAAGUUCCGUUCGGUUGGCUUCACUCACAUCACAUGGGCUGUUACAUUUUGCAGUUACAGAAUGCAUGCAUGCUCCUCAGGAAUAGGUCUCGCCCUUGUUUUAGCAAAGCAUUAUUACUCUACGCGUGAAGAGGGAGGGAGAGAGAGAGAGAGAGAGAGAGGGGCAUCUUCCACGGUAUGGGAGAGGCGGAGCCGGCAGGCGUACAGCAUGCGUGGCCGUACGUUGGUACUUGGGUUGGGCAAUGCNNNNNNNNNNNNNNNNNNNNNNNNNNNNNNNNNNNNNNNNNNNNNNNNNNNNNNNNNNNNNNNNNNNNNNNNNNNNNNNNNNNNNNNNNNNNNNNNNNNNGGGAGAGGAUCUACUAUUUUACCUCUGAGAUGUGAAAUCUGUUUUUCCUCAAGAAUCCAUCUGUUUCUUUUCCUCAAACACUGCCUAUCACCACACUAUUGAUGAACUUCACUAAGCACCUAAGGUUGUCACGAGAUUCCUUAGUUGUGCGAAUUUUUGGAUCUGUACAACUCUGGAACCCAAGAACAGUAUGCUUAGGCAAAUUCCUCAACCACUGGUCAAAUUCCUCAACUGUCAAACUUUUUCAUUUUCUUCAAAUCUGAGAACGCAUAUGACCUCUCCACAUUCCUCGCAACUAUACUUUGUUCACAGGUACACACAUGUCAGCUGAUGAAUCUCUCGGUUCUCAUCAAAUUUACUCAUUUGUAGCGUUUCAUGAAGUAGAUCUUCAAGUCUCAUCAGAGUCCUCAAGAGUUCAAUCUCAUCAGCAAAAUCCUCAGCUGAAGAAAAUGGAGGAUGACAGGAAGCAAAAGGGAGGCAAGAAAUUUGAGCAGAAUACAGCCGCAAAUAUCCCUGAGGAUAUAUACCUGGAUUACUGCACUCCUGAUGAAAAUGAAACUAUGUCCAAAAGAAAAAUUCAGCUUCAGAAGAUAGAACGCUGAUGGGAUAAGGAGUGGAAGGAGUACAGAUUCGUCACUCCCAAAUAUGCGAAGAAAUUCGCUCUGAAGCCUCCUGGCAAACGGGCUCCACUUGAGGAUUAUCAAGAAGCACAUCCCUCAAGCCUCAAGACACUUGAUGAUUAUCCUGAUAAAAAUGAAAAACACUUGGCAAAGCUAGAGAAGCAGGCAGAGGCUGCUGUGAGGAAAUUGAACGAAUCAUCUGCUGUUGCUUCAACUGCCGCUACUUCCUCUGCCGCUGAGACUUCUGGUUCGGCAAUUCCUCAACAAAAGUUUGUGCCACCAAAACCAAAGGCUUCAAAGCCUCAAGAUAAAACAACUCCAGCAUCAACACCAAAACCCUCAGCACCAAAAUCCUCAACACCACCACAGGCUUCAAAACCUGAACAUAAGCCGGUCGUGAAGCCACUGCCCGCUACCUCCAGCUCCUCACUCCCAGCUGCAACAAGCUCGGAGACAAAGUCUUCACCAACUCCUCUCAAGACUAAGGUGACUGCUGGGAGAGGAACAAGACCCAGUCCAAGCAAAAUCAUCACGGUCCCUUCUGCAUCAGAAGGUAGUGAUGAAUUUGAUGAUGAAACUCUCCAAGCAAUGAUCAGAAACAAGCAAGAGAGGGUAGCUCAAGCUUCUGGCAGCUCCAUUCCUCUGGCCAUGGACCCAAAAGUCCUCCUCGACUAUAUCAAUAUCUGGUAUGAGGACCCCAACACUCCACUUGAUGAUUUGAAACUUCCCCCAAGCAUCAGCCACAUGGUGGCCACAUUCAUCAACGAGGCCAAGUGGAAGGAGCAGAAGCCAAACAUGCCAAGGUUGCCAAGCUCAAGAAGGAGAAAUUCCUCAAGCAGAAUCUCCUCAACUUGACACUUGAUGACAUGGUGUCAACAUAGGCAGAGUUGAAGACUUUGACAGAUAAGUACUCCAAGCUUUCUGAACGUCAAAGUCUCAAAAGCAAUUUCAUCAAACUUGCCACUAAAGCUGUUAACGAUUACAACAAGAAAGUUGCCCCUCUAGUACCAUCUCCUCAGCCUCUGCUUGAAGAACCAGCUGAUGAAACUACUCAAGCUGAGGAAAUCCCUCAAGAAAGCCGUGUGGAUGAACCGGUAAUUGAGGAAUUCACCACGGAAAAGCCAGCUGAUGAAUCUCCCACAGCUGGUGAGACUGAAUCUGCUCCAGCUGCUACUUCCAAGCUAGCUGAUGAAUCUGUUCCAGCUGCUUCUUCAAAGCCAGCUCAUGACUCUGUUCCAGCUGCUUCUUCAAAGCCAGCUGAUGACUCUGUUCCAGCUGCUUCCUCAAAGCCAGCUGAUGAAUCUCCUGAGAAAACACCUUCACCAAAAGCUUUAAAGGUGAAGAAGAUGACUCUGUCUGCAUCAGACGUGAAAAAGACAAGGGCUGCUGAAAAGGAAGCCAAGAAGAGAAAAGCUUCAUCAGCAGAAGAACACAGUGAGGCCAAGCGUCUCAAAGCACUUGAAGAAAAUGCUCCACUGGAUCCUGUGCCUCUUAAAAUCGCUCCAUCUUAUGAAAUGGUCACCUUCGAAGACCAGGAGAAAGGGCCAGAUGAGGAAAUGAAGGAUGAUGCAUCUGAGGAACACACUGACGAAGAAAUUGGCAUUGAAGACAGUCCUCAGCCUUCUAUUCCUCAUGAAGAAACUGCACAAGGAUCAGCUGCACCAGCUGAUGAAUCUGGAUCUUUCACCAAGCAAACUGAGGAAGAACAAACUGAAAAUCCUCAAGCUGAUGAAAGUCAUAGUCCUGAGAAAAAUCCUCAACCUGAGGAUGAGGCUGACCCAACUCCUCCUCCUGAGAAAGAUCCUCAAGCUGAGGCUCAGGAUGAACCUAUUCCUCCUCCAGAGCAAAACCUUCAACAUGAUGCUUAGUUGACCACAUUCCUCAGUGUGAAGCGCAACAAGAGCAUGCUCCUCAGCCUGAAGCUCAAGCUGAUGAAAUUCCUCACCCUGAGGACCAUGCCGAAGAAAAUGCACCACACCCAAACAAUGCUUUCGUCGUGCUCAACCCAGAGUCUGCAAUUGUUGCAUCCCCUGAAGUCCAACAGCAAAAUCUUCAGCCCAUGUAGCGUCAGCCGUUCUCAAAGCGGCCAAAGUUUCAAAAGGAGUCCUUCUUUGAAGAACACAUGUUCUUCAUUGGAGAGAAUCCCUAUGCCAAGCCUCAAAUCAGGCAUCUAAAGUUUUAGACGAGGACACAGCUCAAUUACUAUGCCUCUGUGCUGUGUGGAAGAAAAAAGAUUUUCUAGCACAAGCAUGUUCCUCAUGUUGAGCUUGAAGAAAUACCAUGCCUGGUUGGAGUCCUCAACGUCCUUCAUGAGGCUGGACUCCUCCCAAUGUGCUCAGAUAUCAGUGACUGGAACAAUGAGCUUAUUCUUCAAUUUUAUGCCACUCUUCACAUAUCUGGAGAUCCUGCAGAUAUCAACACCCGGGUGUUUGACUGGAUGACGCAAAACAUACACUACAACGCUCCUGCCACUGAGCUACUGCGAGAACUGCCAGUAUCAAUUCCCUUAGAGGAGGUCGUGAAGCUUUAUGAUGAGCGUGAGGUGUCAAACAAGAUGAUGGAAGUCCUCAUGAUGCCUUUGGCUAAAGGGAAACCACCAAGAAUGACUUUCCUCAUCCAUGAGCUCAAAUAUGAACCAAGGACAGUUUACAUAAUCCUCUGCAGCGUUCUUGCGCCGAUCAAGGUCCACGAUGAUGAAAAAGAUGUUGUAGGCAUCAUGAAGAAUAUCCUCUUCAACAUCAUCCAUGGUAUUUCUAUCAACAUCCAUGAUUUCUUCUUGAGGCCUUUGGCCGACAAUGCAAUGUGUCCUUUUGACCACAAGAUAUAUGCUCGAUGGAUCAUGAGAUUCAUUAGGACAAGGACAUGCAUCAACUUUCACGCUGAUUUCAACAACCAUGUUGGUUAUAUGCCUCCUAUCAGGGUCAACAAGAAGACUUUCGAGCCUGUUGAAGGAAAAGGCAAGUCUGUCAUUGAUGAAGGCCGUAGGCCCCUUGAUGGCCAGUUCAGAGAGCUCGAAGCAUACUCUUCAUGGGAUGAUACUAAGACUCAUCCUCCAAGCCCUGUUGCUCCUCGUGUGCUGAAUACCAGAGAGCUUCUUCUCAGUCUUCACCAGAAGGUGGAUCGAAAUCACAAGUGGGUCAAACGCUAGUUUGGCGCCUUCGUGAAAACCCUCAAUGAAACGCAGAAUGCUGUGAAGCUUAACCAUCAUUAUCUUCAUGAGGUUUUUGAUCGCACCUGGGCUACACUUGCUCAUCUGAAGACUCCGGCAGAACUUGAAGAAUUGGAGUUUGUGCGCGACUUUGACAGCUCGUGGCCACCUAAGAAGAAAUUCAGGCCAAUUCCAGUUCCAAAACUUGAGGACAGUUCUUUUUAUUCAUUCCGCACUUCUGAAUCUGAUGAAGAACAACAAGACACUGCCACCGGUCUAAGGAAGAAGACUGCUCCCAAGAAUCCGCACGCGUCUUCAUCAACUAAUAAGGAGUGAAGACUUCACAGGCGUUAGUCCUUAGUUUGUCCCUUUUUGUCACUUGAUGACAAAGGGGAGAAACUUGAGAGAUAGUCUUCACGAGGGAUAUUUUGGGGCUUAUGAACUAUAUUUAAGUUACAAACUCUUGGCUCUUCUGAAGUGUUUAUGUAAUGAGUUGUAACUUAAGCCCGAUGGUACUCUGACGCUUUUUGAACAUUUUUCUUCGCAUGCUUAUUCCUCAAAAUUUUAAUGCACACAUGCUGGAAUUCGUCAGGUACCAUUUGUCAUCAUGCAUCCUCAAUUUCUUCAUACUAUAUGUCGUAUAUAUGCAUGAUUUACAAGACUCAGGAGGAGAUCUCCAUGAUAUAAAUCAUCAAUGUGCAUUUGCUGUGAAAAGGAAAAUCCUCAAGAUAUGCACAUCUUCAGGGGGAGUCUCUCUGAAUCUUGAUUUCAAAUUCCUCAAAUGAGCAUUUACACUUCAUAUUUUUAUCCCUGUUGAAGACUUAACCUAAUUGUCAUCAACCACCAAAAAGGGGGAGAUUGUAAGUGUAUCUAGUGCCCCUUAGUGAUUUUGGUGGUUUGAAGACUUAUAGGUUAAGUAUCUAAUGUGUUCAUGAGUGUACACAGGAUCUAUAAGUCGCUGAGGAGUUUGAAAUAUUCGAUGAAUAUCGACCCCUAAAAAUGUAUAUCUUCGGUUGAAGAAAUGGGUCUGAAGCUAAAGAUUUGAAUCGCGAAGAAUUUGCGAUGAAAUUGAUAUUCCUCAUGAAGAUAUUGAAAUUGAGGAAUUCGGUGUGUCCUGAAGAAAAUCAUUUUGAAGACUUUGAAGCAUGAAGAUUUACUCUUUCUGUUUUAUUUUCUUCACACUUGAGUAAUAGGAACACCGUACUGUUAAAGGGGGUCGAGGUAACACAUUGGAAUGAAUUUCCUCAUGAUGCUCAACCCAAGCCUAAUCCUACCAAAAGCCUCAAGUGAGGAAUACGAGUGACAUGUGGACUCUCACAGUUGAGGGUUCUGACCGUUUCGAUAGCCAUGCCACAUCAUUGGUCUUAUCCGCACCAACGGUCAUAUUAGUUAAGGGCAUUAAUGUCAAAUCAUGUCGGGAUGCUCCCAGGCUAUAAAUAGCCACCCCCCACAACCAUUAGGUGGUUGGCUGCUCCGUUAGAAACUGACACUUGUCAUAAGAGCAACCCAAAUUCCUCAGAGUAUUCAAGAGUAAUUCAUCAGUGAGGAAAUACCCCAAACACCAAACCACAAACCGAGAUCCAAGUGAUUGAGCGUCACUGAAGAAGUUGUUCCUGCGUGGGACUGAAGCCUUUUACCUUUGAGAACUGUGCAUCCUCCAGAUGGUUAGGCGUCAUGGUCUAGAGCAAUCGAGCAGUCAAUUGUGGAUCGCCGGGUGACCAAGUCUGUGAGGGUUUGUAAGUCUACCCUGAAGACUUACCACGAGUGUUGGGCGAGGACUGUGUGUUCUUAGCCCAAGGAGAAUACGGUAGGGACUGUGUGUCUUUUGGUUUCAAUACCAAGACGCUCCAAACCAGAUGUACUACUGUCACAACAGUUGGAACUGGGUCAUCAACUAGUGUCUUCGCUUUGAAACGGGUUCUAAUUCCUCAACUCUUUAUAUUCCUCAGAUUAUGUGUUGAUGAUUUUCACUAUCACUGUUUGAAGAAUUUGCUGAAGACUUUCUCUGAAAUUCCUCAACCCCAAAUUCUUCACGCUAGUUAUUCCUCAUCUAUUUUCUGUGUGCCUGCUCACUGUGCAAUGUGUUUUCACAUUCCUCAUACUGAAAAACUGCUGUAGUGAAACUUUGCACUCCUGAUCCUUUACUGUGUCCGCUACGAGUUAGUCAUCAGUGAGGAAUUUCCUCAAAAGGAAUAUCCUCAGUGAUGAAAUUCUAAAAAUCUCCUAUUCACCCCCCUCUAGUCGAUAUAACGCACUUUCAAAAACAAUCAUGAAGCAAUAUGAACAGGUGGUAUCUCGCUAGCUCUUUCUCAUGCUGCAAAACAUAAAUGCAGAGCACCUUCAAAGACCAAGGGCUGACUGAACAUUGUAAUUCAUGGCAAAGAAGAUCCAUUCACAGUCAUACUCAAUCUCAAUUAAAAGCAAAGCAUAAAAAUGAGAGAGGUGCUCUCUAAUUGGUGCUUUUAUAAGAAGAGGAUGACUCAACAGAAACAUAAAUAGAUAGGCCCUUCGCAGAGGGAAGCAUUGAUUUGCAGAGGUGCCAGAGCUCAAGCUUUGAAGACAGAGAUAAAUAAUUUUGGGUGGUAUGCUUUCAUUGUCAACGCGAUGACCAAGAGUUUUUCACCAUCUUCCAUGCUACACAUACUAUAGGCGGUUCCCAAACAGAAAAGUAAAGUUUUGACUCCCCCACCACCAAUCAAUCACACUCCAUGACUAGCCGAAUACUAGGGUGCCGUCCAUACCAACAACAAUCCAGGGUAGUUUUGUUUGCAAUUAUAUUUUUGAUUUGAUUAUGGAACUGAGCAUUCCAAUUACCGGCCCCUUUCUCAUGAAUGAUAGUGAAUAAACACAUAUCGAGGAUAACACGCCUAGCAUGGAAGAUACUGAUCACCCCUUGUCACCACAUGAGCGGUUCGGGAAUGCAAAACAAAUUAUUUCUUGAAGAUUUAGAGAGUGGCACAUGCAAAUUUACUUGGAACGGCAGGUAGAUACCGCAUAUAGGUAGGUACGGUGGACUCUUAUGGAACAACUUUGGGUUUAUGGAAGUGGAAGCACAAGCAGUAAUCCCGCUUAGUACAAGUGAAGGCUAGCAAAAGACUGGGAAGGGACCAACUAGAGAGCGACAACAGUUAUUAAAAUGUAUUGAGAUUAACCAACAUUGAGUGCAAGCAUGAGUAGGACAUAAAUCACCAUGAACAUGAAUAUCAUAGAGGCUAUGUUGAUUUUGUUUCAACUACAUGCGUAAACAUGCGCCAAGUCAAGCCACUUGAAUCAUUCAAAGGAGGAUACCAUCCUAUCAUACUACAUCAUGAUCAUCUCAAAAUUCAUGUUGUCAUCCAAGACAAACCAUUAUAAGCUCCUAGCUAAUUAAGCAUGGCAUCAGAAACAAUGAUCUCUAAGUUGUCAUUGCAAACAUGUUUCUCUCACAACAAAGCUGAAUUUGGAACGAUGAGCUAGUCAUAUUUACAAAAACAAAAUAGAUCGAGUUCAUACCAGCUUUUCCAGGCUCAGUCACUUCGUCAUAUAUCGUCAUUAUUGCCUUUCACUUGCAUGGCCGAAUGAUGUGAACAAUAAUAAGAGUGCUCGUGCAUUGGACUAAGCUGGAAUCUGCAAGCAAACACAAAGGAGAAGACAAAGUAAUAUGGCUUUUUGACAGAUAAACAUAUAUGCAUGCGAGAGCCACUAAACAUUGUAACCAUGGUCUUCUACCUUGACCCAAAGAAAAAGAAAACUAUUUACAUGUGAAAGCUCCCAACAAGCAAAAGCAAAACGAGAAAUCUUUUUGGGUUUUCUCAAACUAGACAAACACACGAGAAGAAAAUGAGAAAAAGAAAUAAACUAGCAUGGAUGAUACAGUGGCAAAGUGUGAACACCGACUAUCAAAGUGAAAGUGUGAGCAUGAAUAUAAAGUCGGUGAGAAACACGUACUCCCCCAAGCUUAGGCUUUUGGCCUAAAUUGGUCUACUCCCAUGGAUGGUCCCGGCGGUACCCAACAUCAUAAUGGGGGUUGUACGGGAGCGUGACAGCCACUGCCUGAAUAGCUGCCUAAUAUGUCUCCAUCGUAUCUACUUUUCCAAACUCUUUUGCCCUUGUUUUGGACUCUAAUUUGCAUGAUUUGAAUGGAACUAACCCGGAAUGACGCUGUUUUCAGCAGAAUUGCCAUGGUGUUGUUUUUGUGCAGAAAUGAAAGUUCUCAGAACAUCCUGAAAAUUUACGGAGAAUAUUUUUGGAAAAUAUGAAAAAUACCUACGCAAAGAUCCACCGGAGGGGAUGGGCCAGUGGGCCACAAGCCCUGUUGCCGUGGGCCCCCUGGCCGCGGCAACCAAGCUUGUGGGGACCACGUGGCUCUGCCGCCCCCAACUCCAGCUCUAUAAAUUCACUUUCGUCCAAAAAAAUCAGAACAGAAGAUUUCAUCGCGUUUGCGAUACGGAGGGGCCGCCACAUCCUGUUUUUCAUCUGGAGGGCAGAUCUGGAGUCCGUUUUGGGCUCCGGAGAGGGGAAAUCGUCGCCAUCGUCAUUAUCAACCUUCUUCCCUCUCCAAUUCCAUGAAGCUCUUCAUCGUUAGUGUGUAAUCUAUUCGUAGGCUCGCUGGGCGGUGAUGAGUAGGAUGAGAUCUAUCAUGUAAUCGAGUUAGUUUUGACGGGGAUUGAUCCCUAGUACCCACUAUGUUCUGAGAUUGAUGUUGCUACUGCUUUGCCAUGCUUAAUGCUUGUCACUAGGGCCCGAGUGCCAUGAUUUCAGAUUUGAAAUUAUUAUGUUGUCACCAAUAUAUGUGUGUUUUAGACCCGAUCUUGCAAGUUGUAGUUACCUACUAUGUGUUAUAACCCGGCAACCCUGGAGUGACAACAACCGGAACCACUCCCGGUGAUGACCAUAGGUUGAGGAGUUCAUGUGUUCACCAAGUGCUAAUGCGUUGUUCCGGUUGUUUAUUAAAAGGAGAACCUUAAUAUCUCGUAGUAUCCUUUUGGACCCCGCUGCCACGGGAGGGAUGGACAAUAGAUGUCAUGUAAGUUCUUUUCCCUAAGUACGUAUGACGACACACGGAAUGCAUGCCUACAUCACAUUGACGAACGGGAGCUAGCCACAUAUCUCUCCGUGUUAUAACUGUUGCAUGAUGAAUGUCAUUCAAACGAAUCACCAACCCAUUGCCUCCGAGUUUGUCCCACUACUGCUACUACAGUUGCUACUUGUUGCUGCUACUACUACUAUUGCUACUUGCUACUGUUGUCACUACUGUUGCUACUUGCUACUGUUAUUACUAUCGUUGUUCCUUGCCACUGUUGUUACUCGUUACACUACUACUACCUGCUACAAUACUUUUCUGCGCCAUUGAUACAACAAUUAGGAAUAGUCUGCUAUCAACAGAUCGUUUCUGGCACCGUUGUUAUCAUACUACUUUGCUACUAAUACUUUGCUUGCGGAUACUAAUCUUUCAGGUGCGCUUGAAUCUAACACAUUCAGCUCCUAAUACUUGAGAGUAUCCUUUCACCUCCCGCCUGGCGAACCCACAAAUUUGGGUCGAAUACUCUACCCUCGAAAACUGCCGCAAACCCACACGCUGGUGGGCCAUUGCAAGACAAUUACUAAUUGUUGAGCAACUGGGAGCAGUUCUGGCUCUAUUGCUGCGGAGGCAUCAAGUCAGGCAGACGUCAACAACAUUCUUCUAGUGUCGUUGUUGUGGACUGCUGGCAAGCAGCUCUUUUCUGGCUCCGUUGCCGGGGAAGGAUUACUAUAUUCUCUGAGUCACUUGGGAUUUAUAUCUGCUGAUCACUAUGAAGAAUCUGAAAGAUCCAAAAACCAAAUUCUUGCCCUCAACUACGAGGGGUGGUAAGGAACUGCCAUCUAGCUCUGCACUUUAUUCACCUUCAGUUAUGAGUAAGUUUGCGACAUCACCUCCUGCUACAAAUGUUGUUAUGUCGCCUGUGCUUGAUGAUGCUAUGCCUGAUACUUCUAGAGAUGCUAUGCCUGAUACUGCUAGGGAUGUUAUGCCUGAUUCUGCUAGAGAUGCUAUGCUUGAUACUGCUUUGCCUAAUGAUGCUAGAGAUGCUAUUUUGCCUGAUGAUGCUAUGCUUGAUAUUGCUAGAGAUACUACUUUGCCCGAUGUGCCACUAGGGGUAUUCCUUGAUGCUCAUAUUGCUAGAGUUACUGCCAAUGCUCGUGAUGCUUCUGAAACUGCCGAUACUAUUGAGAUAGAACCUGCUUUUGCUCCUGCUAGAUCUAGCUCUCCUAGAUAUGAAUUGCUUGAUAUACCUGAGGGUUACGUUAUGGAGGGAGAGAUAGCUGAGGAUUUUCUUGCGUGUAAGGAUGCCUGUGACGCUGAGAAAUUACUUCUUAAGUGGAAGGAAAAAUCUCUGAAAGCUAGGAUGAAAUACGACCUGAAGUUUGCCACUACACCUAUCUUUAUCACCGAUAAGGAUUAUGAAUUCUCUGUCGACCCUGAGAUAAUCUCUCUAGUUGAAUCUGAUCCUUUUCACGGUUAUGAGUCUGAGAUGGUCGUAGCCCAUCUUACCAAACUACACGAUAUAGCCACCCUUUUCACUAGUGAGGAGAAGAUCCGCCACUACUAUAUCCUUAAGAUGUUUCCUUUCUCUCUAAAGGAUGACGCUAAAGCCUGGUUCACUUCUCUUGCUCCUGGAUGUGUGAGUAGUCCCCAAGAUAUGGUCCAUUACUUCUAUGAGAAAUAUUUCCCUGCCCAUAAGAAGCAAGCUGCCUUGCAGGAAAUAUAUAACUUUGCUCAACUCAAAGAAGAGAGUCUCCCACAAGCUUGGGGGAGGCUCAUCCAGCUACAGAAUGCUUUGCCUGAUCACCCUCUUAAGAAGAACGAGAUACUUGAUAUAUUGUAUAACGGACUUACCGAUGCUUCUAGAGACCACCUAGAUAGUUGUGCCAAUUGUGCUUUUAGGGAACGAACUGUAGAACAAGCUGAGACUCUACUGAAUAACAUCUUAAUCAACGAUAAUGCUUGGACUAUUCCCGAACCACCUCCUAAGACAACUCCGAAGAAAAGAGGUAUUCUAUUCCUCAGUCCCGAAGACAUGCAAGAAGCCAAGAAAUCUAUGCAAGAGAAAGGCAUUAGAUCUGAAGAUGUCAAAAAUCUACCACCUAUCGAAGAGAUCCAUGGUCUCGAUAACCCGAUACAGGUAGUGGAAGUAAAUUCUCUACGUAGGUUUGAUGAGAGUGAUAUUCCUUUUGAUAAACCUGCUAGCCUAUGCUUUCAUGAAUUUGACAACUUUGUUGCCAAACAACAGAGUUUCAAUGAUUAUGUUAGCAGACAUUUGGAACAAAGUACUCGUAUGCUUAGUCAUUUAAGUGCUUGUGUAGACAGAAAUGUCAAUGAUCUGAAGCUUCUGAGUAAACAUGCCUCUAUGAUUACUACUCAGGUAGAACAAGUACUUAAAGCUCAGAAUGACUUGCUCAAUGAAUUAAAUGACAACUCUGUCAGAGUCAUUACUAGAGGAGGCAAAAUGACUCAGGAACCUUUGUAUCAUGAAGGUCAUCCUCAGAGAAUUGAUCAAGAUUCUCAAGGAAUUAAUGCUGAUACACCCAGUCAUCCUAAGGAGAAGAAGAAGGAUGAUAGAAACCUGCAUGUUAGUCCACCAAAUACUGUCACACCUGAAGAACCAAAUGAUAUUUCUGCGUCUGAUGCAGAAACACAAUCUGGUGAUGAACAUGAACCUAGUGACAAUAUGGACAACGAUGUUGAUAAUGAUUCUCAACCUAGCAAUGAUAAGGAUGUGGAGAUUGAACCUACGGUUAAUCCUGAUAACCCACAACCUAAGAGAUACGAUAAGAAUGACUUUACUGCUAUGAAGCAUGGUAAAGAAAGAGAUCCAUGGGUUCAGCGACCUAUGCCCUUUCCUCCUAAGCCAUCCAAGAAAAAGGAUAAUGAGGAUUUUGAGCGCUUUAUUGAAAUGAUAAGACACGUCUUUCUGCAGAUGUGGUUAGUUCAUAUGCUCAAAAUGUCUUCGUAUGCUAAGUACAUGAAAGAUAUUGUGACAUUCAAGACACGGCCCACCAUUGCUUUCUCCAUAAUUCGUAGGUUCACUGUUGCUCAACAACAUGACCUCCAAGACAGGGUUACCGUACCACUCUGCAGUAGUACGUGACCUUGUCAACCUACGAGGUUUGUAGUAACUUGAUCUGAUGCUCGAUGAUCACCAUCAUCAGCUUUCACUUCAAUUAGUGUAGGCGCCACAGGAACAACUUCCUGUGCCCUGCUACACACUGGUUGAAAUGAUGGUUCAAUAACCUCAUCAAGUUCUACUACCCUCCCACUCAAUUCUUUCGAGAGAAACCUUUCCUCAAGAAAGGAUCCGUUUCUAGAAACAAAUACUUUACUUUCGGAACUGAGAUAGGAGAUGUACCCAACUGUUUUGGAUAUCCUAAGAAGAUGCAUUUAUCCGCUUUGGGUUCGAGCUUAUCAGAUUGAAACUUUUUCACAUAAGUGUCGAAGCCCCAAACUUUCAAGAAACGACAGUUUAGAUUUCUCUAAACCCCAGUCUAUACUGUGUCAUCUCAACGGAAAUACGCGGUGCCCUAUUUAAAGUGAAUGCGGUUGUCUCUAAUGCAUAACCCAUAAACGAUAGUGGUAAUUCGAUAAGAGACAUCAUAGCAUGCACCAUACCAAAUAGUGCGUGGCUAUGACGUUUAGACACAUCAUCACACUAUGAUGUUCCAGGUGGCAUGAACUGCGAAACAAUUUCCACAUUGUCUUAACUGCGUACCAAAACUCGUAACUCAGAUAUUCAUUUCUAUGAUCAUAUCGUAGACAGUUUAUCCUCUUGUUUACGACAAACUUCACUCCAAAACAGAAUUGAACUUUUCAAUAUUUCAAACUUGUGAUUCAUUAAGUAAAUACUCUUGUAUCUGCUCAAAUCGUCAUUGAAAUAAGAACAUAAUGAUAUCCACUGCAUGCCUCAGCACCCAUUCGACUGCAUACAUCAAAAUGUAUCACUUCCAACAAGUUACUAUCUUGUUUCAUCUCAAUGAAAACAAGGCCUUGCUCAUGUGGUAUGAUUUGCAUGUCACUAGUGAUUCAAAAUCAAGUGAGUAUAAAGAUCCAUCAGCAUGGAGCCUCUUCAUGCAAUUUAUACCAACAUGACUCAAGCGGCAGUGCCACAAGUAAGUGGUACUAUCAUUACUACCUCGUAUCUUUUGGCAUCAAUAUCAUGAACAUGUGUAACACUAUGAUCGAGAUUCAAUAAACCAUUGAAGGUGAUUAUUCAAGCAAAUAGAGUAACCAUUAUUCUCUUUAAAUGAAUAAUCGUAUUGCAAUAAACAUGAUCCAAUCAUGUUCAUGCUUAACGCAAGCACCAAACAACAAUUAUUUAGGUUUAACACCAAUCCCGAUGGUAGAGGGAGCGUGCGAUGUUUUGAUCAUAUCAAUCUUGGAAACACUUCCGACACGUAUCGUCACCUCGCCUUUAGCUAGUCUCCAUUUAUGCCGUAGCUAUCAUUUCGUGUUAGUAAUCACUUAGCAACCGAACCGGUAUCCAAUACCCUCAUGCUACUAGGAGUACUAGUAAAGUACACAUCAACAUCAUGUAUAUCAAAUAUACUUCUUUCGACUUUUGCCAGCCUUCUUAUCUACCAAGUAUCUAGAGUUGCUCCGCCUCAAUGACUCUUCCCCUCAUUACAGAAGCACUUAGUCUCGGGUUUGGGUUUAAUCUUGGGUCUCUUCAUUAGUGCAGCAACUGUUUUGCCGUUUCACGAAGUAUCCCUUCUAGCCCUUGCCUUUCUUUGAAACUUAGUGGUUUUACUAACCAUCAACUAUUGAUGUUCCUUCUUGAUUUCUACUUUCGCAGUGUCAAAACAUCGCGAAUCGCUCAAGGAUCAUUGUAUCUAUCCUUGAUAUGUUAUAGUUCAUCACGAAGCUCUCAUAGCUUGGUGGCAGUGGCUUUGGAGAACCAUCACUAUCUCAUCUGGAAGAUUGACUCCCACUUGAUUCAAGCGAUUGUCGUACUCAGACUAUCUGAGCACAUGCUCAACGAUUGAGCUUUUCUCCUUUACUUUGUGGACAAAGAAUCUUGUCGGAGGUCUCGUACCUAUUAACAAGGGCACAAGCAUGAAAUCAUAAUUUCAUCUCUUUAGAACAUCACUUAUGUUCCGUGACGUUUCAAAACGUCUUCGGCGCCUUGCUUCUAAGCCAUUAAGUAUUUUGCACUAAACUAUCGUGUAGUCAUCAGAAACGUGUAUGUCGGAUGUUCACAGCAUCCACAGACGACGCUCGAGGUGCAGCACACCGAGUGGUUCAUUAAGGACAUAAGCCUUCUGUGCAGCAACGAGGUCAAUCCUCUGCAAAGUUUGCUACUAUCAACUUUGAACUAAAUUUUCUCUAGGAACAUAUAAAAACAGUAGAGCUAUAGCGCAAGCUACAUCGUAAUUCGCAAAGACCAUUAGACUAUGUUCAUGACAAUUAGUUCAAUUAAUCAUAUUACUUAAGAACUCCCACUCAAAAAGUACAUCUCUCUAGUCAUUUGAGUGGUACAUGAUCCAAAUCCACUAUCUCAAGUCCGAUCAUCACGUGAGUCGAGAAUAGUUUCAGUGGUAAGCAUCUCUAUGCUAAUCAUAUCAACUAUACGAUUCAUGCUCGACCUUUCGGUCUCAUGUGUUCCGAGGCCAUGUCUGCACAUGCUAGGCUCGUCAAGCUUAACCCGAGUGUUCCGCGUGUGCAACUGUUUUGCACCCGUUGUAAUCGAACGUUGAGUCUAUCACACCCGAUCAUCACGUGGUGUCUCGAAACGAAGAACUGUCGCAACGGUGCACAGUUGGGGAGAACACAAUUUCGUCUUGAAAUUUUAGUGAGAGAACACCUCAUAAUGCUACCGUCAUUCUAAGCAAGAUAAGGUGCAUAAAGGAUUAACAUCACAUGCAAUUCAUAAGUGACGUGAUAUGGCCAUCAUCAUGUGCUUCUUGAUCUCCAUCACCAAAUCACUUGCAUGAUCUUCUUGUCACCGGCGUUAUACCAUGAUCUCCAUCAACGUGUCGCCAUCGGGGUUGUCGUGCUACUCAUGCUAUUACUACUAAAGCUACGUCCUAGCAAUAUAGUAAACACAUCUGCAAGCACAAACGUUAGUUUAAAGACAACCCUAUGGCUCCUGUCGGUUGCCGUACCAUCGACGUGCAAGUCGAUAUUAACUAUUACAACAUGAUCAUCUCAUACAUCCAAUAUAUCAGAUCACAUCAUUGGCCAUAUCACAUCACAACCAUACCCUGCAAAAACAAGUUAGACAUCCUCUAAUUUUGUUGUUGCAUGUUCUACGUGGUGACCAUGGGUAUCUAGUAGGAUCGCAUCUUACUUACGCAAACACCACAACGGAGAUAUAUGAAUUGCUAUUUAACCUUAUACAAGGACCUCCUCGGUGAAAUCCGAUUCAACUAAAGUUGGAGAAACUGACACUUGCCAGUCAUCUUUGAGCAACGGGGUUACUCGUAGCGAUGAAACCAGUCUCUCAUAAGCGUACGAGUAAUGUCGGGCCAAGCCGCUUCAAUCCAACAAUACCACGGAAUCAAGAAAAGACUAAGGAGGGCAGCAAAACGCACAUCACCACCCACAAAAACUUUUGUGUUCUAUUCGAGAAGACAUCUACGCAUGAACCUAGCUCUGAUACCACUGUUAGGGAACGUCGCAUGGGAAACAAAUAUUUUCCUACGCGCACGAAGACCUAUCAUGGUGAUGUCCAUCUACGAGAGGGGAUAUUCGAUCUACGUACCCUUGUAGAUCGCACAGAAGAAGCGUUAGUGAACGCGGUUGAUGUAGUGGAACGUCCUCACGUCCCUCGAUCCGCCCCGCGAACCGUCCCAUGAUCCGUCCCACGAUCUAGUGCCGAACAGACGACACCUCCGCGUUCAACACACGUACAGCUCGACGAUGAUCUCGGCGUUCUUGAUCCAGCAAGAGAGACGGAGAGGUAGAUGAGUUCUCUGGCAGCGUGACAGCGCUCCGGAGCUUGGUGGUGAUCUAAUCUCAGCAGGGCUCCGCCCGAGCUCCGCAGAAACGCAAUCUAGAGGUAAAACCGUGGAGGUAUGUGGUCGGGCUGCCGUGGCAAAGUUUUCUCAAAUCAUCCCUAAAACCUCUGUAUAUAUAGGUGGGAGAGGGUGGGCCUUGCCUUGGGGUCCAAGGACCCCCAAGGGGUUCGGCCGAGCCAGGGGGGAGUCCUCCCCUUCCAAACCGAAUCCAACGAGGUUUGGAAGGAGGAGUCCUUCUCCCUUUUCCCACCUCCUUUUUUUCUUUUCUCUUUUAUUUUCUUCCUAUGGCGCAUAGGGCCUUCUUGGGCUGUCCCACCAGCCCACUAAGGGCUGCUGCGCCACCCCCAAGGCCUAUGGGCUUCNGUAAUACAAGAUCCCGUAACUUACACUAAGUCACAUUGCUUGCAAGGCUUGUGUGUGAUGUUGUAUUACCGAGUGGGCCCCGAGAUACCUCUCCGUCACACGGAGUGGCAAAUCCCAGUCUCGAUCCAUACUACCUCAACGAACACCUUCGGAGAUACCUGUAGAGCAUCUUUAUAGUCACCCAGUUACGUUGCGACGUUUGAUACACACAAAGCAUUCCUCCGGUGUCAGUGAGUUAUAUGAUCUCAUGGUCAUAGGAACAAAUACUUGACACGCAGAAAACAGUUGCAACAAAAUGACACGAUCAACAUGCUACGUCUAUUAGUUUGGGUCUAGUCCAUCACAUGAUUCUCCUAAUGAUGUGAUCCCGUUAUCAAGUGACAACACUUGCCUAUGGUCAGGAAACCUUGACCAUCUUUGAUCAACGAGCUAGUCAACUAGAGGCUUACUAGGGACAGUGUUUUGUCUAUGUAUCCACACAAGUAUUGUGUUUCCAAUCAAUACAAUUAUAGCAUGGAUAAUAAACGAUUAUCAUGAACAAAGAAAUAUAAUAAUAACUAAUUAUUAUUGCCUCUAGGGCAUAUUUCCAACACUUUCCUCCUAAGCCAUCCAAGAAAAAGGAUGAUGAGGAUUUUGAGCGCUUUAUUGAAAUGAUAAGACCCGUCUUUCUGCAGAUGUGGUUAGUUCAUAUGCUCAAAAUGUCUUCGUAUGCCAAGUCAAUGAAAGGUAUCGUGACCAAUAAACGGAAAAUACCAGAUCUUGAGAUCUCCACCAUGCUUGCCAAUUACACUUUCAAGGGUGGAACUCCUAAGAAACUUGGUGAUCCCGGAGUGCCCACUAUACCUUGCUCCAUUAAAGGAAACUACAUAAGGACUGCCUUAUGUGACCUUGGAGCCGGUGUUAGUGUUAUGCCUCUCUCUCUUUAUCGUAUACUUGAGCUGGAUAAGUUGACACCCACUGAAAUCUCUCUGCAAAUGGCCGACAAAUCAACUGCUUUCCAUGUCGGCAUUUGUGAGGAUGUGCCUGUUGUGGUUGCUAACACCACUAUCUUAACAGACUUUGUUAUCUUGGAUAUUCCCGAGGACGAUGCCAUGGCUGUCAUCCUCGAAAGACCCUUUUUAAACACUGCAGGGGCUGUUAUAGAUUGCAACAAAGGCAAUGUCACUUUCCAUGUCAAUGGUAAUGAGCAUACAGUGCACUUUCCGAAGAAACGAUAUCAAGUACAUUGCAUCAACGCUAUAGAAAAAACUUCAUCGAUUCUUAUUGGGAGCUUUGAAUGCCCCAUUCCUCAUGUCAAAAUGAAGUAUGAUUUGCUUGUUGGGGAGAUACAUAUCCCCAUUGAGGUAACUUAGUGGCUAUUCGAAAAUUCUCCCUUCUCUUUUGCGUUUCGAGAAAGUUUUGUCAUGAGGAUUUGAUCAACCCCAUUGACGGAUUUCUUUCGAUGACCAUGAAAUGGAUGAAUCAAAGAGUCACAUACCUCUGUUUUAAGCUUUCACUUUCUUUUGCUUAGAAGAAAAAUGAUAGGUUUAGUUUAGUUUUUCCUGUUUCCUGUUUUAGAGUCUCGGAGAAAAAUACCCCGAAAAUAAAAGUUCUCCGAUGGUCCUGAAAAUCUAGUAUGAUUUUUUCUGGAAUAUUUGAAAAAUACUGGGACUGAGAGCUGGCCUUGGGCCCACACCAGUGGGCCACAAGCCCUGUCACCGCGGCCACCCCCCUGCCACUGCAAGCAAACUUGUGGGGCCCACAGGGCCCCCCUCCACUCAUUCCAGCUCCCAUCCUCUUCAGAAAAAAUCGUUUCGCAGCUCAAACCCGUGUUCUUGAUCAUUUGGCUGUGAUUUUCGAUCUCCUUGCUCAAAGCAUCAUUCUCCGAACCGUUUUGGGGAAAUUACUUCUUGGUAAGUGACUCCUCCAUUGGUCCAAUUAGUUUUUGCUCUAGUGCUUUAUCCUUUGCGUAUUCUUGCUACCUUGGUGACCCUGUUCUUGAGCUUGAAAUGUUGAUUUUAGCUGGUCCCAAGUAGUUUUAGUGCGUGAUACGGUCUCUAGGCACUAGUAGGAGUAGUUGCUACGGGUUGGGUUAAUCUUUACUCACUAUUCUUUCGAAGUCUCUAAAAAUUUCAGAAUUGUUCAGAGCUAGAAAAGGAAAUAGAUGAGGAGGUUCUUGAGAGGAUCUUCAAGCCGUAACCCCAAGGAGGAUGAGAAGAAUCACCCCAAGUACAUGGUUCCUCGAGUCACGGAAGUUCGAGCGUGCGAGUGGCCAAGUGAUGAAUUUUUUCUCGCCACCGGGCUUUAUGAAGACUUUUAUUACUUUGUGGAGAACGCAGGUCUUACCACGUUCAUUGAAGAUAAGUGCUCACAAUACCUCCUCCUCACCAAUAUUAGCGUUCAAAGCUUCAACUUUUAUCCGAGGAAGAAUCCUCCCAUGGUUGAGUUCAUGUUAUACGAUAUCCCCCAGUGCAUGACACUACAGGAUUUUUGCAAUGCAUGCAAAUUACCUUAUGUUGGGGAUAUUCAUGAUCCUCGCCCACGGGAUUUGGAGGAUUUCAUAGGUACUAUUGUUGUUGGAGAGGAGAGAGGAGUGUCUCGCGCUAGAAUUGCUAGCAUACAUUUUCCUGUGCUUCAGUACUUCUCAUUAUUUGUGGGAAAAUGUCUGAUUGGCCGUGGGGAGGCUGGAUCACUUAGCUCUCCAGACCUUGCGGUUUUGCACGAAGGCCUUUAUAGGACUAAGACUUAUAGCCUAGGUGCUAUAGUAGCUUAGUGGUUGAACAAAAACCGUUCCAAAGGUGUCGUAUAUGGAGGUAUCUAUGCUACUCGUCUUGCUAGACACUUUGAGAUACCUAUUAGACUUCGCGAGGAAGAAGUGAUGCUUCUUCUUGAGAAGUACCUGGAUUAUGACAACAUGGUUCGCCAUGAUUUUCUGGAUAGAGAUGCUAGUAGAUGGAUGAUCUAUAACCUGGUAUUUAAUGAGGGUACUCGAGAGACUAUUACUUUGCCUGCUCCUUCUUUGUUCGAUCUUCAUGCAGGCAGGUACACUAUUAUGCCCUCGGACAUCUACGCAUAUUGGGGCUUGGCCCAACCACAGGUGCCCGUGCCCGAGCAGCCAGUCGAGUACCAGACACGAGUCUAUCAGUGGGAGCCAGAGGAGCUCACACAGCAGUGGCAUCCACAGUCCGCUCCGGAGUAUCCCGGAGCUGGUUAUUUCCCGCCUUGGGAUUAGACCAAGCUAGGCCAAAAGCCUAAGCUUGGGGGAGUACGCGUUCUCACAGACCUUACAUUCAUGCUUAUGCUUUCACCUUGUUAGUCGGUGUUUACACUUUGCCACUGUAUUAUCCAUGCUAGUUUAUUUUCGUUUUCUUGUUUUUUGUCCUUUUGAAAAUACCCAAAAAGAUUUUCCUUUCUUCUUUUGCUUGUUGGGAGCUUUCCUGUGUGAAUAGUUUUCUUUUUCUUUGGGUCAAGGUAAAAGAUAUUGGUUACAAUGUUUAUUGGCUCUUGCAUCCAUACCUGUUUAGCUUUCAAAGAGCCAUAUUACUUUGUCUUCUCCUUUGUGUUUGCCUGCAGAUUCAGCUUAGUCCAAUGCACGAGCACUCUUAUUAUUGUUCACAUUGUUUGAUCGUGCAAGUGAAAGGCAAUAAUGAUGAUAUAUGAUGAAGUGACUGAGAAUGGAAAAGCUGGUAUGAACUCUAUCUAUUUUGCUUUUGUAAAUAUGACUAGCUCGUCGUCCUAGAUACAGCUUUGUUGUGAGAGAAACAUGUUUGCAAUGACAACUUAGAGAUCAUAGUUUCUGAUGCCAUGCUUAAUUAGCUAGGAGCUUAUAGUGGUUUGUCUUGAAUGCCAACAUAGAUUUUGAGAUGACUAUGAUGUAGUAUGAUAGGAUGAUAUUCUCCUUUGAAUGAUUCAAGUGGCUUGACUUGGCGCAUGUUCAUGCAUGUUGUUGAAACAGAAUCAACAUAGCCUCUAUGAUGUUCGUGUUCAUGGUGAUUUAUAUCAUGUUCAUGCUUGCACUCCAUGUUAGUCAAACUCAUUGCAUCUUGAUGACUGUUGUCUCUCUCUAGUUGUUCGCUUCCCAGUCUUUUGCUAGCCUUCACUUGUACUAAGCGGAAUACUACUUGUGCAUCCACUUCCAUAAACCCAAAAGUUUUUCCAUGAGAGUCCAACAUACCUACCUAUUUGCGGUAUUUACCUGCCGUUCCAAGUAAAUUUGCAUGUGCCAUUCUCUAAACCUUCAAGAAAUAAUCUGUUUUGCAUGCCCAAACCGCUCAUGUGGUGACAGGGGGCUAUUGGUAUCUUCCAUGUUAGCGUGUUAUCCUCGACAUGUGUUUAUUCACUGUCAUUCACGAGAAAGGGGUCGGUAAUUGGAAUGCCCAGUUCCACGCCUAAAUCGAAAACAUAAGUGUAAAACAAGACUCCCCCCAGAUUGAUGUUAGUAUGGACGGUACCCGAGGAUUCGGCUAGCCGUGGAGUGUGAUUGAUUGGUGGUGGGGGAGUUAAAACAUUACUUUUCUAUUUGGGAACUGCCUAUAGCAUGAGUAGCAUGGGAGAUAUUGAUAACUUGUGGUCAUUGCGUUGACAAUGAAAGCAUGCCACCCAAAAUUAUUAUCUCUCUUUUCAAAGCUUGAGCUCUGGCACCUCUGCAAAUCAAUGCUUUCCUCUGCGAAGGGUCUGUCUAUUUAUUUUCCUGUUGAGUCAUCCUCUUCUUAUAUAAGCACCAAUUAGAGAGCACCUCUGUCAUUUUUAUGCUUUGCUUUUGAUUGAUAUUGAGUAUGACUAUGACUGUAUCUUCGUUGCUAUGAAUUACAAUGUUUAGUCAGCCCUUGAUCUUUGAAAGUGCUCUGCAUUUAUGUUUUGUGGUCUCAGAAAGAGCUAGCGAGAUACCACCUAUUCAUAUUGCUUCAUGCUUGUUUUGAUUGAAUUGUUGGUAUCUGAAACUCAUUAUUAUUUGCUCGCUAGCUGAUUAUGCCAUUGAUAUUAGUUUACCGUGAGACCUUUGUGUCACUUGCUUAUGUGGUUAACUUGUGAUCUUGCUGAAAUUCUGGUUAUGAGUUAGACAUAGUUGCAACAACAAGAUCAAACAGAGUUUGUCCAAGUUUUUCUUCCUCUUUCAGUUUGUCAACUGAGUUGCUUGAGGACAAGCAAGGUUUUAAGCUUGGGGGAGUUGAUACGUAUCCAUCGUAUCUACUUUUACAAACUCUUUUGCCCUUGUUUUGGACUCUAAUUUGCAUGAUUUGAAUGGAACUAACCCGGACUGGCGCUGUUUUCAGCAGAAUUGCCAUGGUGUUGUUUUUGUGCAGAAAUGAAAGUUCUCGGAACGUCCUGAAAAUUUAUGGAGAAUAUUUUUUGAAAAUAUGAAAAAUACCUGCGCAAAGAUCCACAUGAGGGGAUGGGCCAGUGGGCCACAAGCCAUGUUGUCGCGCCCCCUGGCCACGGCAACCAAGCUUGUGGGGCCCACGUGGCUGUGCCGCCCCCAACUCCAGCACUAUAUAAUCACUUUCAUCCAGAAAAAAAAUCAGAAAGAGAAGAUUUUGUCGCGUUUGCAAUACGGAGGCGCCGCCACAUCCUGUUCUUCAUCCGGAGGGCAGAUCUGGAGUCCGUUUUGGGCUCCGGAGAGGGGAAAUCGUCGCCAUCGUCAUCAUCAAACUUCUUCCCUCUCCAAUUCCAUGAAGCUCUUCAUCGUUCGUGAGUAAUCUAUUCGUAGGCUCGUUGGGCGGUGAUGAGUAGGAUGAGAUCUAUCAUGUAAUCGAGUUAGUUUUGACGGGGAUUGAUCCCUAGUAUCCACUAUGUUCUGAGAUUGAUGUUUCUACUACUUUGCCAUGUUUAAUGCUUGUCACUAGGGCCCGAGUGCCAUAAUUUCAGAUCUGAAAUUAUUAUGUUCUCACCAAUACAUGUGUGUUUUAGAUGCGAUCUUGCAAGUUGUAGUUACCUACUAUGUGUUAUGACCCGGCAACCCCGGAGUGACAAUAACCAGAACCACUCUCGGUGAUGACCAUAGUUUGAGGAGUUCAUGUGUUCACCAAUGCUAAUGCGUUGUUCCGGUUCUUUAUUAAAAGGAGAACCUUAAUAUCCCGUAGUAUCCUUUUGGACCCCGCUGCCACGGGAGGGAUGGACAAUAGAUGUCAUGCAAGUUCUUUUCCCUAAGCACGUAUGACGAGACACGGAAUGCAUGCCUACAUCACAUUGACGAACGGGAGCUAGCCAUCUAUCUCUCCGUGUUAUAACUAUUGCAUGAUGAAUGUCAUCCAAACGAAUCACCGACCCAAUGCCUACGAGUUUGUCCCACUGCUGCUACUAAUGUUGCUACUUGCUGCUGCUACUACUGUUGCUACUUGCUACUGAUGUCACUACUGUUGCUACUUGCUACUGUUGUUACUACUGCUGUUCCUUGCCACUGAUGUUACUCUUUACACUGCUGCUACCUGCUAUAAUACUUUUCUGGCGCCAUUGAUACAACAGAUAGGAAUAGUGUGCCGUCAAUAGAUCGUUUCUGGCACCGUUGUUAUCAUACUACUUUGCUACUGAUACUUUCCUUGCAGAUACUAAUCUUUCAGGUGCGGUUGAAUCUCACACAUUCAGCUCUUAAUACUUGAGAGAAUCCUUUCACUUCCCGCGUGGCGAACCAACAAAUUUGGGUCGAAUACUCUACCCUUGAAAACUGUCGCGAACCCACACGUUGGUGGGCCGUUGCAAGACAAUUACUAAUUGUUGAGCAACUGGGAGCAGUUCUGGCUCUGUUGCCAUGGAGGCAUCAAGUCAGGAACACGUCAACAACAUUCUUCUAGUGUCGUUGCUGUGGACUGCUAGCAAGCACUGCCUCAUGAAGGCGAGCUGCCUUUGCCUCCCUCUUAUACUCCUUUGCCUCUCCUCUGGUUAUGUAAUAUCUCCGUUUUACCUGAAAGUCAAAGAAGGCAGGAGCGGGAAGGGUAAUAUAGAAAACACGCUCUCGGUUAAAUAUUAACCGGUAUAGGAGGGAUUCGUUAUCCCUCUCAAGGAACUGAUAGCGUGUCAUAGCGGCGAGAUCAAGGAAAGCUAUAUCGAGCAGGGGAUCUCCUUCGCGGAAGGGUACUCCAAGAGAAUUUGCUAUGCGAGUGGCAUAGAUCCCACCAAAGGAAUCCCCUUCAUUAGCAUUAUUAUUCAGCCUCCUUGCUAUUAUAGCUCCCAUGUUGAAACUUCUAUCAGCCGUUAUUGCGCUCUUAAGAAUACUAAGGUCGGGUGCGCAGAGGUGACAAUGCUCAAUCUUGCCGUUAAUGCAUCUACCUAUGAAGAGGGCAAAGUAAUGCAAGGCAGGAAAAUGAAUGCUCCCCAUGGUAGCCUGCGUAAUAUUUCUAGUUUCUCCGACAGUUAUACUAGAGAAAAAAAUCUCUAACCAAAGAUUUAGGAGGAUCAUUGAGACUACCCCAAACAGGUAUCUUGCAAAUUCUAUUGAAAUAAUCUAAAUCCAUGGUAUACGAUUUGUCAUAGAGAUCAAACACUACGGAUGUGUCACGACCAGCCGAAAAUUUGAAUCUACGAACAAAAGAGGCAGUGAGAGUAGUAUACUGUUCACAUUUAUCGGAGAUGAAUUCUUCAAGUCCAACAUUGUGAACAUGUGUAUCAGACUCGUCUUUGAAACCUGCAUCAAUCAUGAAUUCAUCAGAAGGCCAUUCACAUGGUUGUACCUGUGCGUUCCUCGGUUGGUAAGGAUCGAGUUCCCGAAUCGCGAGACAGGGACCCCUCUUGCUUGAGAAACCACCAUGAUAGUUUCUCCUGAACAUCUUACUUUUCUGAAUUUUUUAGUAACUCAAAGGAAAAGUGAACAUGGCCCAACGAAACUUGUAGCAACUACUCCUACAAGUGCCUAGAGGCCAUAUCACGCAUCAAAACUACUUGGGACCAGCUAAAAUUAACAUGCAAAGCUCAAGAACAGGGUCACCAAGGAAGCAAAAAUAGGCGACGAAUAAGGUACUAGAGAAAAAACUAAUUGGACCAAUGGAGGAGUGACAUACCAAGGAGCAAUUUCCCCAAAACAGUUUGGUGAAUGGGGCUUUGCACAAGGAGAUCGAAAAUCGCAGUAAGAAGAGCAAGAACACGGGUUUGAGUUGCGAAACAAUUUUUUCUGGAGGUAGGAGAAGGAGAUGGGAGCUGGAAUAAGUGGAGGGGGGACACGUGGGCCCCACAAGCCUGGUAGGCGCGGCCAGGGGGGUGCCCGCGCCUCCAGGGCCUGUGGCCCACUGGUGCAUCCCGCUGACUAGCUCUCCGUCUCAGAAUUUUUCAAAAAUUCCAGAAAAAAUCAUACUUGAUUUUCACGGCAUUCGUAGAAAUUUUAUUUUCGGGACACUUUUCAAUGAGACACAAAAAGCAGAAAACAGGAAAAACUAAAGCUAAAUCUAUUAUUUUUCUUCUAAGCAACCGAAGGUGAAAGCUUGAAACAGAGGGUUGUGACUCCUCGAUUCAUCCAUCCCAUGGUCAUCGAAAGAAAUCCGUCAAUGAGGUUGAUCAAGUCUCCUUGACAAACUUUUUUGAAUCGCAUAAAAAAGAACGGAGAAUUUUCGAAUAGUCACUAGGUUACCUCAAUGGGGAUGUGCAUAUACCCAACAAGCAAAUCAUACUUCAUCUUGAUAGUAGGUGUAGGGCAUUCAAAGCUCUCAAUAACAAUAGAUGAAGUUUUUUCAAUAGCAUUGAUGCAAUGUACCCGAUAUUAUUUCUUCGGAAAGCGCACCGUAUGCUCAUUACCAUUAACAUGGAAAGUGACAUUGCCUUUGUUGCAAUCAAUAACAGCCCCUGCAGUGUUUAAAAAGGGUCUUCCAAGGAUGACCGCCAUGGCAUCAUCCUCGGGAAUAUCCAGAAUAACAAAGUCUGUUAAGAUAGUAACGUUAGCAACCACAACAGGCACAUCCUCACAAAUGCCGAUAGGGAAAGCAGUUGAUUUGUCGGCCAUUUGCAGAGAGAUUUUAGUGGGUGUCAACUUGUCCAAUUCAAGCCUACGAUAAAGAGAAAGAGGCAUAACACUAACACCGGCUCCAAGAUCGCAUAAAGCAGUUCUAACGUAGUUGCCUUUAAUGGAGCAAGGUAUACUGGGCACUCCGGGAUCACCUAGUUUCUUAGGAGUUCCACCCUUGAAGGUGUAAUUAGCAAGCAUGGUGGAAAUCUCAACCUCAGGUAUCCUCCUCUUAUUAGUCACAAUAUCCUUCAUGUACUUAGCAUACGGAGACAUUUUGAGCAUAUCUGUGAAACGCAUUUGCAGAAAGACAUGUCUAAUCAUUUCAACAAAUCGCUCAAAAUCCUCAUCAUCCUUUUUCUUGGAUGGUUUGGGAGGAAAGCGCAUGGGUUUCUGAACCCAUGGUUCCCUUUCUUUACUAUGCUUCCUAGCAAUGAAGUCAUUCUUAUCGUAUCUCUUAUUCUUAGGAUGUGGGUUAUCAAGAUCAACAGGUUCAAUCUCCACAUCCUUAUCAUUACUAGGUUGAGCAUCAACAUGAACAUCACUAUGGAUAUUAUCAUUAGGCUCAUGUUCAUCACCAGAUUGCGUUUCGGUAUCAGAAAUAGAGACAUUGUCUAGACUCUCGGGUGUAACAGCAACAGGGUUGCUAGCGUGCAAGUUCAUAUCAUAUUUCAUUUUCUUUCUAGGAUGACUAGGUGCAUCAGUACUAACUCCUUGAGAAUCUUGUUCAAUUCUCUUAGGAUGACCCUCAGGAUACAAAGGUUCCUGGGUCAUUCUACCGCCUCUAGUGACGACUCUAACAGAAUUGUCAUUCAACUCAUUGAGCAAGUUAUUUUGAGCCUUAAGUACUUGUUCUACCUGAGUGGUAACCAUAGAGGCAUGUUUACUCAAGAUCUUAAGAUCAUUGACGUUUCUAUCCACACAAGCACUUACAUGACUAAGCAUACGAGCAUUCUGUUCCAAUUGUCUGCUAACAUAAUCAUUGAAAAUUUGUUGUUUGGCAACAAAGUUAUUAAAUUCAUCUAGGCAUAAGCUAGCAGGUUUAUCGAAAGGAAUAUCACUCUCAUUGAAUAUCCGAAGAGAAUUUAGCUCUACUACCUGUAUCGGGUUAUCAAGACCAUGGAUCUCUUCGAUAGGCGGUAGAUUUUUGACAUCUUCAGAUUUAAUGCCUUUCUCUUUCAUAGAUUUCUUAGCUUCUUGCAUAUCUUCAGGACUGGGGAAUAGGAUACCUCUUUUCUUAGGAGUUGGCUUUGGAGGUGGUUCGGGAAUAGGCCAAGCAUUCUCAUUGCACAAGAUAUUAUUCAAUAGGAUCUCAGCUUGUUCCAUAGUUCGUUCCCUACAACACAACCGGCACAACUAUCUAGGUGGUCCUUAGAAGCAUCGGUCAUUCCAUUAUAGAAGAUAUCAAGUAUUUCAUUCUUCUCAAGAGGGUGAUCACGCAAAACAUUCAGUAGCUGGACGAGCUUCCCCAAGCUUGUGGGAGACUCUCUUCUUCAACUUGCGCAAAGUUGUAUAUUUCCUCCAAGGCAGCUUGCUUCUGGUGGACAGGGAAAUAUUUUUCAGAGAAGUAGUAGAUCAUAUCCUGGGGACUACACACACAACCAGGAGCAAGAGAAGUGAACCAAGUCUUAGCAUCAUCCUUUAGUGAGAAAGGAAACAGCUUAAGGAUAUAGUAGUGGCGAAUCUUUUCCUCACUCAUGAAUAGGGUGGCUAUAUAGUGAAGCUUAGUAAGAUGUGCUACAACCGUUUCAGACUCAUAACCAUGAAAAGGAACAGAUUCGACCAAAGUGAUUAACUCAGGGUCGACAGAGAAUUCAUAAUCCUUAUCAGUCACAAAGAUAGGCGAAGUAGCAAACUUCGGGUCGUAUUUCAUCCUAGCGUUCAAAGAUUUUUCUUCCACCUGCGCAGUAAUUUCUCAACAUCAUAGCUAUCCUUACAAGCAAGAAAGUUCUCAGCUAUCUCUCCCUCCAUAACAUAACCCUCGGGCAUAUCAGGCAAUUCAUAUCUAGGAGAGCUAGUUCUAACAGGUGAAAUAGCAGGUUCUACUUCAAUAAUCUCAAUAGUUUCAGAAGUAUCAUCACAUCUAGCAGCAACUCUAGCAAUUUGUGCAUCAAGGAAUGCACCUAGUGGCAAAGCAGUAUCAAGCAAAGCAUCAUCACAAGCAUCAUGGAUAGCAGAAGUAGCAUCAUCAAGCACAGACGACACAUCAAAAUUUCUAGUAGGAGGUGGUGUCGCAAACUUACUCAUAACUGAAGGUGAAUCAAGUGCAGAGCUAGAUGGCAGUUCCUUACCUGUCCUCGUAGUUGAGGGCAAGACUUUAGUUCUUGGAUCUUUCGGAUUCCUCAUAGUGAUCAGCAGACGUAAAUCCCAAGUGACUUAGAGAAUAGAGCUAUGCCUCCCCGGCAACGGCGCCAGAAAAUAGUCUUGAUAACCCACAAGUAUAGGGGAUCGCAACAGUUUUCGAGGGUAGAGUAUUCAACCCAAAUUUGUUGAUUCGACACAAGGGAAAGCCAAAGAAUAUUCUUGAGUAUUAGCAGUAGCAACAUCAAUCUGAGAACACAGUGGAUACUAGGGAUCAAUCCCCGUCAAAACUAACUCGACUACAUGAUAGAUAUCAUCCAACCCAUCACCGUCCAGCAAACGUACGAUGAGAUUGUAGGGUAACGUAGCAUAAAUUCAAAACUUUCCUACGCCAUAUUCAGAUCUUCCUAUGGAGAGACCAGCAACGAGAGAGGGGUAAGAGCAUCUUCAUACCUUUGAAGAUCGUUAAGCGGAAGCGUUACUAGAACACGGUUGAUGGAGUCGUACUCGCGGCGAUUCAGAUCACGAUGUGAUUCCGAUCUAGUGCCGAACUACGGCACCUCCACGUUCAACACACGUGCAGCCCGAUGACGUCUCCCGCACCUUGAUCCAGCAAGGAGGAGGGAGAGGUUGGGGAAGAACUCCAGCAGCACGACGGCGUGGUGUCGAUGGAGAUACGAGGUUUAAAACUAAUGCCGACGGUAGAUGUAGAGGUAGCGAGCCGACGGCGAUCACAUCGACCUUGGAACCAUUCCCGAUGCGCAUCGUCACCUCGACCUUGGCCAGUCUCCGCUUAUUCCGCAGUUCCUGCUUUGAGUUGCAAAUGUGAGCAACAACACUCGUAUCAAAUACCCAGGAGCUACUACGAGCACUGGUAAGGUACACAUCAAUAACAUGUAUAUCACAUAUACCUUUAACGUUGCCGGCCUUCUUGUCCGCUAAGUAUUUGGGGCAGUUCCGCUUCCAGUGACCCUUUCCCUUGCAAUAGAAGCAAUCUGGUCUUAUUGAAACUAGUGGUCUUAUUGACCAUCAACACUUGAUGCUCUUUCUUGUUUUCUACUUCUGCACACUUGAGCAUCGAGUACAACUCGGGAAUGGUCUUCUCCAUCCCUUGCAUGUUGUAGUUAAGCACAAAGCCUUUGUAGCUUGGUGGGAGAGACUGGAGGAUUCUGUCAAUUCUAGCAUCAUCCGGAAGUUCGACUCCAAGUGAAGUCAGACGACCAUGUAACCCAGACAUUUUGAGUAUGUGCUCACUGACAGAACUGUUCUCCUCCAUCUUACAGCUAAAGAACUUGUCGGAGACUUCAUAUCUCUCGACACGGGCAUGAGCUUGAAAAACUAGCUUCAGCUCCUGGAACAUCUCAUAUGCUCCGUGUUUCUCAAAACGCCUUUGGAGCCCCGUUUCUAAACUGUAUAACAUGCCACACCUAACCAGAGAGUAGUCAUCACUCCGCGUUUGCCAGACGUUCAGAAUGUCCUGGGCUGCUGCGGGAGCGGGAGGGUCACCUAGCGGCGCAUCAAGGACAUAAGCCUUUUUAGCUGCUUCAAGGAUGAGCUUCAAGUUGCGAACCCAGUCCGCAUAGUUGCUACCAUCAUCUUUCAGCUUGUUUUUCUCUAGGAAUGCGUUGAAAUUGAGGUUGAUGUUAGCCAUCUACAAUAUUUAUAAAGACAACCUUUUUAGACUAAGUUCAUGACAAUUAAGUUCAUUUAAUCAUAUUAAGUAUGAACUCCCACUUAAAUCGACAUCCCUCUAGUCAUCUAAGUGAUACAUGAUCCAUGUUGACUAACCCGUGUCCGAUCAUCACGUGAGACGGACUAGUCACCAUGGUGAGCAACUUCAUGCUGAUCGUAUUCAACCAUACGACUCAUGUUCGACCUUUCGGUCUCUUGUAUUCGAGGUCAUGUCUGUACAUGCUAAGCUCGUCGAGUCAACCUAGGUGUUUCGCGUGUGUAAAUCUGGCUUACACCCGUUGUAUGCGAACGUUAGAAUCUAUCACACCUGAUCAUCACGUGGUGCUUCGAGACAACGAUCCUUCGCAACGGUGCACACUUAGGGGAAUACGUUCUCGAAAUUUUAAGAGGGAUCAUCUUAUUAUGCUACCGUCGUUCUAAGCAAUAAGAUGAAAAACAUGAUAAACAUCACAAUGCAAUCAUAUAGUGACAUGAUAUGGCCAUUAUCAUCUUUGCCCUUUCGAUCUCCAUCUUCAGGCAUCCCAUGAUCAUCAUUGUCACCGGCGUGACACCAUGAUCUCCAUCAUCAUGAUCUCCAUCAUCGUGUCUCCGUGAAGUCGUCGCGCCAACUACUACUAUCACUACUACUAUAGCUAACCGUUAGCAAUGAAGUAAAAGUAGUAAGCACAUGGCAUUGCAUCUCAUACAAUAAAUUAAGACAACUCCUAUGGCUCCUACCGGUUGUCAUACUCAUCGACAUGCAAGUCGUGAAACCUAUUACAAUAACAUGAUCAUCUCAUACAUCAUACAUGCCACAUCACAACUUUGGCCAUAUCACAUCACAUGUCAAACCCUGCAAAAACAAGUUAGACGUCCUCUAAUUGUUGUUGCAAGUUUUACGUGGCUGAUAUGGGUUUCUAGCAAGAACGCCUUCUUACCUACGUGACAGCCACAACGAUGAUAUGCCAAAGCUAUUUAUCCUUCAUAAGGACCCUUUUCAUCAAAUCCAAUCCGACUAGAGUAGGAGAGACAGACACCCGCUAGCCCCCUUUAUGCACGGUGUGCAUGUCUGUCGGUGGAACCAGUCUCACGUAAGCGUACGUGUAAAGUCGGUCCGGGCCGCUUCAUCCCACAAUACCGCCGGAAAAGAAUAAGACUAGUAGCGGCAAGCAAAUUGACAAAUCAUCGCCCACAACUUUUGUGUUCUACUCGUGCAUAGAAUCUACGCACAGAAAACCUGGCUCGGAUGCCACUGUAGGGUAACGUAGCAUAAAUUCAAAAUAUUCCUACGCCAUAUUCAGAUCUUCCUAUGGGGAGACCAGCAACAAGAUAGGGGUAAAAGCAUCUUCAUACCUUUGAAGAUUCCUAAUCGGAAGCGUUACUAGAACGAGGUUGAUGGAGUCGUACUCGCGGCGAUUCAGAUCGCGGUGUGAUUCCGAUCUAGUGCCGAACUACGGCACCUCCGCAUUCAACACACGUGCAGCCCGGUGACGUCUCCUGCACCUUGAUCCAGCAAGGAGGAGGGAGAGGUUGGGGAAUAACUCCAGCAGCAUGACGGCGUGGUGUCGAUGGAGAGACGAGGUCUCCCGGCAGAGCUUCGCCAAGCACCGGCAGAGAGGAGGAGAAAGAAGGGCAGGACUGCGCCGAGGGAGAGGGAGAAGUCUCUCUCUCAAUGGCCAAAAGUGCCCGGUAUAUAUAGGGGGAGGGGAGAGGGGGUGCCACCCCUAGGUUUCCCACCCUAGGUGGUGCGGCAGCCCCCCCAGAUGGGAGGUGCGGCGGCUAGAGGGGGGAGGAGGGGUGGUGCGCACCCCUCGUGGGCCUUAGGCCCACCUGGCUUAGGGUUCCCCCCCUUUUCUCUCCCCUACGCAUUGGGCUGAGUGGGGAGGCACACCAGCCCACCUAGGGGCUGGUUCCCUCCGCACUUGGCCCAUCUUACCUCCCAGGGUCGUUUCCCCCCAUCGGUGGACCCUCGGGGCCACCUUCGGUGGUCCCGGUGAUGCCCGAAACACUUCCGGUGUCCGAAACCAUCCGUCAUGUAUAUCAAUCUUUACCUCCGGACCAUUCCGAAGCUCCUCGUGAUGUCCGGGAUCUCAUCCGGGACUCCGAGCAACUUUCGGUAACCUCGUAUAACAAUUCCCUAUAACCCUAGCGUCAUCGAACCUUAAGUGUGUAGACCCUACGGGUUCGGGAGACGGGCAGACAUGACCGAGACACCUCUCCGGCCAAUAACCAUCAGCGGGGUUUGGAUACCCAUGGUGGCUCCCACUUGCUCCACGAUGAUCUCAUCGAAUGAACCACGAUGUCAAGGAUUCAAUCAAUCCCGUAUACGAUUCCCUUUGUUUGUCGGUACAGAACUUGCCCGAGAUUCGAUCGUCGGUAUACCUAUACCUUGUUCAAUCUCGUUACCGGUAAGUCUCUUUACUCAUUCCGUAGCACGUCAUCGUGUGACUAACUCCUUAGUCACAUUGAGCUCAUGAUGAUGUUUUACCGAGUGGGCCCAGAGAUACCUCUCCGUCACACAGAGUGACAAAUCCCAAUCUCGAUUCGUACCAACCCAACAGACACUUUCAGAGAUACCUGUAGUGCACCUUUAUAGUCACCCAGUUACGUUGUGACGUUUGAUACACCCAAAGAACUCCUACGGUAUCCGGGAGGUGCACAAUCUCACGGUCGAAGGAAAAGACACUUGACAUUAGAAAAGCUUUAGCAUAUGAACAAUACGAUCUAGUGCUAUGCUUAGGAUUAGGUCUUGUCCAUCACAUCAUUCUCCUAAUGAUGUGAUCCCGUUAUCAAUGACAUCUAAUGCCCAUGACCAGGAAACCAUGAUCAUCUAUUGACUAACGAGCUAGCCAACUAGAGGCUUGCUAGGGACACAUUGUGAUCUAUUUAUUCACACAUGCAUUACUAUUUCCUGUUAAUACAAUUAUAGCAUGAACAAUAGACUAUUAUCAUGAACAAGGAAAUAUGAUAAUAACCAUUUUAUUAUUGCCUCUAGGGCAUAUUUCCAACAGAGAUUACUCACGAAUGGUGAAGAGCAUCAUGGAAUUGGCGAUGAAGGAAGGUUGGUGAUGACGAUGGCGACGAUCUCCCCUCUCCGGAGCCCAGAACGGACUCCAGAUCUGCCAUCUAGAGGAAGAACAGGAGAUGGCGGCGCCUCCAUAUCGUAAAACGCGAUGAACUCUCCUCCUUGAUUUUUUUCCGGACGAAAGGGACUAAAUAAAGCUGGAAUUGGAGGCGGUGGAGCUCCGAGGGCCCCACAAGCCUACCAGGCGCGGCUAGGGGGGCCCGCGCCUGGUGGGCUUGUGGGCUCCUCUCUCCGCUUAUCCGAUUGAUUUUUGCGCCAGUAUUUUUUAUAUAUUCCACAAAAAAUCCUCGUAAAUUUCCAGGUCAUUCUGAGAACUUUUAUUUCUGCACAAAAACAACACCAUGGCAUUCUGCUGAAAACAGCGUUAGUCCGGGUUAGUUCCAUUCGAAUCAUGCAAAUUAGAGUCCAAAACAAGGGCAAACGAGUUUGGAAAAGUAGAUACGACGGAGACGUAUCAGCCGUCCAUUCGGUGCUAGAUCGGGACGGAUCCUGGGACGGCGGCGAUUUGGAUUACGAAGACGUUCCACUACAUCAACCGCGUUUCUUAAUGCUUCCUGCUUAGCAAUCUACAAGGGUAUGUAGAUCUGAUCUUUCUCUCGUAGAUGAUCAUCACAAUGAUAGGUAUUCGUGUGCGUAGGAAUUUUUUUGUUUCCCAUGCAACAUUCCCCAACAGUGGCAUCAUGAGCUAGGUUCAUGCAUAGAUGAAAUCUCGAGUAGAAGACAAAAGUAUUUGUGGGCGUUGAUGUUCGAGUUGCUACCCUCCUUAGUCUUUCCUCGAUCUGACGGUAUUGUUGGAUUGAAGCGUCCCGGACCAACCUUACUCGUAUGCUUACGAGAGACCGGUUUCAUCGAGUAACAUGCAACUUGUUGCAUAAAUAUGAGUGGCGGGUGUCUGUUUCUUCAACUUUAGUUGAAUCGGAUUUGACCGAGGCGGUCCUUGGAGAAGGUUAAACAACAAUUUGCAUAUCACUGUUGUGGCUUUGCGUAAGUAAGAUGCGAUCAUACUAGAUACCCAUAGCAUCCACGUAAAACAUGCAACAACAAAUUAGAGGAAGUCUAACUUGUUUUUGCAGGGUAUGCAUGUGAUGUGAUAUGGCCAAAGACAUGAUGUGAUAUAUUGGAUGUAUGAGAUGAUCAUGUUGUAAUAGUUAAAUAUCGACUUUACGUCGAUGCUACAGCAAUCGGCAGGAGCCAUAGGGUUGUCUUUAAACUAACGUUUGUGCUUGCAAAUGCGUUUACUAUAUUUCUAGGUAGUAGCUUUAGUAGUGAUAGCAUAGAUAGCAUGACAACCUCGAUGGCAGCACAAUGAUGGAGAUCAUUAUGAUGGAUAUCAUGGUGUGGCGCCGGUGACGAUGAAGAUCAUGUCGGUGCUUUGGUGAUGGACAUCAAGAAGCACAAGACCAUGGCCAUAUCACUACAAGAAUCUGAGAAUUUGCCGUCUGCCAUGGCUAACGGCAAAGGGGCAAACCCAGGACGGCAAAGGCUUUGCCGUCCAUCGGCUGACGGCAAAAUAGACGGCAAAAAAAUAUCCGGUGAAGAGGUUAUUUGCCGUUUGCUUUUGUAAGGCGGACGACAAAGAAUAUUUUCCAUGAGCGGGCAGACGGCAAAUAAAAUGGGACGGCACAUCCACAGACGCUCCCGUCAAGUGCUAACAGAAGGCUUCUCCUCUUUGCCGUCUGCCCUACCCUCUUUGCCGUCAGCCAGGUUUACGACCGAUAGCAAAGGGGAGCACCCAGCCGCUCUCUCCCUGCCACCUUUGCCAUCAGCCCUCCCCCCUUUGCCGUCUGCCCUCCUGCUACUUCUCAAACAACAACGCCAAAAUUUGACACGUUGAUGGAGACUUGAUUGCGUUGGUUUUUCCCUUGACCAGGAAAGGGUGAUGCAGCACAGGAGCAGUAAGUAUUUCCUCAACUUGAGAACCAAGGUAUCAAUCCAGUAGGAGAAUCUCGUCAAGUCCAGAGUACCUGCGCAAAAACAAAAGAGCUUGCACCCAACGCUAUAAAGGGGUUGUCAAUCCCUUCAAGAUGAUUGCAAAGUGAGAUCUAAAGGCGGAAAGUGCAAUGAAGAAAAAGAGUAAGGCUAAAAAUAUAGUGUGGAGUAGACCCGGGGGGCAUAGUGUUCACUAGAGGCUUCUCUCAAAAUAGCAAAUAUUACGGUGGGUGAACAAAUUACUGUCGAGCAAUUGAUAGAACCGCGCAGAGUCAUGACGAUAUCUAAGGCAAUGAUCAUACAUAUCGGCAUCAAGUCCGAGACAAGUAGACCGAUACUUUCUGCAUCUACUACUAUUACUCCACACAUCGACCGCUAUCCAGCAUGCAUCUAGUGUAUUAAGUUCAUGACAAACAGAGUAACGCCUUAAGCAAGAUGACAUGAUGUAGAGGGAUAAGCUCAAACCAAUGAUGAAAACCCCAACUUUUUUACCCUUGAUGGCAACAACAAGAUGCGUGCCUUGCUACCCCUUCUAUCACUGGGUGAGGUCACCGCACGGUAUGAACCCAAAAUCAAGCACUUCUCCCAUUGCAAGAAUCAUAGAUCAAGCUGGCCAAAAAAACCACAACUCGAAGAGAAUUACAAGGAUAUGAAAUCAUGCAUAUAAGAGAUCAGAAGAAACUCAAAUAAGAUUCAUAAAUAAUCUAAUCAUAAAUCCACAAUUCAUCGGAUCUCGACAAACACACCGCAAAAGAAGAUUACAUCGAACAGAUCUCCAUGAAGAUCAUGGAGAACUUUGUAUUGAAGAUCCAAGAGAGAGAAGAAGCCAUCUAGCUACUAGCUAUGGACCCGUAGGUCUGUGGUGAACUACUCACACAUCAUCGGAGAGGUCAUGGUGUUGAUGAAGAAGCCCUCCGUGUCCAAAUCCCCCCUCCGGCAGGGCACUAGAACGUGCCCCAGAUGGGAUCUUGCGGAGACACAAGCUUGCGGCGGCGGAAAAGUACUUUCGAUGAUCUCCUGAUUUUUUCUGGGAUUUUAGGGCAUAUAUAGGCGAAAGACCUAGGGCAGAGGUGGCCCAGGGAGCCCACAAGCCUGGGAGGCGCGACCCCCCUGGCCGCGGCUAGGGGGCUUGUGGUGUCCCUGCUGGCCCCUGCCGUGAUUCUCAGGCUUCCCGAUCUUCUUCUGUUUUGAAAUUAAUCUUUUUGGAAGUUUCGUUCCGUUUGGAUUCCGUUUAAAAUCCUCCUCUGAAAGGGGUCAAAAACAUGGAAAAAAUAGGAACUGGCACUUGGCACUGAGUUAAUAAGUUAGUCCCAAAAAAGAUAUAAAAGGCAUACUAAACAUCCAAAGUUUGACAAGAUAAUAGCAUGAAACCAUCAAAAAUUAUAGAUACGUUGGAGACGUAUCAAGCAUCCCCAACAUUAACUCCUGCUCGUCCUCGAGUAGGGAAGUGAUAAAGAAUGAAUUUUUGAUGUGGAAUUCUACCUAGCAUAGUUGUCCUUUGCAACUUCUUUCACGUGACAUGAAUGCUCAGAUCUGUAAGAUUCAAAACUAUAGUUGGCUAUUGACAUGAAAACAAUAAUACUUCAAGCAAACUAGCAAGGUAAUCAUGAACUUUCAAAAUAACAAGGCCAUGGAAAGUUAUCCCUACAAAAUCAUAUAGUCUGGCUAUGCUCCAUCAUCCUCACACAACUAAUGUAAAUCACGCACAACCCCGGUAUUGGCCAAGUAAUUGUUUUUGCACUCUUACUUCCUCAAACUUUUUAUAACUAUCACGCAAUACAUGAGCGUGAGCCAUGGAUAUAGCACUAUAGGUGGAAUAGAGUGUGGUGGUGGUUGUGAGACAAAAAGGAGGAGAUGGUCACAUUGACUCGGCGUAUCAAAGGGCUAUGGAGAUGCCCAUUAAUAGAUAUCAAUGUGAAUGAGUAGGGAUUGCCAUACAAAGGAUGCACUAGAGCUAUAAGUAUGUGAAAUCUCAAAAGGAGAAAUAGUGGGCGUGCAUCCAACUUGCUUGCUCACGAAGACCUAGGGCAAUUUUGAGGAUGCCCAUCAUUGGAAUAUACAAGCCAAGUUAUAUAAUGAAGAUUCCCACUAGCAUACGGUAGUGACGAAACGAGAGGCUCUCAAACAUGAAGAACAUGGUGCUAUUAUGAAGCACAAGUGUGGAAAAAGAUAGUAGCAUUAUCCCUUCUCUCGUUUUCUCUCUUUUUUUAUUUGGGCUCUUAGGCCUCUUUUUUUAUUUUUUUUAUUUGGGCUCUUUGGCCUCUUUUUUUUAUUUCCUCACAUGGGACAAUGCUCUAAUAAUGAUGAUCAUCACACUUUUAUUUACUCACAGUUCAAAGCUUAGAAAUGACUCUAUAGGAAAUGCCUCCGGUAGUGUACCGGGAUGUGCAAUGAUCUAGCUUGGUGUAUGACGUUGAAACAUCUCGCUAGCUAUCUUACGAUCAUGCAAUGGCAGUAUGAGAGUGAAGGCACAAGUCAUGAGACGGAACGGUGGGGGUUGCAUGGCAAUAUAUCUCGGAAUGGCUAUGAAAAUGCCAUAGUAGGUAGGUAUGAUGGCAGUUUUGAGGGAAGGCAUAUGGUGGGUUUGUGCACUAGCGAGAAUUGCGCGACACUAGAGAGGCUAUCAAUGGUGGAAGGUGAAAGUGCAUCUAUACCAUGGACUCACAUUAGUCAUGAAGAACUCACAUACUUGUUGCGAAAGUUUUUAUUAGUAAUCGAAACAAGGUGCUAAAUGCAUACUCCUAGGGGAAGGGUUGGUAGGUGUUAACCAUCGCGCGAUCCCAACCUCAACACAAAGGAUUACAAUCAAUAGAUCAAUUAUGCUCCGACUUCCUAACAUAGCGGUUCACCAUACGUGCAUGCUACGAGAAUCACUAACUUCAACACAAGUAUUUCUAGAUUCACAACACCCUACUAACAUAACUCUUAAUAUUAUCAAAUCCACGUCUCAAAACUAAUUGAGAGGAAUCAAGACUUCUCUUUCUACUCAAUGCACAUGAAGAUGGAGGUUUUUGUAUCCUCUUUGGGUACCCAUCAACUUUGGGCCUACUUUCAUAGCAUAAGCCAACUACCAAGUCACGCACCGCCGUUCUCUAAAAGAUCUAAGUGAAGCACAUGGAGCAAAAUUAUCUAGCUCAAAAAAUAUAAGUGAAGCAUUAUGAGCAUUCUAGAAAAAUCACGAUGAGUGCUUGUCUCUUUAUAAAAGUGUGCACCAAGGAUGAUUGUGACACAACAAAAAUAAAAGACUCCUAAGAUGCAAUACACUCCAAGCAAAACAUAUAUCAUGUGGUGAAUAAAAAUAUAGCUCCAAGUAACGUUACCGAUGGAUUGAAGACGAAAGAGGGGAUGCCUUCCCGGGGCAUCCCCAAGCUUAGGCUUUUUGGUGUCCUUGAAUUUGGCUGGGAAUGCCUUGGGAAUACCCAAGCUUGAGCUCUUUCCACUCCUUAUCUCUUUGUCCAUGAGAACAUCAACCAAAACUUGAAAACUUCACAACACAAAACUUAAACAGAAACUCGUGAUAACAUUAGCACAAGAAAACAAACUACCACCACUUUAGGUACUAUGGAAAUCUUGAUUUAUAUUUAUAUUGGUGUUGGGUUACUGUAUUCUCACUUUUCCAUGGCUAGUACCCCUCGAUACUAUCCAUAGUUUCAUCAAAACAAGCAACCAACUCAACAAAAUCAGAAUCUGUCAAAAACAGACCAGUCUGUAGCAAUCUGUAUACUUCGCAUACUUCUGGUACCUCAAAAUUCGGAAAACUUACGACUGCCUUGGAAAAAGGCAUAUCAACCAGAAGCAAAAAGAAUCAACUCAAAAGUUCUUUCUGAAUAAAAAUGAAAAAUCAUCUCGUGAGCGAAAAGUUUCUGUCUUUUUCCAGCAGAAUCAAACAACCAUUACCAAGACUAGUCAUAAAGGUUUUGCUUGGCUCAAACACCAAAAGAAACACAAAAAACACAAUCAUAACAGAAUUAUUAUGGUGUGGACGCAACAAAACAGAAAGAAAAAGAAAUAAAUUCAUUGGGUUGNNNNNNNNNNNNNNNNNNNNNNNNNNNNNNNNNNNNNNNNNNNNNNNNNNNNNNNNNNNNNNNNNNNNNNNNNNNNNNNNNNNNNNNNNNNNNNNNNNNNNNNNNNNNNNNNNNNNNNNNNNNNNNNNNNNNNNNNNNNNNNNNNNNNNNNNNNNNNNNNNNNNNNNNNNNNNNNNNNNNNNNNNNNNNNNNNNNNNNNNNNNNNNNNNNNNNNNNNNNNNNNNNNNNNNNNNNNNNNNNNNNNNNNNNNNNNNNNNNNNNNNNNNNNNNNNNNNNNNNNNNNNNNNNNNNNNNNNNNNNNNNNNNNNNNNNNNNNNNNNNNNNNNNNNNNNNNNNNNNNNNNNNNNNNNNNNNNNNNNNNNNNNNNNNNNNNNNNNNNNNNNNNNNNNNNNNNNNNNNNNNNNNNNNNNNNNNNNNNNNNNNNNNNNNNNNNNNNNNNNNNNNNNNNNNNNNNNNNNNNNNNNNNNNNNNNNNNNNNNNNNNNNNNNNNNNAACGAAAAAAGGCAAAUAUUUUCGUAAAUUUUUGUUUUUUAGAAGUGGGGGAGAGGAAACCAGAGGUAAAAAAGUAAAUGCAAGAGAUGAGUUUGCGACACUUACUUGGAUGAGUUCUUGACUUGAUCCUCCCCGGCAAUGGCGCCAGAAAUCCUUCUGCUACUUCUCAAACAACAGCGCCAAAAUUUGACACGUUGAUGGAUACUUGCUUGCGUUGUUUUUUCCCUUGAAGAGGAAAGGGUGAUGCGGCACAGGAGUAGUAAGUAUUUCCUCUCAGUUUGAGAACCAAGGUAUCAAUCCAGUAGGAGAAUCUCGUCAAGUCCAGAGUACCUGCGCAAACACAAAAGAACCUGCAGCCAACGCUUUAAAGGGGUUGUCAAUCCCUUCAAGAUUGAUUGCAAAGUGAGAUCUGAAGGCGGAAAGUGCAACGAAGAAAAAGAGUAAGGCUGAAAAUAUAGUGUGGAGUAGACCUGAGGGCCAUAGUGUUCACUAGAGGCUUCUCUCAAAAUAGCAAAUAUUACGGUUGGUGAACAAAUUACUGUCGAGCAAUUGAUAGAACCGCGCAAAGUCAUGACGAUAUCUAAGGCAAUGAUCAUACAUAUAGCACUACUAGGAAAAGGCCUGCUAGUGGCACACCUGUUUUGGCUACUAAUGGCGCACUACAGGUGCGCCACUAGCAUCACGCCAUUAGAAUGUUUUACUAAUGGCGCACCACAGGUGCGCCAUUAGUAUCUGGUAUACUAAUGGCGCACCAGGCAGUGCACCAUUAGUAUAGCCCAUAGUGCUCCAUUAGUAUGCCUCCCAGGGCAUAUAUACUAAUGGCGCACGAGGCAGUGCGCCAUUAGUAUAGCCCAUGGUGCUCCAUUAGUAUCUGGUAUUCUGGCAUAUAUAUGUUUUCUUUCAAAACCACAAAUUCAACAGCACAUAACAUAUAUAAAAUAUAUAAUACAUAGUAUGUGCCCAAUUGUUUUACUGAUCCACAACACAUAACAUAUAUGCAAAGUUGCAUAACAAAUUUCAUGAUCCAUAUAUCAAAAUUCCAUAGCAUCCAUACAUCCAAAAUUCCAUAGCAUCCAUAUAUACAUAUAGUUCCAUAGCAUCCAUACAUACAUAGCUCCAUAGCAAAUAUAAUACACAACGAUACUUUGCGGGCAUUAGUGAGUAAUAUUUGGCACUAAAACAAAUGCCUUCAUGUCCAUAUCGUAGUCCAAAGAGCAUCCGCGUGGCAAUGGGUGGGUUCAUCCUCCUGGUUGUAAUCUCUGUCGGCGUCCUCAUCCUCCCGUCGUCGUCCUACUGCAAUGUAAAUAAAUAGCAACACCAGAAAAUCACAAAGUAAUGACAUUUUUUGCAAGGUACAAAGCAAUGACUGAUACGAUCAAAUAUCAAUAAACAUCAGCAGAGUCAAGUAUGCAUGCCAAUGUCAUUAGCAAAGUACAGAGUAAUGACUGACAUAAUCAAAAUGUCAACAAACAUCACCAGAGUCAAGUAUGCAUGCAAAUGAUAUUUUCAGGGUGAUCAGAUCAAAGAAAAUAGCCAUACAAAUACUAAAUAUUCUCUGUUGACGAUUUUGUUUUAUAUUGCAGGAUAAGUAACCACCGGUAUAGUCAAAAUAUCACUAAACAUCAGCAGAAUCGGGUGUGCAUGCAAGUGAUACUUUCAAAACAAUUAGCACAGAAAAAAAUAGUCAUCAAAAUUGUAAGUAGUCUUUAUCAGUUGUCACAAGGCAGAAUCUGCGAGACCCGAGUCUUUCGGAACAAACUCUAGGCCAAAGAGAAACAACAAUACAAGACGUAUAUGUUGCAAGUAGUUUCUUUGUUUACUCAUGUUUACUAAAAGCCAACAACAGACAUGUAGACAUGAGCACACACAGACUAAGCAUACACCUUCUGAGAAGGUGAAGGAAAGGUUCCACUGGAGUAGCCUGCGAUAGAAACUUCUUGCAGUUUCCGCUAAGUCGCACACACCUGAUGAGAAUAGCUGCCAGGGCCACGCCUUCUUCCAAUUUGUUGUUCUUUGCAGCAUCAACAAGCCUAGAGAGAAUAGGAGGAGAGCUGAUUGUGGCCAAGUGAACAUUAUUCGUUACAUAGUCGAAUGCUGUCACUAAGAUCUCAAUGAGAGCUAUCGACACGGAUGUUGGCGUCAGUGGAAACAGUGCAGGCCAUUUUUGGGUGGCGGUGUUACAGGCCACAUGUAGAAGUCAAGGUAAUAGAUCCAAGUUUUUAAUCUAUGAAGAUGAAGGAUCCAACAAAUAUAUCAGAAUAUAUGGCACUGCAAUAGAUCUCAAUCAAGCAGGAGCCUUCAACUGUAGAAGAAGAGCGAUUAAACUCGCACGUACUUUUAAAGAAAUAUAAAGAAGAGAAUGGCUUGAAGAUAAAAGUAAUUGGGGCAUUAAUAUAUGGCACUGCAAUCUUUUCUUCAUCGGGGCAGUGCUUGCUCGAGAUACCAAUGUUCGACAAGAUAUAGGACUGGGCUUCCGGUGUGGCGGUACUAGGCCAGCGGUGGAGGAGGGUGAUCUAGUGGCCGUAUUUCUAGAACUCCCAUUCGCUGUUGUCUGCAACGUGGAACAAAAUAAAUAUGCUGGUCAGUAUGAAGAUUUCAAACAAGAUGAACUUCGGCCAUACAGGGACUGCGGUUACCUAGUGGGCACACUUGGCGAGUCUUGAGCCACCUGCUGAUGCAGUGGAAGUGGAAAGCAUGAUUACAGACACCUGUAGUGCACAAGAGCACAACAUGUUAGGUCCACUAAAGGCAAGAAUGCUACAUUUAUUGCACUAUAUUCGUUUCAGAAAGAAAAGAAUUGACCUCAAAGACUGUCCAGGGGAUAUAGCUUGGCAAAUUUACUCGGUCGCAACAAAAUUUUAAUGACUUCCAUUAUCAAAUAUCAAACAUUCCAAUUAAUCACACCCACAUUAACUGCCCAAUGAGGACAUCCUACUAUCUUCUGGGUCAACACCUAUUCAGGUCUUGACACUACAAUUACAUGACUAGAUAUAGCAUCAACAAAUACAUAUCUCAUGGAUGACUAAUCUACGCUGCAGACAUAAGCACCAGUGUAAAAUUAUCUCGUGUUCUCAUUUUCUCACGGUCCACCAGCAAUGGUCAUCAUUACUACUCAAGCUACAGUGUGGUGAGAGGAUUUUCUUUUCACAUAUGGAAAUACAAACUUACAAGAAUACAAGCUCAUCAGAAACCUAAGUGGUGUAACAUGUAGAAAACAGGGGCUGUAAUCCUGAUUCGCCAACAAAGGCAACAAUAACCCAUAGUCGCCAGCUAAAUAUCAGCUAGAGUACUUAAACAUGGAAAUCUUGUAAUAAAACCAGUCCCCUGUGUCUCACAAAAGAUGUACCCAACUAACAAGGAAUUUUUAGUCUUCUUCUUUUUUAGCAAUAUAAGUGGGUCUAUUUUGUAGUAACCACACUCCGCCUCCCCUCCCGCGCACAAAAUGGCGCAGUUGUCUACCACGAUGUCUGCACCGGUAAAUGGUACUUAAGCGUCGUNAUAUAUAUAUAUAUAUAGUAGUGUCGCACUGGGUGAGUGGUGCGCCAUUACUAGUUAAACUAGUAAUGGCACACUCUGCCCCGGUGCGCCAUUAGUACUUUUGCAAAAAAAUAUAGUAGUGGCGCACUGGGUGAGUGGUGCGCCAUUACUAGUUAAACUAGUAAUGGCGCACUCUGCCCCGGUGCGUCAUUAUUACUUUUGGAAAAAAAAGUUUGUUAGUAGUGGCGCACCGAGUGUGUGGUGUGCCAUUAGUGUCCAUUACACUAAUGGCACACCUGCACAUGGUGCGCCACUCCUAUAGAAUAGUGGCGCACUACUUGUGUGGUGCGCCAUUGCUGUCUAUAUCAUCUAUAGCCCUUUUCCUAGUAGUGUAGGCAUCACG
rnacentral:lncRNA from 1 species